rnacentral:lncRNA from 1 species
AUUGGGUUGAUGUCCUUGUUUCUAAUUCCGGAAUGUAGUGAUUAAUCAAUUUUGAUGAAUUUUCUUUCCCUGUCCUUCCCAGUGUGCUUCAUCAAUCAUUUAUUUAGUUUGAAUUUGCUCAAUUGCUUAAUUUUAGGAUUGAUAUUUUUCUACUUUUGCAUCUGUACAUUAGAUUUGCUUACUUAUAUGUCAUUUAUGUUUUCUCAUGAAUUUCUUUUUCUUUUUCUUAUCUGUAGAGUCAAUGAAUCAACGGUGCGCGAUUCUCUAGUGGACGUGGUGAGUGGAUUCAUUCUGGAAAAGCUAAGAUAGUCGCGCCUUAUAAAUUCAAUUUGCGAUGAAGACUAUUUGGUUUCUUCCAUUAGUCUUUCUGUAUUUUGGAUUAUUUUCAUUUGGGUAUUGCAAGAAUGUUUCUGCAAGACCAGCUGUUGUUAAUGUCGGUGCUCUCUUUACACUUGACUCUACCAUUGGUAGAGUUGCCAAGAUUGCAAUUGAAGAAGCUGUGAAAGAUGUCAAUUCAAAUUCUAGCAUUCUCCAUGGAACCAAACUUAACAUAACAAUGCAAAGUUCCAAUUGCAGCGGAUUUAUUGGCAUGGUCGAAGGUACUUCAUUUUCUACUUCUUCAGUUUUGAAAUUAGUUUUAGUUGGUUUGUUUCAUUUGUCAUGUGCAAGAAUUCUGCUCUGAAAGAAUAUUUUGUAGUGGUAGUUAAUUUUACUGAUUAUUGUGUUAUCACAGCUUUGCGAUUCAUGGAGACUGAUAUUGUCGCCAUUAUAGGCCCACAGUGUUCAACAGUUGCCCAUAUUAUAUCCUAUGUUUCAAAUGAACUCCAAGUUCCUCUACUGUCAUUUGGGGUUACAGACCCCACUCUCUCUUCUCUUCAGUACCCCUUUUUCGUUAGGACCACACAAAGUGAUUCAUACCAGAUGACUGCAGUAGCUGAGAUGGUUAGUUAUUAUGGAUGGAAGGCUGUAAGUGUCAUCUUUGUUGAUAAUGAAUAUGGACGGAAUGGUGUAUCUGCAUUAAAUGAUAAACUUGCAGAGAGGCGCUGUAGGAUCUCCUACAAGAGCGGGAUUCCCCCAGAAUCUGGAGUGAAUACGGGUUACGUUAUGGAUCUUCUUGUUAAGGUUGCCUUGAUGGAAUCUCGGGUUAUCGUUCUUCAUGUAAGUCCGAGUUUGGGUUUCCAGGUUUUCUCAGUGGCAAAGUAUCUUGGGAUGAUGGGUAAUGGGUAUGUAUGGAUAGCUACAGAUUGGCUGGCUUAUAUGUUAGAUUCUGCUUCACUUCCUUCUGAAACCUUAGAGUCAAUGCAAGGAGUUCUUGUUUUGCGUCAGCACAUACCUGAAUCAGAUAGAAAGAAAGAUUUUCUUUCUAGAUGGAAGAAUCUAACUGGCGGUUCUUUGGGGAUGAAUUCUUAUGGGCUAUACGCUUACGAUUCUGUUUGGCUGCUAGCUCAUGCUAUUGAGUCAUUUUUUAACCAGGGUGGGAAGAUAUCAUUUUCUAAUGAUUCUAGAUUGAAACCAAUGGAAGGUGGUAAUCUCCACCUUGGUGCAAUGAGCAUUUUUGAUGAUGGAAUGCUGUUGCUGGGCAACAUACUGCAGAGUAAUCUUGUUGGUUUGACAGGUCCUCUCAAGUUUAAUUCAGAUAGGUCACUUAUUCAUGCUGCAUAUGAUAUUAUUAAUGUUAUUGGAACUGGGUUUCGAAUGAUUGGUUACUGGUCCAACUAUUCUGGUUUGUCUAAGGAGCCUCCUGAGACACUUUAUGCACAGCCAUUCAAUCGCUCAAGUACAAUCCAGCACCUACACAUUGUUAUCUGGCCUGGAGAGACCCUGUCAAAGCCCCGCGGAUGGGUUUUCCCAAACAAUGGGAAGCUAUUGAAAAUUGGUGUACCCAAUCGGGCCAGUUACAGGGAAUUUGUAUCGAAAGUGAGAGGUUCUGAUAUGUUUCAGGGUUUCUGCAUAGAUGUGUUUACUGCUGCAGUAAAUUUGUUACCAUAUGCUGUCCCCUACCAAUUUGUUGCCUUCGGAGAUGGUCAUAAAAACCCAAGCUACACACAACUAGUGGAUUCAAUCACCACGGGUGUGAGUACUACAUUAUAGGUUAAAAUCUUUUGAAGUUGGGUAAGGUCUGACUGCUGAUUAUAUGAUUUUUCCAUCACAGGUCUUUGAUGCUGUAGUUGGCGACAUUACUAUUGUCACAAAUCGAACAAAGAUUGUGGAUUUUUCACAACCAUAUGCUGCCUCUGGACUAGUUGUUGUGGUCCCAUUUAGGAAAUUGAACACUGGAGCUUGGGCUUUUCUGCGGCCAUUUAGCCCACUUAUGUGGACAGUCACUGCUUGUUUCUUCGUUGUUGUUGGGAUUGUUGUGUGGAUUCUGGAACACAGGAUAAAUGACGAAUUCAGGGGACCACCUAAAAGACAAGUUAUAACCAUUCUUUGGUGAGUUAUUGAUUAUCUUGUUAUAUGUGAUUCUUAAAUGUACUAACUACCCAUGUGUUUACAUUUAUUGUUUAGAGGUAGUUUAUAUAGAGUUAUGCUGCUCUUGGUUGCAGAAUAGCUGAAAUUGUGGGUGACAGUGAAUUUGUGGUCUGACAGGUUAAGGUCAUGAUCCUUAUGAUAUGUUGUGCCUUUUCAAUUCAUGUUUCUAAUUUCCAAAAUUUGACAUGAAAAUCUUACUGGAUGUUGUUUAGAAAUUUAUAUAUAAUGUGAGCACAAUGUGAGAGACCAAAAAGAAACCAUUAAUUUAUGUUGAAAUGGUUUCAAAAGCUAAGGUUAUUUCUCUGCCUGAUGUGUUUGUACAAUUUUGCAGCUGAAUCUAUCUCAGAGCACCAUUUUUUAUAAUUUUUUUUUCAGAGCAACAUCACGAACUCAUUGCAGAUUGCCAAGAUGAUUCACGUUUUGUGUCUAACAUCUCAGUAGUGUGGAUGGUUAUCUGACCAGAUUUUGUUUGUUAAUCCUGCAGGUUUAGUUUGUCAACUCUGUUUUUUGCACAUAGUAAGUGAAUUUUAGGCACUUGUUGAAACUUUUAUCUUCCCAUGGUAAGGCAUGAAGGAGCAGAGUAGAUUGAUUUAGUUGCCAUUUUUGUUAUUCUUGCAGAGGAGAACACUGUCAGCACCCUUGGCCGUCUGGUCCUAAUCAUAUGGCUUUUUGUAGUUUUGAUUAUCAACUCGAGCUAUACUGCAAGUUUGACUUCAAUCCUCACAGUGCAGCAGCUAUAUUCUCCCAUUAAUGGAAUUGAGAGUUUGAGAAAGAGUGAUGACCCCAUUGGUUACCAGGAGGGUUCAUUUGCUGAGUAUUAUUUAAGUCAGGAACUCAACAUAUCCAAAUCUAGGCUUGUUGCACUUCGCACACCUGAAGACUAUGCUAAAGCACUCAAAGAUGGUCCUGGUAAGGGAGGUGUUGCUGCUGUGGUUGACGAACGUCCGUAUGUUGAACUUUUCCUCUCCAGCCAAUGCUCAUUCAGGAUUGUAGGUCAAGAAUUUACCAAAAGCGGCUGGGGUUUUGUGAGUAUCUAAUUUCUUGAUUUUCACAUCUUUGAAAACAUGAGCAUUAGCGAUGCAUGAAUUUACUUGAAAGGAAAUUGUUGCAUUUCAUUUUAAGCAUUCCUUGCCUGUAUUCAUCUUUCUCUCUAGGCAUUUCCACGGGACUCUCCGCUGGCUGUUGAUUUGUCGAGUGCAAUUCUAGAACUAGCUGAGAAUGGUGAUCUUCAGCGGAUCCAUGACAAGUGGCUGAUGAAAAGUAGUUGCAGUUUAGAAAAUGCCGAGCUUGAAUCAGACCGACUUCACCUUAGUAGCUUCUGGGGUCUCUUCUUGAUAUGUGGUGUAGCUUGCUUCAUUGCCCUCUUGAUAUACUUUUUGCAGAUUACGCAGCAGUUAUUCAAAUCUGCCCCCUCUGAUUCUAUUUCAUCAGAACCGGGCAGUACACGUUCUAGGCGUCUUCAGAGAUUUUUGUCAUUAAUGGACGGGAAGGAAGACAUAACAAAGAACAAGAGCAAGAGAAUGAAAGUGGAAGGACCAUCAUUUCACGGUGACAGGGAUGAGGAUUUAGGAAGGAGUUCCAAGAGAAGAGCAACAGAUUUGGCAACAGGGAGCAACAUCAACUGAAGUAUUUAAUUCAAUUUUUCCAUUAGGCAUCCCUCUGAUCCUAUCAUCGCAUUCUCAGUCGAAACCCAGUGAUUCCAAGCAUGAAGCAUGCGCCGGUUCAUAUUGGUGGUAUAAUUUCUUCUUAAUAGGCAUUAUAUUUGCUGAAAGCCAAUGUUGGCAUAUAUAUAGCAAGAUUUUGUUUUAUUAACACCCAUUGUCAACUUAUUCAGAUAAAAAAUGUAAAGUCAAACAAUCAAAGACUAUCACUAAGUUAAAUGUUAUAAUAACUGUCAACAUUAGAUAUAUUGUUGCUCUCCAUUUCUUAGUUUUAAUAUGAGAAAUUAGAACAUUAUAAAUUUCAGAACUGUCUAUUUUUUUAUACAUAUACAUACAUACAUAUAUAUAUAUAAAUUUUCUAUAUAUGAAUCGUUCUCUCAUGCGAGUGCUCGCUUUUUUUUUCCCUCAUAUGGAUACACUAUUAAGUCAUGAUUUAUGACUUAAUAGAGUUAGUGUUCAAUUCACUAUAAAAACAUGUGGUUUAAUAACGUGUCUGCACUUGAUUUUAUUAAAUUAUAUAUACACACACAUACAGAGAAAGAGAGAGAAAGUUCUUAGUUGCGGGUUUCUUUUUUUUUUUUUAAAUUACAUUGGAUUAAUAGAGUCAAUUGUAAUUCAUUAUUAAAUCGCAUUAUUUAAUUAUGUGAUUUAAUAAAGUCUUUGUCCAAUUAACUGUAAAGCUACAUGAAAAAAAGAGUUUUUUUUUUUAAAUGUGGAUAUGCUAUUAAAUCAUGUGAUUUAAUAAAAUUAGUAUUUAAUAAUUAACUAUAAAAUUAUUAAGUUUAAUAAUGUGUCCGUGUUAAAAAGGGAAAAAAAAAAAAAAUGACUGCAGCUGAGAUUUUAUAUAUAUAUAUUAGAAGCAUAUCAAUUUAAGAUGAGAAAGAGUAAGAAUUUUUUUCAAACAAAAAAAGCCUUUGAUUGCGGAGAUAUUGUUAGACUUUUGUCAUGUGCACAUCUUUAUCAUUUAUUUUUUUUGAUAUUAAUCACAACACAACAAUGAUGCAAAGAUUCUUUUAAGCCCCCUUUCCAGCCAAAUCCACGUGAUCGAUCAAAUAUUCAAAAGGUCAAUUAUCAUUAAAACCAACAAGUUCUAUAUAUAAAGCUUUUCGGUGGCCAAUAAUUAACCAAUAGCAAUUAAUAACAUAGUUCACAUCCAUUACACUUGAUUAAGACGUGUAGUAAAACACAAUCAAAGCCUCAGGCGUCCUCAUUUAUCAGUGAAUCACUGCUGAGAAUACCGGCAUGUCCCGUAACCUGAUCACAGAUCGAUGAAAAAGAAUAUAUAUAUCAUCAGCAUGCAAUUAGGUAAAUGCAUAUGGUACAGCAAAUUCAUCGAAGCACAAUCCAUGGAUGAUAUAUUUAAAAAAAAAAAAAAAUGAAAUGGGAAGAAUUAACGCAUCUUAUUAAUUAUUUGGACCUGAUCACUUACUUGGAUCACUGAAGGUAACAAGCCCAGUGCCCUUGAAAUCACAGUUCCAAUAAUUCCUCCCAUGCAUCUGAUAAUAAGCAUUCAUGGCAUAUGAAGCAUGGGCAUGAAGCUUCUCAGGCUCAAAACAACGACCACUUCUAUCAAUUUCCCUGCAAUCAACACCACCAGGUCCACAACAGAAGUCCAGCACAGAUUGAAGAACCUUUUCGUCAGCAUGUGGCUUGGCCACACACCAAACAGAAGGGCCUCUCGAAACUCCACUUGAGAUCUUCUCAAACGUCAUCCCCUCAUCACUACAGAAUUGGCAGCUCAGAUCCACUUGAUAAACUUUAGAGCCAUCACCAUUAAAAAUCCCAAAAUUCCUCUCACUCACACCCCCUUCUUUCUUGUUCUCAUUAAACAAAGCAAACACAAACACCUCUAUAUUCUCCUUUGGCCUCAUGGGUGUCCCUUUGUUAGACUGCGCUCUUUCGAUCAACCUGGUGUUGUAAGUCUUUGCAUUCUCUGGGGUUGCUGCUGAAUCACCCUUUGACGGCCACCCAGAUUCAGAAACCGUGAUCUUUAUUGACCUAUUACCAAACCCUAGACCAUUAAUGGCUGUCCUAACAGCAUCAAUUUGGGCAUCCAGCAUGUUAGUGUACACGUACCCUUUAGGAUCAUGAACUGCAUAUAACCCCCCACCAGAACCAGAAGAAGAAGCAUUAAUGCCAACGCCGGCACUACCCCCCAAUAAAGCAUACUCUAAAUUAACAGAGCUAGGGUUAUCUCUGUAAGCAAAAUAUGGAUAAGCAUUGACCAUAAACGGCGCCCCAGUAUCAGCCAGAAACGCUAAAAUCGAAGUCAUUGUUGGGGUAAUGUCGGGGGCAAAAGUGGAAGCCGAGGGAGGAAAUGAAGAAGCAAGAACAGCCAUACUAUGCGGUGUUGUGACUUUGAUUUUACGUUCGAGCCCGCGUGCAAGUAACGCGGCAUGCAUGUUCUGCAUGGCUUGGACUAAGGCUUUAGGGUUCAUCUUCAUCAUUUUAUUACCAUCCGCUGUCAAGUACUCAUUCCCCACGACAAUGGCAACAACGGAAGUGGCAGGAAGGAAGGGCAACACACGAGUGGAAAGCCACUCGUCCGCAGAGGCCGUAUCGGUGCUGAUGUUGGACACGUGGUAGUUUUCAACGGCGACGAUUAGAUCAAUGCCCGUGUUGGCAAAAGCCUCCAGGAUUUCAGGGUUGGUGUCAUAGAUUUUAACCUUGUCGAUGAUUGUUGAUUGGAGGAGUUGGGCUACUUUUUUCGGAGACGGCAGGUUGUUGCCGAGAGUGCCGUAGUUUAUACCGACUCCGGCGACGUUUUGAGAUGGGCUUAGUAUUAGAAGGAGGAAGAGGAAGAGUGGCAGUACUGGUAGCUGGGGGGUAAAACAUAGCUGCAGAGGAGGAGGAGGAGGAGGAACCAUUGUGUUUAUGUUUGUAAUUGUUUCAACUCAACUCAACGAACAAAAUCAAUGAAUAAUGAAAUUGGAAGAGUGGGCAGGAUCAAAAAAUUCAAAGAUUACAGACCAAAAGGUCACUAGUGGACCAUGUAAUGUUAGUAGCUAGCUAGCUAGAUGUCUAAAAAGUAAUGAUUCUAAUGACCAACCUUUUUUCCCCCAUUUUUCGUUGGGUUGGGGAUCUAAUCGGAUCCAAUAACGCGUUUCAAGAUUGUAGCAGCGUUUAGUUCUCCUAAGCAGGUUUAACAAGCGUUUGCAACUUGUAAAUUUACAUUCUUUUUCUUGUCUUGAUGCCAGGACCAGCCUCAGCAAUGAGAAAGCAAUCUUAGUAUUAAUCGAAUUUUAACUGCUUCAUCUCGUGUUCUCGUCCUUUUAACCCUGUUUUGCACCUCGAUUUAACCUCGGUAAUUGAAUAAUAAUAAUAAGCUUGUUUUUGUCUUUUGUUAACCGUUGGCUGGUCUGAGGAAACAAAUAUUUUGAGCUAAAAUGUAAAUGGUAACCCAGCUCAUAUAGAAAUCAACCAAAUUGAAAUGAUUGGAAGAAAAAAAAAUCACUAGACAGAGACUUGGCAAACCCUAGAUCAGCUUGACAAUUUCGCACAUAUCAAAUCCCGCAUUCUUGUUCCCACGGAGCCACAGGUAAAUACCCUUUUAGUAAUUGUCCAGGCGAGCUGCUAUCAGUCAAUAAUGGUAAUCAAAGCCAGUUGGAAAAAAAAAACAGACACUAAUAUCAAUGUUGCAAUUGAUAUUGAGAGAAAGUCGUAUGCGACUGUGUCUCAUCACCUCACCGGUCAGUCUCCUUAGCCCGCUAAAGUAGUAGUAAGAAAGUUCACUAAAACUUUGUCAUGUGGCACAGGGGUGGAACCAUAAAUAGAUCCUACGCGUUUAUUUUUGAAAAGUUAAUGAGUCCCAACACCGGAACCCACCUGACCAAGUAUUAGUAGAUCGUCUCACCACAUUAGCAUGCUGACAUGAUAUGGCAGUUUUAUAAGAAAAAAAGGUUUGUGUAUUCUUAGAAUACUGUUUCUUUUCCAUUCAUUUUUUAUACAUGUAUACCUUAACCAGUCAAUAAUAUGCAUACUUAUGUAAUAACUAAGCAUUAGAUAGAUGAGGAGCAAUGCUAAGUAGAAAAGGCCUUCUCAUUCCACACAAGUUUUUCUUGUGAAUUCUAUAUUUUAUUUAGAGGUAUAUUUAAACACUGCAACUGUAGACUUUCUACAAAUUAAUAUGGUAUAACAUGAAUGAUUAACAUUUUAUUUUAUUUUGUAGUUGGCAGUUUGUAGAGAUUAAAUAACUAUUUUAAAAGUUUAAAUAAAUCCAUUUAAAUGUUUGAUAGUAUGAGAUCAAUAAGGACAUCAUGAUUAAAGUUAAUUUGAAAGCAGUCUUAAUAGUGUUACCAAAUUAACGGAAAAGAUUAAUUUUAUAUUAUCACUCAUAAAUUCAUUAUCUUCAAAUAACUCUCCUUAUUCUUAAAAAAAACUCAAUUUAUUCCCUUUCUUUUUCAGAAAACCAAAAACUUUACUAACUUAUCCUCUUUUUCCCUUAUCUUUUGUAAAAAAUAUGAGAUCUUCAAAAAUAAAAAGAAUAAUUUAAAAAUAAUUACGUAAUCCAAAAUUUACCUUCAUAGAAAUUUGAAAAUCUCUAGUUCUGGGUCCUAGUCGAUCAAAUGUACAUUUGAAAUAUUAGAAAUUGUGAUACAUAACAUAUUAGAAAUUGUGAUACAUAACGUGCAUAUAUGUACAGAACAACAGACUGAAGAUGGAUGGAUUCACAUUUGAUCAUUUGUUACAUAUUUGUGAAAGAAUUCCUCCCCGUUGCAGUACGUAAAAAUCACAUUAUAAACCUCAAUCAGAAGUUUCGGGAACCGGCAAGAAAAGUAGUUGUAGAACCCUUCAGGAUGUGACCCUAACAAUUCUUGGAUGUCUUGAGGAAGUUCCCUGAAAUGAUUUGACUUGUUUCUUAUAACUCGCAAUAGGUCACGAACAUUAUCAUAUUUGUAACGCCUGUAGCGCCCUAUGUUCUCAAUGAAUUUAGUUUCCAUCUUUUCAUCCCAUUUCCCAUUCAAAGCCACUGGUGCAAUACCUUCUAAUGCUCUCAAGAGUUUUGAAUCACUCUCUCUGUCUUCCAAUUCAACUCGGUCACUAACAUCUCGAAGAAAUGAGAGUCUUGUAUCAGCAGUCCAGAAAAAUGGAUGAUACAAGACAUUCUGUGCCUUUGGCCUAGAAAAUAUGUAGCCAAAUUAUUCACCACAAACAAACACAACUGACACAUUAUACUAAUAGCAAUAACCUCAAAUUAUAAAUUGAAUAAGAAUAAUGGAUCAGUGGGAAUACAUGCCCCAGUCCAUUAUCAAUGAUUCAAGAUAAAAAAAAAAGGUUAAAGUACCAUAUAAAGCUUCAUAAUAACAAUGUCAUCUUACCUCAAAUCUGGGUUAGGAUCCAAAAGAUUUGUGAAAAGAUCCACUGCUUCUGGUAUAUGCUCCACCAAGAACAGGUCUUUCCGGUCUUUCACAAUAUUAGCAUCACGCUCAAAACUCUCUCCAUAAGGAUGUUUACCACCAGUGAUACAAAAAAAUAGAAUACAGCCUAAACUGAACAAAUCUAUUGCACGUGUUUGACGUCCCUGUAAAAGCUGCUCAGGUGCUUGCCAACCUGAACUCCCAUAACCUACAGUAAAAAACAAAACACCAAACUGAAAAACACACUCACAAAUAACAAGCUUCAAUAAAAUGCUUACCAAAUAUACUAACUGAAUAUCCAUACCAGUAGCAUUCUGGGUUAAGCAAGACAUGUCACCUUGCAGGCGCUUACUGAUACCCAUAUCUGACAGCUUUGCACAAAAACUUUUAUCCUUGCUUAUUAAGACAUUUUGAGGCUUCAAGUCCCGAUGUAUUAAUCCAAUCUCAUGUAAAUGAGACAGCCCAGAGACUAUAUCUCUGCAGAGAUUAGAACCAUGCCAAAUAAUAAUAAGUUUUUUUGUGUAAAAAAUUCAAACGUAAUGAGGUCAAUGUCUACAGUUCAUAAACUAGUCUAAGAACUCAAAAGUAGAGACCUAGAGAAGAACCUUAUACCAACUCAAAAGAAGAGAACUAGAGAAGAGACGAAGAGACUUAAACUUACCUUGUCACUUUCAACAACUGUGCUGAAGGAUGCCCAUUUGCCUUCCACAGUUCAAUAUCUUUAGUGUUUUCCAUCACCGGAAGCAAUCGAAUUCUAACCUCAUUUAACAAAUUGGAAUCUUGCUCUUUUGCAUUUAAUUGCUCUUCAAAAGAUCCAGAUAAUACAUAGAUCAAGUCAUUUAAACUACAAGUACAACGCUCCAAAGACAGAUAAACAAAAUCUUGAUCAGAUUCCACCCCAUACCAUCGCACAAUAUUUGGAUGCUGAUCAGAAGCAAUUAGAUUCUGAAUCUCUUUCAAGGCCACAUCAUGAUGAGUCUUUACAAGGCGUUUAACAGCUACCGAACGACCUUCAUAAUUCCCCUCCAGCACAACAGUACCAUUGCUCCCUUUAGCAAUUUCUUUAUUAAAAACAACUAACUUACCAAUUCUACGCCCAUCAACACGAUCAUCAAUAAGAUCAGUAAAUGUUAGCAGAAACUUCUCUCCAUUUCCUGUAAUGUGUGAAAGUCCAUCGGUUUCACCAACCUUACUCUCAUUUGGGAUUAUGUUCUGUAUUUUCUCGCUGUUGGUAGUAUUUCUAUUGUACCCCGGUCUCCGUGACUUCUUCUUCUUGGGGAUUCCUGUUUUCGUAAUAUGUUCCUCAGUCUGCUUUUUCGACUUGACUUGUUUUGAAUGGUAAAAGAGAAAGCCAAUGAUGGGACAAAGGGUAAUAAAUAAAACAAUAAAAGAUUGUAUAUAUGAUCUAAAUCCUUCAACAAAUGCAUGUUUCUUAUUUAUUUCACUAACACUCCCACCAGGCAUUCCCAGGCUCCAAGGGAUUUCAGUCUCAGUUGAGGGCAAAGCAAGCGGAGGUCUAUCCACCUUGUCAGGAAGGAACAGAGGCGAUUUUCUGUCAACUGGCCCUAACAGAGAAUUCUGACUGGAAUCAGGCAAAGAAAUCCAUCCAGCUACCUUACCAAUUACAGAAAGAAACUCCGGCAAACUAUUAUCACGAAGCCGGUAGACAGAAGCCGUCAUCUGAGUAUGACAUGGCAAAUGUGAUUCAACAUCGCCGAUCAAGUCCAUUCCGAGCUCACUUCCUGAAUUAAAAUGAUAGCCACUGAAAGACUUUCCCACCUCUUGACAUCGAAAUUCAGCCUUAAAAUCUGCAUAUGCCACAUUCCAUAGAACUUCCCCGGAAUCUUGAGAAGUAGACUGUAACACAUAAUCUGUCCUCAUUAUGUAAACCAGUUGUCGAAUUCUCUUCAAGUUCCCUACACCAGACUCCACCAAUUCUUCGUAACCAUCCACUGGUACGACAUGCUUGUUUUCAUCACUUUGAAACCCUAGUGUAGAAGCUGAAAAAUCCAGCACAUAAUUGUCAACUACUCUACCCGACUUCACAUCAACAAGGAAUACAGAAGUUUUCAUAGCUCCUAAUGUCACUCCACCAUCCUUCGAUAUAUACGGCAUCCUUCUAAUAUACUCUUCAGCACUUGAAGAAAGUUUCUUCUAAAAUUCCAAAGAUAAAAAAGUUACAAAGUAUGAGAGGAAAACAUUUAUCACUGAAUCAGGCCACAAACCCAAUUUUUCAUCAUAAUAACAAUAACACUAUACGCAUCAAGUAUCUCAACUGAUGUGGCAUCUAUCAAUAACUAUUGUUGUCAGUGUAAUAAAAACUUUUGUAUCCUCCUGAUAAGGGCCAUGUCAGUUGCAAUACAAAAUUGUGUAAUCUAACUAUACAAGUAUAGUGUUAUUAUCCUUAUUCAUAAGAAAAAACCAAAUAUAAUUAAAGAUUUGAAAAGAGAAAUAAAAUUAGCUUACCAUUUUACCAAAGCGCUUACUAUGAAAAUAGAGUUCCCAGUCUUCACCAAUAUCAAGAUAAAAUUCAGAGGCAUUACUAUUGAAAGAAGCCUGAUACGAUGAGUAAAUUGGCCGGCCCGUCCCAAACGACCAUCGAAUUUUUCCUAGUUUAGUGUCAACCAAAUGAAUUGUUCCAUCUAAAGCAGCAACUAGAGCUACAUCUGGUUCACUGAAUCCAAAACAUUCAAAAAUAAAAUAAAAAUUUUAUUUAUCAAUCAGUUCAAAUGCGAAAAAAAAAAAAUUUGACUUUUUUUUAAUCAUUAGUUAAAAAGUUAAUUAAAAUGAAAAUUGGAUAACUUACGGGGGCAGCGGUGGUGGUAAAAGAGAGUUGUAGAUUUCGGAGACAUAGCGAUUAGGCGGGGUCGUCGACAGCUCGGAAGACGAGACGCUCUGUAUUAUCACCGUUGAUAAGAGAAGAAAUAUGAGGGCGCGUCUCAUCUCGCAGAUCGGCCGAUAAAUUCUGUAAUUACGAGAGUUGAAUUCGGGAGAUUUUCGAUUCUAAUUUCUAAACGCGGGAGUCAAGGGUUGCACUACAGCGUCGUUCACCGUUGCUUUCUCCAGUCGUAACGCCGUGUUUGGCUGGUUGUACAUUUCUUUUUUUUCUCUUUCUCCUUUUUUUUUUAACUUUUCAGGGUGUAAAUUGCUUUGAAAAAAGGAAAAACGUGAUCAAUAAUAAUAAAGAAUUAAGAAAGGAAUUCCUUCAAACAGUAUUAUCAAAAAAUUUAUUUGCUCUCACUAGGGAUGGCAAUGGACACCGCCCGCAGCGGGUUUGCCAUUACCAAACCCAAACCCGCACAAAAUUUAAAUUACCAAACCCACCCGCAACCCGCAGCGGGUUUUAAUUUUUUUAAAAAAACCCACCCGCAGCGGGUUUUAACAAUUACCAAACCCGCAAUGGUAUCCGGCGGAUUUUUUGCGGGUUUCCGUAUUUAAAAUCACAAAUAUUUAAUAUAUAAAUUUAUAAUAAUAACCUCAAAUUCCAUAUAUCAUACUCAAUUUUAUAUUUAAACAAUGUCAAUGAAAAAUUAAAAUUUCCACAUCAAUUCAAUACAAAUUCUCAAAUUUAAUUAUAAAUUACACAAAUCUAUUUAAAAAACACAAACUAGUAUCUAAAAAUAAUAAUUACAUUUCAUAUUAUCAUUUAAAACAAGAUCCAAGAGAAGAUAUUCAUUUCAUUCACCAGCAUAAGCACCCAUCCAACACAAUGCCUAUAAUAAUAAUUAAGAUUAAUAUUUUCAAAUACUAAUUCGAAGGGAAAUGCCUUUAGUUUUCUUUAGGUUAUGACUUUAGAAUAAGAGAUGGGCCACAUACAUACAUACAUACACAACUUUGAGCCUUUGUCUAUUUGGUAAUUUGAUUAAUGACAUUAUUUUCUUUAUACAUUUUUAUAUUUAAAUUAAAUUAAAAAUAUUUGAAAAAAAUAUUGCGGGUUUGGUGGAUAUCCAUGCGGGUAUCCACCGGAUAUAAGGUUAAUACCAAACCCACCCGCAUCCAUGUGCGGGUUUUAAUUUAUAAUACUAAACCCGCCCGCAACGGGUAAAAUUACCCGCAACGGGCGGGUUUUGGCGGGUGGGUUUGGGCGGGUUUGCGGGUUUGCGGGUACAAUUGCCAUCCCUAGCUCUCACAGUCGUGUUGAUAUUACUCACAAAAUCAUAGAAAUAAAUAACCAAAUUUAAUUUCUGAAUUUAUCGUAUCACAGGGCAGCUUUUGUGUUUUUUUUUUUUUGAUACACUGAUAUAUUAUAAUUUUGAUAUAUUACAAUCUUAAUAUUUACAAUCUGAAAUUCAUCGAAACUUAUCCUAAGUAAUUCUAUUACAGCACAGUCCAAAUAUUAAUCCUCACUUAAUUGAAAAAAGAUUUUUCCUCACUAUUUAUAUUGGAGGAAAAUCGAUCCUACCUUAAUAUAGACAAAUCCAUUAAUAUGAUAUUAUUAAAAUGGUCCUGAAGUUCAGUGUCGCAAAUAGAUAGAUAAUCAUCACUGCAUCCACAUAAAAAUGCAUUUGGUUGAGGAGAAAUAUGACUUUGGGAUAAUUUAGUGGUAUUCUGUCAUACAAUCAUACUAUCAAAAGAUUAGCAGGAUUAUUAAUGGGUAUUACUUUAAGACCAACUGUUUUAUCAUAUUGAGGUGGAGUGAUAGACUCACAUAAAUUAUUUUCUUCUUAGUUGAUGGAUAAAUAAUUGAGAAUUAAAUUUUUUUUUAUAAUUAUUUGAUAUUUUUUAAUUAUUGAAGUAAUUAAAUAAUAAUAAUAAUUUUUAUAGAUUUUAAUACAACCUCCUGUUUGGUAUGAACAAAAUAAGUUCAGGAUAUCUUAUCUUUGACACAUACUUUGGUAAGAUUACAAAAAGUUUUUAUCCCGGAGGACUUGGGGUAAUCUAUAUAAUACGCCUAAAAUAAUUUCAAAUAAAUUGUAGGUUAAUCAAAAUACAUUAAUAAUUUCAUUAUUAAAAAGAUAGUGCGGCCGUCCCAAAGCUCUCCGCAGAACACGGGCGUGGCUGGUCCUACCACGACCAUUUGGUGUGAAGUUGGUAAGAAUAAAACAGUCUAUAUAGUAAUUCUGUUUUCUCAUUCUCAAUGUGCGUCUCUCUAACAAAGACCAAUUGAUUCUGCAAGAUCAUCGGCUUGACAUAUAAUUUGAUAAAUUGUCUGUUCAACUCACUCAGUUGUCAUUAAUAUAAAAGCAUUUUGUGACAAAGGCUGCGAAAAACCUAUGUAAUUAAUUAGCCAACCAAUUAAGAAAGAAUUUAAGCUUCAUAAACUUUGCACUCCUCAUCGGCAGGGUUUGUCUGGCAGAAAUCCUCCAAUGGGUCUCCGCUUCCGCCUGCAGCCACGCCUGGCCACUUGGUUGCAACCAAAUGCGCCAAAUCGACAACCCUUUGGCUGCAAAAUGACAUUUAAAUAGUCGUUAACUUAAAUACACAGUUACAAUUAAUUCAUGUUUAAACAGCUCAUCUUACAAGAUGAACGUUACAAUGUGCCUAACUUUACAAUGCUCAAAAGUGAGAGGUUCUGUGCGCUGUGUCACUAAACUAGGGUAACAUUUAGGCUCUGCAAUGAGAUAGAAUUCUCACCUGUAUCCCCAUUCAUUGUCGUACCAGGCAACAACCUUGACCAUAUCAUCACCCAUGACCAUGGUCAAUGAAGAGUCAAUGGUGGAGGAAACAUCAGAGCAUCGGAAGUCCACCGACACCAGUGGAACAUCGCAGACGGCCAAUAUGCCCUUCAGUGGCCCCUCAGCGGCCUUUCUGAAGGCUGCAUUAACAUCUUCAGCUGUAAUACCCUUUUUCUCAACGUUCACAACAAGGUCAACGACUGAAACAUUUGGUGUUGGCACACGGAGCGCAAUGCCGUUGAGCUUGCCCUUGAGCUGUGGCAGCACAAGAGAAACAGCCUUGGCGGCACCUGUGCUCGUUGGGACAAUGCUCAACGCUGCAGCUCUCGCUCUCCUCAAGUCCCUGUGUGAAGCAUCCAAGAGCCUCUGGAAACAAGAAACAAUUCUUCAGUUUCGUCCUCAUUUCCAGUAACAUGUUAUUAGAAUCAAUUGGCAGACCUCAUAACAUGAUCUGUAAGUAACAAUUUGAUUUAAUAGUGAAGUAGACAUUUUAUUAUGUCUGAUUACCUGGUCUCCAGUGUAGGAGUGAGUAGUUGUCAUCGUUCCCUUGACAAUCCCUGCAAAGUAGUUUGUUGUUGUCAAAAAAACUCAAUUCAAUGAGUGAUCGUUCAGGAGUUCGGAUUGCUUACCCAAUUCUUCAUCCAUGACCUUCACAAAAGGAGCCAAACAGUUUGUGGUGCAAGAAGCAUUGCUGCGGACGCCAAAUUGGUUAUCAAGCUUAUGAAACGGAAAAGAGUUGCCAUUUUAAUUAUCAUGCACGAAUACACUGACCUCACAAUGUUUGCAACCUCGUGAUCGUAAUCCUUCUCGUUAACUCCAACAACAUAGGUUGGAAUGUCUGCACCUUUUGCUGGAGCAGUGAUAAUAACUUUCUUGGCACCAGCUUGGAUGUGCUUUCCAGCACCAGGGCCGUCCACAAAAACUCCUGUUCCCUGAAGAACAUGAAGUAAACCGAUCAAUUACCCUAAAUGGAGUAUUAUUUACUUGGUUAGAUGGGUACUUGUUGCUGUUAGUGUCUGUCAGCUUAGAAUAACUUUUGUACUCAGGCACAAACAUCCAAAAAAUUAGUAUUUACUCUGUGUGUGUGUGUGUGUGUCAAUUGACAACCGUGACAGGUGUUUUUUUUUUUUUUAAUUAACAUCUGGUGCUGAAAAAUAUUGCGAUAUAUGCAAGUAGCUACCUCAAUAACGAUGUCAAUUCCGAGCUCAGCCCAAGGGAGCUGGAGAGGGUCCCUGUUAGAGACAACCUUGAUGAGCUUACCAUCGACAGAGAUGGUCUCGUUGUCCACUAUUUUCACGUCUGCUUUAAAAGUUCCAAGCAGUGAGUCAUAUUUUAGAAGGUGUGAAGCCUGUAGUCAAUUAGUCAUUUUGCAGAUCAUUAAUCAAUCAAUGUAAUCAAAGUUUCCAGCUAAGUUACUGAGCUUCAGAUAUAGCAAUUCAAAAAAUAAUAGGUUCACUCACAUUCUUGACACCACCACUGUCAUUGACAACAACAACAUCAAGGGGUGAGUCUUUCCUGCCGUGCCAGCAUCGGAGGAAGUUCCUGCCAAUGCGUCCAAAUCCAUUAAUUGCCACCUUCAAUUUGGCCAUGGUUUCUUUCUUUACAGGAACUGAUCCUGAUGCAACCUAUUUUUAAGAAUUAAAACCCAACAUAACAUAUAUAUCAGUUCCAUUUAUCUAAGAGUACAGUACUCUCAACAAUAUAUGAAUUUAUUAUUGUAGCUUGAACAAUACACUAUUCGAACAUAAAGAAACUAUCUCACCAGACAGUCAUCUGAUCACAAUACUAAUAAAUUUCUAGUAAUAUAGGAAACCCACCAAAUUUGGCUGGAAAUAAUAAUAAUAAUAAUUCUUAACUUUAUUUGCAAAGAUGCGUAGCCUAAGCCUUCCACAUACAUCAACUUUUCAGAGAGUAAAAGUAAAGAAACCUUGGGAGUAAGUUGAGCAGUCACAGCAUCAAAGAAGGAUGCAUCUCUAGCACCAGUGGCGUAUGUCGCGCCUGCAUUUGCUCGAAGGCCAGCGAAUUCAGCCACAUCCAGCCUCUACAGAACCAACAAGAAAUUAUUAUGAAACAACUCUAAAAUGUUAGUAAUACCUUAGCUCAAAUGCAUGAGCAGGUAAAAGUGAGAGACCUUGGUGGAGCAUUGAGUGGGAAAAGAGUGAGUAGUCUUGGAUGGAAUCCUAGUGAUGGCCGGGAUUCUUGAGGGAGCAAGAGCUGAGUGACUGGCCAUGGCCUGUUGCUUAGUUGCUGAUUUGCUGCAACUUCUAAAGCUGAGAGACUAAGUUCUCCUAGCUAUUUAUGCGGUUAAAUUCAGUUAUUAAGUUGAUGAUAGUCAUCAUUCAUGCUUCUCUCGUCAAAAUUUUAUUUAUUUAAAUUAUGGUUGCAAGUGAAUUAAACAAAUGUGUGGUCAGUGAUGGACAUAGACUAUUACGCAUGAGAUAAGAUUAUGCUUUUUGAGUUAGCCAACUUUGUAAUCUGAACCACAGAUAUUUCAACCCCUAACUCUUUCCUAUCAUGUCCAUCAAUGUUUUGUAAUCACCGUGAAUCUGAUUGCCACAACUGGAAUGCAGAAUCAGCCAAACGUAACAUACAUUGGCAAACAUAUAGAAAUGAUAGGCCCACAUGCAAUUGUUUGAGUUAGAUAGAUUUUUUAGUGAUGCUUCUCUGGCUAGAAUGUGAUCGUAUUGAAUGGCGGAGAUCAUUUUGAGGACAAUCAAAAUCUCCGUCAUUUCAGCUCUUCAGAAUGAGACGUGGUGAGCUUAAUUCAAAUCAUUUUCAUAGAAGAAUAAUCAUCGGACUCCGCGUUCAACAAACAAAGAUCUUAUGAUUAGCUGUCCCGUUCAGCAAGUCUCUUAUAUUAUCGGAUUAUCAGAUAAUCUGAGUAAUGCCUCAACUUACAAACUUGAAUUAUUCGAUGUAAGAUCAUAAGGCCCGGGAAUGACUAGUGAAUCCAUGCUUCCAGCAAGGUAUACUGCAAUAUUCACGAGAUAAUACAAUACAAUAUUUCAAUGAAGGCAAUAAAAAGGUUCCAGAACUUGUAGCAGCACAGGAACAGAUGAGAUACAACUAAAUCAAACUGGGUCCAAAAACUAUGCUGGUUUAUGAGUUAUUUAGGACAAAUUACAUGUAACUGAUGCAAGAAACCACAAAAUUAAAGGACGAGCGUUUCAAAGAAGAGAUGGAACUCAUUAUAACAGAUUCAACUAUUAUUUCUUGACAUAGAGCUUGCUAGUAGUGAAAGCCAACAAGAGACGUUCAUAUAUUAGCUUCAACUUCUCCAGAGUUCACAGCCACUCCAUUUGGAGCAUCAUCAUCUUCUGUUCGAAGCUGAGCAGAAACAUCAUCAAUAGCAGAGUUCAGCUGAGCUAUCUUUUCGGUCAGUAUUUUUCGAGUUUUCUGUAGAUCAAAGAAACCAAAUGUCAUUGUCAGUCCACUAUCAAGGAAGGAGCUAUUUGAAAACAAUGAAGAGUAAAAUAUCCAGGCUAUUGAUGAACAAUGAAGUGUAAAAUAUUCAGUAAACCAGUGUGAGUUGAGUUACUAGUGAGGUGACUCCCACAAUAGAACUUUAGGAUAAGGGAAGCCAAUAUAUAGAUAGAAUUUCGUAAAAUUCACCUAACGUUCUGCAAGUUCAUCCAUUUCAGGAAAAUUUAACCAACAAAAAUUAAGCAAGGCAAGGGUUGAAUAAAUUGGAAUAAUCACCAUAAGAAAAUUUUAUAUGAGCCAAUAUAAAACCAAAAUUGGGUGAAAAAAACGGAAGUAAACCCUGCUCUAAGCCUUUAUCAAGCCAAGAAAUAUUGACAAAAUGUCAAAAUAAUGGCUCACCUCCAAAGCUUUUUCUUCGUCAUAUAUGAACUUGGGCAAUUUUCUCAUUAGAUCCUUCCUGUCAGCUGCAGCACCAGCUAGCGCCUUGCUGAUCUGUAUAAGAACAUCAGAACGAGAAUUUCAACCAAUAGCCUCAAGUGACUAUAAUAAAUUUUAUAAAAAAUAAAUAAAUAAGUGAAAGAACAGAAGUCAGUUGGCCAAUCCUAGAUACUCUUUGGGCUGCUGGACAUAGUUUUGACCAUAUAACAAAGUAAAAUCUGGUCAUGUGGUCAUUGGAAAUAUUACAACAAACUAUCAAUUGAAGAAUACACUGAUAAAGAGCACUAACACAAUUUUAUCAGCAUCCAUUGGCAAAUUAUAAUUACAACCAUCAAUUGAAGAACACACUGACAAAGAGUAUUAACACAGUUUUAUCAGCAUCCAUUUGCAAAAUAUAAUUACAAACUAUGAGGUAUUUCUAACCUGAGGCGCAUAUACACAUCCAAGUGUCCCAACUAUGAUUCCUCCAAGAACAAAACCACCAACAAAGAAGCCAGCACUAUUUGCCCUUCCACCCUCGCUGUAUGAACAGUACAUAGAAGCAGGUGAGUGGGAACAGAACAAGGGUGUAGGUCAAUAUGAAACAUGACAAUUGAAUAAUGGGUUCACAACCUUUCAAAUUCAAUGAUACACUACAAUUGCACACAAACACUUCAAAAAGCAAUGGCAGCACAAAGAAAUGGGAAAGAGAAUACCUAUUUGAAGCAUGAACUUUGAAAGGCCUUCUUCUGGAGGAAGAAAGCUGGACUUUCCAUUGACGAUUUGGACUGAAUGACAAGUUGGCAGGGGUGUUACUCCCAAGACAUAGGUCCAAUGGCUUCAAAAAGGAGCCUAACAGAAAAGUUGCAAAAACGAUAAUCAUGGAAAAAUUAACAGUCAUUCAAAAGCAGGCAUGAUGAGCAUAUGAACAGUAACAAUUCACUAAAAGAAAUGUCCCAAAGCCAGGUUUAGCAGAGAUACGUACACCCUGAGUUGACCUCACAUUCAUGAGCAUUUCAAAUACAUCCAAGGUUAAAAAACAAAACCCGUAAAUUCAAUUUCCAAGAAUAGAAGAUAUCAAUAAUGGGGGGACAUAUAAACAAGACAUGAAGAGCAAUCCAUAAAUUACAGCAAUAAGUUCAGAGUUAGUCAAGCACAUCAAUUUUAUCCGACAUCCAUACAUUUUUUUUUUUUUAAUACUGCCGAUGAAAAGUGCAAAUGGCUACUCUGCGGUGACAACAUCAGCAACACAAUCCCAAACACACCCUAAAAUAGAAAUACCGAAUCCUAGGCCUGGUUAGCACUGUAUCAAUAAUCAUUUCUCUUUAUUAUUAUUAUUAUUAUUAUUAUUUUGGUUUCCUCGAAUCCCCUUAAUCUACUACAAAUCAAUCUCUGAGAAUACACAAUUAAAAAAAAAAAAAACCCACGCCGAAUCACACAGAUCGAGUAUAACGAUAACAGCAAAAUGAUAAGAUAGUGAAACUGAAAGCCAUUGAGAUCAAAUUGAAAUUGAAAUUGAAAUUGAAAUUGAAAUGCGAAAUGUUUACCAGACGAUAGCUCGACGCGAGGGUUCUUCGGUAAAACCAAAGAAUUAGAAACAGCAGUCAUUUUAGUUAGUAUCGACUGAGAGAAACUGAGAAAUAGAGAGAGCGAGAGAGAUUAUAAGGUUUAUAUAUAUAUAUAUAUAUACAGGUAUAUAUGACUUAUAGUGAGCGAGCAGAGUAGUGUGAUUUGCUUUUGUUUUAAUGGUUUUCGGUGUCAAGCUGCUACAGCAUCUACAACAUCAGCCAUCAGGUGGCUUUAGCUCCUUCUCCGUUCGAUGAUUUCGAUGCAUUUUUUGUUUUUUGUUUUUUUUUUUCCUUUUUUUAAAAAAUAUAUUUUUGUCAGUAUAGCGUGAGUUAUUUGAAUAUGGCCCGGCCUGCUCGUUCUAAACCGGCUGAGUCAGAGUUGGGCCUUCUUCCAAGACCCAAGAGCCCGACAGGGAACUCUAAUCUAUUCCGCCAGCAAUUUUUUUUUUUUUUAAAGUUAAAAAUCAAAUGACCAAUAAAUUAAUUAUAUUGCAAAUGUUCUUUUUACUGUUACAAUGACCAAAAUAAUAAUGAAAAAAUUUUAAAUUGUAAGCUGUUAUUGUAUAAGAUUUCAUCGGAUGAACAUUUCCAUGUUGUUGUGAUGCUUUUUACUUGUUCACAUUUGUGAGAAAAUUAAUUGAGUGAAAGAUCUUGUUUCUAAUUACAUUACCCCAGCAUCGCCAACUUUAUGACAAUUUUCACCCUCUAAGAAUUAAGAAAUAGAAUUUUGUUGUCUUCAAAUUCAAUUCUAUUAUCAAAAUCAUAUACCAGUUUUGAAACUUAUUCACCCACCAAAUUUUGUUUGAUAAUAUUAAUUUAAUAUUUAAUCCAAUGAUUUCUAGCAGCCAAUUCCAACUCCAUUUUACGAAGUCUCCCACCGAUUUAGUAAAUAAAAAUAACAAUGUUACCACCAAGAGAGACGAAAAUACCUAAGACGACUAUCCGUGUCGACUGUUGACUACGAGUGAUGAAUCAAACACAACAGUAUGAGUAUUAAUAAUUCUGUCUUUUGGCUCCAAUGUUAAUGGCCGGCUUCAUUUUAUAUUUUGUUGUAUAACAAUGACUAUUUUCAGGCGACACCAUCCGACAUCACAAAAUAACAAGCAAAACGAGACAAACUGAAGCUGUAUUUAAUAUAUAAAUGCAUUUCCAAAUGCAAACUUGAAUUCGUUUGCUUUGGUUCCUCCUCGAUCUUCACGUAACUAAUUAAGCCUGCUGAGAUUCUGCUGCAAUUAAGUCAUGGCUGGUGGUGGUGGUGGUGCUGCUGCUGCUGCUGCGGGAGAUAGAUCAUUAAGAGAUACACCGACAUGGGCAGUUGCUCUUGUUUGUGCUGUGCUUCUUAUUUUAUCCAUACUCAUAGAGCAUGGGAUUCAUUCUCUUAGCAAGGUGCGUUUGUUAUAUAAUUACAUAAUUGUUCGCAUAAUUAUAAAAGAUCAAAUCGCGCGUACUAAUUUAAUACUGUAUGUAUGAGCACCUAAUAUAACUGGGUGUUUUGUGUUGUUGCCUUACAAUAUUUAUUGGCAGUGGUUUCAAAAACGGCAGAAGAAGGCCAUGAGUGAAGCCCUUGAGAAAAUUAAAGCUGGUUAGACUCAACAUCUUUAUCUACGUUCUUUUAGUACUUUUAAAUGUUUAUGGAUUAAUCAACUUCGAAUUUUGAUGAUAUAUUUUUUUUUGUUGGGGGUUUAAAUUUACAGAGCUGAUGCUUUUGGGCUUUCUAUCCUUGCUUCUAACUGUGGGUACAAGAUUUAUUUAUAAGAUAUGCAUCCCUGCUGAAUACGGAAACACUAUGCUUCCAUGCAAAAUUGAGAAUGAUACAGGAGGUGAUGAUGACGAUCAUCGGAGAAAGUUACUUCUGUACUCCGGAGAUGUGAUGUGGCGUCGGGUUUUGGCCGCGCCCGCCGGUGGGGAUGAUUAUUGCUCGAGAAAGGUAAAAGUUGGUAAUUAUUAUUAACACGCCAACAACAACAACAACUAGGUACAUAUGUUGGUAUUCUAUUUUCAAAAUCCAGACGUAUUAGUGGCUUUGCUUUUAAUCUUGUCUUCAGGGACAAGUGUCGUUGAUUUCACUGACGGGGCUUCACCAAUUGCAUAUAUUUAUAUUCGUUCUUGCCGUCUUUCACGUUCUGUAUAGCGUUAUCACAAUCGCAUUGGCCAAGGCCAAAGUAAGUUUUCAUCAUUUUAUUUUUAUUUCCAGCUCAAAAUAAUAAUAAUAAUAAUAAUAAUAAUAAUAAUAAUAAUAAUAAUAAUAAUAAUAAUAAUAAAUCUGAUGAAUUUUUGUUUUGCUGUUAUUAUUAUCAUUAUUAUUUUUUUCGGGGUUUAAUCAGAUGAAGAAAUGGCAGUCUUGGGAAUUAGAAACCAACUCCUUGGAGUACCAAUUCACAAAUGGUGAGUGCCUCGUGCAAAUAGGGCCUAGAUCGAACUAGAUAUAGGUGAUAGUAUGGGCCACAGGCUCAUUAACAAUAGCAGAUCUAAUUGGGCUUUCUUUAACAGAUCCAGCAAGAUUCAGGUUCACUCAUCAGACUUCUUUUGUGAAGAGACAUUCUGGCUUGUCCAGAACCCCUGGAAUUAGAUGGAUUGUAAGCUUCAAAAGCCCAACUCAUACUACUAAGUACUGAGUGAGAAAAAACCCCAAGUAAUUAUUCUCGGACAUCAAUAUCUUUUUCACAAAAUGAAAUCGAAUGCAGGUGGCAUUCUUCAGGCAAUUCUUUGGUUCAGUAUCAAAGGUGGAUUAUAUGACAAUGCGCCAUGGAUUUAUCAAUGUAAGUGAUCAUUAUUAAUUAAUAAAGGAACCAACCAGCCAACAAUGUAAUUUAUAAGUAUAAGCAUUGAAAUAAUGGAAUAUUGAUUAUUGAUAUUUAACAAUAACAGGCACAUUUUGCUCCUAAUACCUCAUUUGACUUCCAUAAGUACAUCAAAAGAUCUCUGGAAGAUGAUUUCAAGGUUGUCGUCGGAAUCAGGUGAAUCGAACAUUAAUAAUUUAAUAAAAUUUUGUCAUGUAUAUAUUUAGUUACACGAGUGGAAUGAAUAAAAUUAUUAUGUGCACUUCACCGUUCCUCGGACGGUUGUAUGCGCCAUAUACACACACUAAUUCUAAUGUAUUUUAUUUAAUUUGAUUUUGCAGUAUCCCUCUAUGGAUUGUUGCUGUAAUCUUUUUGCUUGUAAAUGUAUACAGUUAAGUUAAUCUCCAUCUCCUUUUUCCCAUGCACUCUUGUGCAGGCACUUUAACUAACUAAUGGUAUCUCAAGGAAAUUAAUUAACCAUUAACAAUAUGAAUCUGCCGCUGCAGAAUGGGACUCACUUAGCUGGUUAACAGCAGCUCCACUCGUUGUAAGUCACUCAUCUAUUAAACUGUCUCCCAAUUAAUUAAUUAAGUUCGUUUAUUAACAGUCAGUGGAUAAAUUUGCAGAUACUUCUCUUGGUGGGUACAAAGCUAGAACUAGUCAUAAUGGAAAUGGCACAAGAAAUUCAAGAUCGAACAACGGUUGUAAGAGGGGCUCCAGUUGUUGAGCCAAACAACAAAUAUUUUUGGUUCAAUCGCCCCGAAUGGAUUCUCUUCUUAAUACACUACACCUUGUUUCAGGUAAAAAUUCAGAAUAACUGGUCAUAAUAAGCUCCUGCACUAACAUAAUUAACUAAAAAGCCUGAUACGCACGUACCCUUAAUUUACAGAAUGCGUUCCAAAUGGCGUUUUUCUUGUGGAUAGUGGUAAGUACCACUUAAUUAAUUAAUCAUUUAAUUUAUUUGUUUAUUAGGAAACUUUUUUUUUUCUUUUCGAUUAUCGUAUAUUAAUUAGAUGACAUGUAAUAGAAUAUGUUAUAUGCAUGCAUGCAGUAUGAAUUCGGGAUUCAUUCUUGCUUUCACGAGAACCUGCCACUAAUUUUGACGAGGGUUAUAGUCGGAGUGGCCUUACAGUUCCUGUGCAGCUAUAUCACUUUCCCUCUCUAUGCCUUGGUAACACAAGUGAGUAGGUCGUAGAUAUAAGAGGGGUUUAUACAUGAUAUAUAAUUUCAAUAAAGAUAAUGAUAUAUAAACAUAUACUAAAAAGAAAAUUAAUUAAAUUGAUAUCAAUGCAUGCAUGGGAUCAUGCUUCGAUGUGAUGUGCAUGCUGUGAUUGCAGAUGGGGUCUCACAUGAAGAAAUCAAUAUUUGAAGAGCAAACAGCAAAGGCUCUUAAAAAGUGGCAAAAGGCAGCAAAGGAGAGAAGGAGAUCGAGGAAUAAAGCAGCCGCAGGAGCAGAUAAAUGUAGUAUCAUGAGCAUCCAUGGCCAUGGCUCCCCUUCUCCUCCUUCUUCAGGAUUCUUGAGCGGAGAAAAUACACCAAGCCAAGGGGCAUCACCGAUUCACUUGCUUCACCAUUACAAAUGCAGAUCUAAUCGACAGGACAUUGAAAGCGUAAGAUCUUACCAAUCUGAUAAUGAGCUCUCUGAGAUUGAACCUUCUUCGACUCAUCAUCAUCAUCAAGAUCAAGGAAGAGAUGAAGAUCUACAUAACAGUGACUUUUCAUUUGUAAAACUUUGAUAUUCAAUUUUUACGUAGCAAAUCUAAUGAGCAGUGGUUAAGAACAAUAAACGAUAUACGAUUUCAUUCUUAAGUAGUACCAAGCAAAGAGCAAUAUUAAUGACAGGUUACAUGUAGUAAUGCUGUUCUUAUUGAAAAUGAUGACAACUUAAUUAUGAAUUCUUCUUAAUCGAACACCGAUUAAACAGUUCGUCAAAAUCAUGUAUGCAUGUCAAUCAAGGUCGAAGUUUAUCGAUGAUCGAUCUUUAUUAAUUAGUACUGUUAUUUUAAGAAGGAAACAACUAUUUUUUCUCCCCAGUUUAUCUUAAUUUUGCCUAAUUCAUUGGGUUAAAAAUUAAAUCGUUAACAAGCUCUGAAUGAACAUAAUUUUACUUACAUUUUCAGAGGAUCCUAAAUUCCUAAUAUCGAAAUAGAUAUAAGUUAACUAAAACUAAUUAAUAAACAAACCAAUCAAAUAUAUGUAGGCUGCAGCCAUGCCAACUUGAGCAUUUUUUAUGAGCCUUAAGUAAUAAUUGUCUAUUUUCAGAGUCACUUUUGAUAAGAUUAAAAAGACGACCCAUCUUUAUUAACACAUUUUGGAUCAUUGCAUUAGAAUUGUCAUAGUUCCCUCAGCUGGAAUCGUGCUAGCUUAUGAACCUUUUAUUGUUUUAAUAACGACGAUGAUGAUGAUGAUGAUGCUACUAUAGAUAUACAUAUAUAUUCCGUGGGAGAGAAAUGUCAUUCAUGACGUUUAAUUGAAGGGGCUUCAUCAUGAAGAAAGUUUAAUUGGGAAUAAAUUAUAAAGAUUCCUCAUCAUUAGUUACAACAAAGACAAGAGGUGAAAUAAUUUAAACAUAAAAUCAAACCUCGCGUGUUUCCUCAAAAUUAUAAAUAGGUUAAAGAACCCUUAUCUUUAAAGCAUUUGUAAAUAAAAAGAAUACAAAUUGGGACAAAAAUCUAAGUCCAUGUUGAACAAAAUAGUAGGUAGCAAUUGUUUAUUAAUUUGAAGCAUUCAGGCAGCUCAAUUAAGCUAAGCAUCUACGCUAAGUCAACAUGCUUGCAUAUUGCUACAAUAUUGUAACUAAUUUUUUUAAUGUUCUACUUUCUCUUUUUCUGCAUUCUCUCUCUCUCUCUUUUUCUUUUUUCUUUUUUUGCUUAAAUAUGUUGUUCUUUUCUAUAAUCAAUUUCAUAAUUAACACAAUUAUUUGAUUAAAGUAUGUGAUAGUGUAUGAUGACAUAGGAGAAGAAUAAACAAAUUCAAUGAAGAGCACGGCAAUUCUUUGAAUGUAAACUUAGUUUAUCAAAUUAGAUGACAUGUAAACAUUUUGAAUUUUGUUAAAAAAGAAAAAAAGGUUUUUCCGUUUUUGGUUUUGUUCUCUUACAAUUUUUAUGCCAAAUUUUACACCUUAAAUUAUUUAAAAAAUAAAAACAAAAGCUUGUAUUUUCAUAAAAACUCAACACACAAUAGCAAAUACUAUUUGAUUAUUCCAUGUUGAAAGAUCAUUAGAUAUUAAGACUCAUAAUCCCUAAAUUAAUUCAUACUGACCGGCCUAAUUAAAGAGAAUAAAUGUAUUUCUUUGGUGGUUAUAUAAUUAUUUUAAAGAAAAAUAGGACGUCAUUUGCAAUUUUAAAAGACGACCCUUUUGUAAAUUAGGAUUUGUUCAAGGACCACAAUGAAAAUUAAAUUUAAGAAGUUAGCAAGCCGGCAUAAACAACGUGAAUAAGGCAACGAAACGCGAGAUGAAUAAACGUUUGGUAAAGAAACGCGUUGUUUUGAAAUUAAAAAUGGUUCCACAGCAUUCCGUUUUUAAUUCUUCUUCUGCUUCUUCCUCUACUUCUCUGCAAAGGCUCGUUGAUCCAUAAAUCGAGCUCCACAAACUCUGAAACUCAAAAUGAACUAAAUGGGUCGUCUUAAAUUCAGUUUUUAACAUCUGGGUCGAGAUUGAAAUUUCGAAACUUGGUUUUUGUGGCGACCAAAGUAGAGAGAAGCCAAGUAAAAAGGAUGACUUUUUUCUGAAGUAAAUGUUUUGAUGGGAGAUUGUAGAUUUACAUUAUGUAUUUAGUUAUUGUUUUUUUAUCAUAAGCGUUUUUUGAGGGGUUAACGGUGUUUAUUUAACGAGUGAGUGGACUUGCAAAUUUAUAACUAUGGCUAGGCGACAUGGAUGGCAACUUCCAGCUCACACUUUUCAGGUACUCUUUUUUUUUUUUAAUUUUUUUAGUUACAUAUUAUCAGUCUGUUCAAAUGUUGUUCAAUGUGCUUUUUGCAGAUAAGUUUUGAGUUUUAAUUGUAAGUAGAUUCUGUGUGUGAAUAAUUUUAGAGUGGUGGACUGGCGGGUAUACAACUAUUUAUUGUGUUUCUUCUUUCCCUGCUUGUGUGAGUUUUCCUCUUCAAUUACUGAAAAUACAAUGUGUGAGUUUUGAGAAAAGUCCUUUCUAUUUUCACUUUGGAGCCUGUAAAUCUUUAUGUUUGUGAAAUAGGGAGAUGACUCGUUCAAACAACUAGUUUUAGUAUAAUUUGCAUACUCAGUUACUGGUGAGAUCUCUUAUUAAAGAGGGAAAAAAAUGCAAGGAUUACUGAUGUUGAGGCCAACUUUUUAUGGUGGACAGGUUGUGGCUAUAACUGUCUUUUUCUUGUUAUCUGUUGCAUAUUAUGCGUUCUUUGCUCCUUUUCUUGGGACAGAAAUCUAUGAAUAUGUGGCAAUCGGUGUUUAUUCUGUCUUGGUAAGAACAAUCAAAGCCUAUUUUUUUUUUUUUUUCUCCAACAAGCCCUCACUUGUUUUCCCUUUGUCUGUUAUCUUAACGUUUGAGUUGGAAUUUCAGGCUUUCUGUGUAUUCAUUCUUUACGUGCGGUGCACUGGUAUUGAUCCUGCUGAUCCUGGAAUUCUAAUUGAACCUGACAAGAUAUCGGCGUAUAAAUUACAAAAUGACACUGAUCUGCCUGGUAAGUAUUCUGAUAAUUCUCAAAUUAGGGUGCUGAGUGCUGAAUCAGGUCGAAUUCACCACUUUGAUGUAUUAAGCAUACUUGGUUACUAAAUGUAAUAUAAAGGUUAUCCUGGAAGUUUCUCCAAUUAAUACACCGGACCUGUUGUUUUGCCUCAUGAUUCACUGAACUGGUGUUCAUCCUCUUUAUUAAACGGACAAUAAUCUGGUCCGGUUUCUUAUAAAAAAAGGGGACAAUAGUCUGGUCUUUCACCUGUCAAGAUACUUUCUUCUUUGCUUUUGAUCAGGCAAUGCAUCUCCUAUUGAAGAACCUAGUAAAGUAGGUCUAAAGGACGGAGGAAAUUCUAACGGGCAUGGUCCAGGUUGGUGCUCAAAAAUUGGAGGUUUCUUUUGUGGUUUUCUUGUAAUCAAAGAUUGCCGCAAAGAUGAAGAUCUACUACAAUCAGGAGAGGAGGAUGCUCUAUUCUGCACAUUAUGCAAUGCUGAGGUACAUGAUUGUUAGAGGCAGAGCUCUUUCUUUUAAAUGACAUUGUUUUCUUAUGCAUGGAAACCCCACAUUCUCACUCAAAUACUUCAAAAAACCCUAGAGAGAUAAAGAAAAGAGAAUAAAACUGUAAGAUAACUUAAUGAUUCAAAGACAGUAAUCUGCCAAUAUCUGGUUCUUUCAAUUUGCCAUGCUUGAACUUGAUGGGAUGGUCUGACCAGCUCGGGCACUCAAACAAAAGGUGAAAACAGAGAGUGAUACAUUAAACUGAACUGUGUACUAAAGAAAGUUUUUCUUUGCAGGUACGCAAGUUCAGCAAACAUUGCAGGAGUUGUGACAAAUGCGUUGAUGGAUUUGAUCAUCAUUGUCGGGUAAGAUUAGAUGUGUAUCCCUGUUAGUCUCCGGUAUGGAGAAGUCUCAGACAUUCUAGUCUUCUUUAUCUGAGGAGGCUUGAUGUAGAAUGGAAAAUUUUGCUUAGAAAAUUGCAAUCAUGUGCCACAUUUGAAUUUUAGCAUGCGUUCUUUUUGCGUCAUUAAUAGGAUAUCCUGGUAUAAAACAUACUCUGCAUGUCCUAUCUUUAUGGCACAAAGUAUUUACUAACUUAGUGCUGUUAUAUUUUUUUUUGUGGGGGGGGGGGGUUGUCAUCUUAAAUAUUUUUCUUCUGUAUAUGUUUAUGAAUAAUUUGGUACGACUAAAACUGUCUGCAUAUAUGUUGCAGUGGUUGAAUAAUUGCGUGGGAAGAAAGAACUAUAUUACCUUUGUGUGCCUUAUGGCAGCAAGCCUUGUCUGGGUAAGUCUUAGAAUGAUGCUUAUUUGGGUUGGGUAUGCAACCUUUCAGUUUAUACUUUAUAGUCCUACAACCUGUUUAAGCUAUCAUUGAGUGUAUGCAUAUGCAUUUUUUUUUGGUCUCAGCUUAUUGUGGAAUUUGGGGUUGGAGUUGCUGUCCUUGUUCGAUGCUUUGUGGAUAAAAAGGGUACAGAAAAUCAUAUAACUGAGAGGCUUGGAGUUGGAUUUUCUCUUCCCCCUUUUGCCACUGUAGUAGUAUGUUUCUGCAUCUCUGUGUACGGUUCAGAUUGUUUCUGUAUUAUCUGGAAAAGAUUCUUCUCUUAUUAAGGAAGAUUGAUGCGUGAUUAUUCUAAUUGUGUGACCUGUUAUCUGAGGCAAAUUUACCUCAGUUCAGGACAUAUACCCAAUUUUCUCAACCAUUUGUAAAGUCACACAUUGGACUGUUAAUAACGUGGAAAUGGUGCUGAAUCCAUGGAAGAGCAACUAAUGCUUUACAUUAAUGAUUUCAGGCCAUAUGCACGGCUGUUUCUUUUCUGGCCACCGUGCCUCUUGGAGAACUAUUCUUUUUCCACAUGAUUCUGAUACGAAAGGUAACUUCUUGAAAUGACUUCCUCCCUCUUCCUUUUCUUCUGUCUUUCUAUAUGCAUUUGCAAAUAUUCAGUUUUUGUUGUUUCUGGCACAGGGUAUCACAACAUAUGAGUACGUCGUUGCUAUGAGAACUCAAAGUGAACCACCUGGACCAUCUAUUGAUGAAGGAGACCAACAAAGUGUGCCAACUUCUCCAACCAGUUCCGCUGUGACUGCAAUCAGUGGAAGAAGCUCUCUUGGAAUGAGUCUGCAAUACAAAGGUGCUUGGUGUACUCCUCCAAGGAUCUUCAUGGACCACCAGGUACCACUUCAUUAAUUUAACCUUGUCAACUUUGAUUGAGGAGUGUUUUUUCUCUUAUGGACAUAGACUGAAUGGGAGCUGUUGAUUUAAAUUGUCAUAAAUACCAUCCAUAAUUGGAAAGGCUGUAAACUAUUAAGACUAUGCUGGGUGUAUGUUUAAUUACUAGGGAAACUCUUGACAUGUACUUAUUACUACUAUGUAAUUUUCUUUGUUGGGAAACUGUUUCCAUAUCGUAUUUCACAUGCUCUGCGUUUUCUUUGGAAAUGGCCAUCUCGGCUUCUUGUCUACUGGCGUGCUAGCCUUUAGAGAACUAGUUAAAAGAGGCUCCUCAAAAUAAUGGGGGAACAUCAGUAAGUACGCUAAUGCUUUUGUGUUGAAAGAUAAUUCCCCUGUAUGCUAUUGUUGGCUGAGUUUCAAUUUCUAUCCUCACAACAACACAGAAAGUGUGUAGAUCUCCUACAUAAAAAGUUCAUAACUGGAUUUAUUUUCUGUAUUUUAUUUUUAUAAGCAGGACGAAGUUAUACCACAUCUGGAACCAGGACGCUUACCAUCCACGGUUGAUCCAGAUGCUGUGGGAGCUGACAAAGGGAAAAGGUUGGCCCAGCGUCCGGUACGAAUCAGUGCAUGGAAACUUGCAAAGUUGGAUUCCACUGAGGCAAUGAGAGCUGCAGCAAAAGCUAGAGCAUCAUCAUCUGUUCUACGUCCAAUUGGUGCUCGACAACAUCCAUAUGAUGCUGAUGAUUUCUGCAGCAGCAAUGUAAGCGGAAGAAGUAGCCCGGUCAGCAGUAACCAAGGUUUUCCAUCCAGAAACAAUAAAGCAGGGAAAUCAAAGAGCUCAUAUCCACCGAGUCGUGCUAGCAGGGAAGAUAGUGAGACGUGCGGUCAGAGUCUUAGUAACUUUAGCAGUCCCCAUGUUUCUAACCUUGCCCCAUCUCCAUUGGUGCAGCAUAUUUCUAGCAUGGAUCACUUCAACCCCAUGUAUCAAUCAUCAGCUAACCAAUCUCCUUUGUCAGUAAGACAAAGCCUAGGACACGAAACCACUGUCCAUGAAACUGCAGCUCAAGCUCCCAUCAGAAAAAAAGGGAGUACAGCUGUAGAAAAUUCAAGAAAUUCAGUCUUUUGGGAUCCAGAAGCUGGGCGCUUUGUCUCCUCUUCUUCGGGAGGUGCUGGUUCUUCUCAGGUACUGGGGGCAGAGCUUUUGUACACAGGUCAAUCUAUAUUCUUUGGUGGUCCUCUUGUGAAUGAUCAGCUGAGCAGAGGGACAAGAACUGGCAGUUCAAUGGCCUAUAGUCUCGAUAGACGUUCCACGUCAAGUAAUUAUCAACAAAGUAGAUUACAGAGGGGCGGCCAGCUACCUGUGUUUGUUCCAAGUGAUUCUCGGUCUCAGCACAAGCAAUUUUCGUCAAGGUUGCCUUGAAAGCUAAAUUAGGAACAGUGAUUUGUCUCUCUUUCCUUUUUUUUGUUUUCCCCUCCCCGAUGAAUAGAGUUAGAAUUUUCUUUUGCAUGUGGUCUUUUUGGUUUAUUGUGCAGCUAACUUAAUAGCUUUGCCUAUAUUUGUUUUCCCUGUUGUUACUACUAACCCGAGGGCCUCCGAACAUUUCGGCUACAGAUACUUGGAUCUUUGACCGCAAAGAAAUCUUUUUUGGCUUUAUUCAAUGCCAUGCUAUUAUCAUACGGGUAAAUACUCAUUUAAUCCCUAUAUUUUAAGAUUAGUAUUCAUUUAGUUCUUAUAUUUUUUAAAAUAUCUCGAAACAUCUCUGUUGUUAAAGUAUUGAUAUUCCUACUGUUAUUUUUUUAUUUCUUUUGACUUACUUUUAUAAUAUUACCCAUUAAUAAUAAUUUUUUUAUUUGGACAUUAAUAAAAAUAAAAUAAUUAAAUUAUCAAUUUAACCCUAAAAAAUAAAAAUAUAAAUUUAUAUUAAUUUUUAAUUAUCAAAAAUUGUAUGCAAACUACUAAGUGCGCAAACGGUGCUUGCAAAAAAAUUAAUAUAAUUUUUUUUAAUUUUUUAGGGUUAAAUUAGUCAUUUAAUUAUUUUCUUUUUAUUAAUGUCUAAAAAGGGUAAUAUUGUAAAAGUAAGCUAAAAGAAAUGAAAAAUAAUGACAGGAAUAUUUCGAGAUAUUUAAAAAAAUAUAAAAACUAAAUGAACACUAAUCUUAAAAUUCAAGAAUUAAAUAGGCUUUAAUCCUUAUCAUAUUUUUCAAAGUUCUUCAUCAGUCAAUUCGAUAUUCCCGCCUGUCACCCCGUCAACGGCAAAACUUUUAUUUUAUAUUUUUCUAACUCCAAAUUCUUACAUGCGUGGCUCUGAACUGAUUGAGAGACCGACCAUGCAUAGUUUACCUAAGUGCCUAACAAUGUAAGAGCUUAACCUAGUAUUAUAAAUCAAAAUUUAAAAACAAAAAAAAAGGGAUAAAUUUAAUUUCCUAUUUUAGCUAUUAUUUUGGCUACAUAAUCGAUUCUGAACCUCAUAUUAUGAUUAUCUCUCCUAUUAACACUCUGGUUUAUAGUUUUCAUCAAUGGCAAAAAGGCAUUUAACAAUUUUUGGUUCCCAAAAAGAUAGGCAAAACUUUCAACCAUAAUAACGGCCUAAUGAUCAUCUCCGUACACUUUUCUGUUACAAUGACAAAAAGAUAAACAAAAAAGAGUUAACCCAAAAAGGGGGUAAAAAAAAAAAAAAUUCCAUCAUCUCACCGGCCUUCUCUUUCACAAUUGAUUCUUGGAAUAAUUUGAACACAGUUAUACAACACAUUAAUAAUAGUAAUAAUAAUUGAGGGUUGCUUUUUUUUUUUUUGGGUUUUUGUGAGGAAGAAUUGGAAAAAACGACAGAAGAUGGCGGGUGGUGGUGGUGGUGGAGGAUCAGCUGGAAGAGAGCUUGAUCAAACACCAACAUGGGCAGUCUCUAUGGUUUGUGGUAUCAUUGUUGCACUUUCCUUCGUCCUCGAAGGGAUUUUUCAUUUGGUAGCAAAGGUACGUAACAACAUUUUAUUCACUUUAUUUAUUUUAUGCCUGUCUCGGCAAUGGAAUGCCUCAUGAAUUUCACAAUUCUUUCUUUCUUUUCUUUUUUCUUUUUUUGGGAGUGGGGUUGUUCCGCAAUGCAUUUGUUUAUUUAUUAUUAUUUUUUCUUUCCAGAUAUUUCAUAAAAGACACAAGUAUGCUAUGUUAGAGGCACUAGAGAAAAUUAAAGGAGGUAAAAAACAACCAAUUCUGGUUUUGUUGGUUUUAGUUCGACACCAAUAGUGGCCUAUUAAUCAAACACCUUGACCAAUUUUCCCUCCUCCGCAGAGCUCAUGAUUUUAGGUUUCAUAUCUUUACUCCUGACAUUCGGCCAAAAUUACAUUGCCCAAAUCUGUAUUCCGGUUGAGGUUGCUGAUACAAUGUUACCGUGUCGAAAAGAACGCUUGAAGAAAGUAAAGCACGAUUUGUUUAACAGCCGGGGCAGAGCUUUAUGGUAUGAGCAAAGAUUGUUAGCUGGUGAAGCGGACGAUGUCGGGUGCCAUAAGGUAAAUGCAUCUUGUUGAUUAAAGUGUUACUUGUAUGAUCUGCAUAUACCUGACCUUGAUCGUACAAUGAACACUCUUCGUUCUUUAAAAAAUAUUUGUCUACCGGAAGCAUCAAUAUUUAUUAUUAACCCAUUGGAACUAAACUGGACUGCCCUAAUCUUAAUGGUUUGGUAAUCGAGACUUAAGUGACGGCUAGUGGGCCUUUCCUUCCCAGCUCUCAAGUCUCAACUAAUAUGUUUUGCUUUUUAUAGGGGAAAGUGCCGCUUAUAUCCGUGCACGGACUACAUCAGUUGCACAUUUUCAUUUUCUUCUUGGCAGUGUUUCAUGUGUUUUACAGUGCAAUAACAAUGACGCUUGGAAGGCUGAAGGUGCGUGGUUAUAGGAAUUUUAUUUAUGACUGAAGGGACAAAUUCAAUUUCUUUUCCUCUUUUUUUUUUUUUUUUCAAAAGCAAUACAUUCAUUCAAGUUUAUAUGAAACAUGAUCAGUUGCUUAAUACAACCUCUGGCACGCAGAUCCGGAAGUGGAAGCAAUGGGAACGGGAAACUGAAUCUGAACAACAUAUGGUGAAUGGUAUAUGGUUAGAUGUUUGCGGUUAAAUUAUUAAUGAUGAGAGUAUGUGGUUAAAUUUAUUGCAUUUACCUGUAAUUUUUUCAGUGCUGGCUGACUUUGAGUUCGUGCUUAUCAUUCAGAUUCCUCAAGAUUUAGGCUCACUCACGAGACAUCAUUUGUUAGAGGCCACACCAAUAACUGGAUGAAAUCACCGACCAUCUUCUACCUUGUAAGAUGUUAGGGAACUGUUGUUUCUUUUCAUUUUUCCAUGUUGGAAUGGUGCAGAAAAAUAUGUUUUUUUUUUUUUUUUUUUUUAAAUUUUUUGGUCAUUUUGGCACAAAGAAAAUCAUGCUCUGAAAUCAUUCUUUAUGAGGCAUGGAUCCAUGUAUAGGAUGUAGGAGUGGCAAUAUGAGUAGAUAUGCCUAGUAAUUAUGCCAUUCAAGUUGAUGAUAAUGAUGGAAUUUACAAUCUCUUUGCAGAUAUGCUUUUUUCGACAAUUCUUCAGGUCUGUUCGCAAGGCUGAUUACCUUACCAUGAGACACGGAUUUAUCAAUGUGAGUUUCUCAAGUGCUGAAAUUCAAUGCGAGUUUCUCAAGUGCUGAAAAUUUCAGCAUAAUGCAUGUUUUUGGUGAAAUAGCCGUUCUAUUCUUGUAGGUUCAUUUAGCGCCAGGAAGUAAGUUUGACUUCCAAAAAUACAUCAAAAGAUCCCUGGAAGAUGAUUUCAAGGUGGUCGUAGGAAUUAGGUACGUUUUUCUGUAUUUGUUUACUUGAGAGAUUAAGUUGAUUAAACCCCCUGCCUCAAGUACCUUCUUUUAAUAAUUUAACAGAAAUUAUGUUAGUUUAGUGAUUUUCAAGUUUAUAAUUAUUUCCAUGUUCUUGUAACUAAUAUUUUCUUGCUGACAACAGUCCACCAUUAUGGGCAUCUAUGCUAGUCUUUUUGCUUCUUAAUAUUAAUGGUUAGUCAUUUUUUUUCAUAAUCUUUUCUAGCGUGUGAUCAUUUUAAGUCGGUGGUUAUCUUUUUGCAUAUGGAGAUUAACAACAAACUCUGCAUUUUGCAUUUCAGAUUGGUGGCCUGUUAUGUAUUUUAUGUCCUUCUUUCCUCUAAUGGUAAGAAAUUUGCAAUGAAAAAGUUAAAGCUUAUAUUGUUUACGAGCGUUUUUUUAUAAAUUAAAAGGUAACUAAGGAGGGUCAAUCAUAUGUAUGUGCGUGUGUGUGUGUGUGUGUGUGUAUUUUUGAAGGUAGUCUUAGCUGUUGGAACGAAGCUUCAAGGAAUUAUAUCACAGAUGGCAAUGGAAAUCAAAGAAAGACAUGUAGUUAUUCAGGGGAUACCUUUGGUGCAAGUCUCUGACAGCUAUUUUUGGUUUAAUCGACCUCAGUUAGUCCUCCGUUUGAUCCAUUUUGUCCUGUUUCAGGUAAGCGAACCUUCGCCUUCGGUAUUGUAUUGCAUGUCCUCAUUUUCGUUUGUGAGAGAUUAUUAAUUGCAAACAUUCAAGAUUAACGAAGAUUUCUGACAAAGGCUGUAUGUGUAUCUCAUCUGCAGAAUGCAUUUGAGAUUACGUAUUUCUUAUGGAUAUGGGUAAUAAACUGGUCUCCUCAUUUGUCCUUGAUAGUGAUAUGCAUUUGAGUUAGCUACGACAACAUUUUUCUAAAGCUUGCUCAUGCUGCAGUACGAGUUUGGAUUGACGUCUUGUUUCCAUGAUGAUUUUACACAUGCAAUUGUAAGAUUCUUUCUAGGGUAUGUCGGUCAAUCUUCUCGGAUAUUGCUUCAAAACAUCAUUCAUUAAAUCAAUUGUCAACUUGGAAGCAGUUAAUUAUUUUCUUGUAACACUGAAACAAUGUAGCAAAAAGACUCUUGAUUUUGAUUCAAUUUGGCAGGAUAGCAGUUCAAUUUAUGUGCAGCUACAUCACACUUCCACUCUAUGCUCUUGUUACUCAGGUACAUACAAAUUGAUUAAACAUUCCUUGGAGCUUUCUAUAAUCUUGUCGGAUUUUCACUGCUGUUAAUUUUCUAAUGGAUCAAAUAAAAUGAUUCACAGAUGGGAUCGACCAUGAAGAAGGCCAUCUUCGAUGACCAAACUUCAAAGGCCUUAAAGCAGUGGCACAGGAAAGCCAGGAAGCAUGAAAGCAUUCGUUCUAACUCUUCUUAUCAUCGUUCUCUAUCUCAUUCACUGUCUCAAUCAAUCAGAACGUUGGGAAGGCCGAUUAACAGCAUCCGACUGCAAUCGCUAACUUCACAACGAGUUGCACCAACAGCAGCGGCGGCGGCGGCGGCGGCGGCAGCAGCAGCGGCAGAAGUAGAAACCCAUCCUCCUAAUCAAACAGCAAACAUCACGGCUAGUGUUGAUCUUACUGGAGAUCAGCGUCAGCCUAACGACAAAGGCCCUCCUAACCGACAGCCACCUGAUCUUUUGAGUUAACCAUCCAUCAUGCUCGUGUUCUUGAAUUUUGAAGACGAUGCUGAUGCUUUGCUUGCAAUCAGGCUCUUCCUCAAUUCCCCCGAAACUGAAGAUUGAGUAAUAAUCCCACAAUUUCUGGGCCAAUUUUCCAAUUCAUUGUCUGAACAGUUCCGAGACAAUUCAGAUACAUGUGUAGCUCAGAGGAUGCCCCUGGUUCUCGUGUAAUACAUUUUGACAGUACCUCAGCUCACAGUUAUAUGUGCACUCUUAAUGCGUGUUCAUUCUUCUCUCUUAAUUUUGAAGACAAAAACUGGAGUUGUGUGAUAUUAAAUAUAUAUAUUAAAAAUUUGUAAGUAUCAAUUGUCUGUCGAAGCCUUCCUCUUUUUUUUAUUUAUUUUUUUAAAAAAAAUACAUAUAUGUAUAUGAAAAAAAAAAAAGAAGAAUUUUCAACAGGGUUAUGAAGGUAAUUUCAUUGAAAGGGAACUAGACCCUGGAUGGAGGAGAUAAUAUAUGCCGGAUUAUUUGCGGGUUUCAUUCAUGCAAUCUAAGAACUAAAGAAGCAACCUAUUUCCCAACGCCCAUGGCUUCAAUAAGGAGCUUAGGCAAAUGGACCGUUGAUCAUCAAAUUUGCCCACAACACACCACAAUACAAGCAAAGCAAGCUGUUGUCUCAAUACCCAUUUCAAGAAGAGCAGCAGCAAUUCUGAUAUCUUCACUCCCAUUUAGCGUCAUUUCACUACCCAAAUGCUCAGAAGCAAGAGAGAGACGCAACAAGAAAGCCAUCCCACUUGAAGCUUAUCAUACUACUUGUAACUUCGAACUUUCUUUUCCAACCCAUUUCAAGAAAUAGUUGGCUUUAAUUUCCAUUGAUUUUGGCGCACUGCAUCUAAGAAAUACGCAUUACAAAAUGACAAAGCAUUUGAUAAUUGAAAUUUGAUUUUGCAGCUGAUGGGUUGAAAUACUAUGAUAUUGUUGAGGGAAAAGGCCCAGUAGCUCAAAAAGGAUCAACAGUUCAGGUUGGUUUAAACUUUAAAGUAGAAUUUCAAAGAUAUAUUAUUAUUGUAUUCACUUUUUCAGUAGUACUACCACGUACAAACGUGACGCGGCAUUUAAAUUGUGGAGUGGAAACACAAAUUUUGUAGAAAUAAAAGAAAAUAAAUACAUGUGAGAAAGCCUGGCUGUAUAUGGUACCAUCACAUUUGUUUGUUUUGAGUAGAGAGUUGUAUUAAUAAUACUUGUUUUCUGCCUUUUUUUGAAUCUGUGCUACUUACUUUUUCCUCUUAGGUGCACUUUGAUUGUAUUUUCCGGGGUAUCACUGCUGUGUCAAGUCGAGAAUCUAAACUUUUAGCCGGAAAUCGUAGCAUUGCACAGGUAUAUUUAGGAUUUGUCUAUAUCUACUGAGGUUCUGCUUAACUUUGAGAGUACAACACUUCAAUACCUAUGGUGUUUGAUAAACACACAAUUUCACUUGCCACUCAUCAAUUUAUGUUUGAUAGUUAGUGAUUUCAUUCCAUGGCAGCUUACCUCGAUCACAAACAUAACCCUUUUCAGCUGAAAGUUGUGUCUCGUGUGUUUGUCUAUCUAAUCUUUCUCUUAUUUUACAUAUUCUCAUGCUUUAUUCAGCCAUAUGAGUUCAAAGUUGGAGGUCCUCCUGGUAAAGAACGAAAGCGUGAAUUUGUAGACAACCCAAAUGGUCUUUUUUCUGCACAAGCUGCACCAAAACCCCCACCAGCAAUGUACUCAGUAACAGAAGGGAUGAAAGUAGGAGGCAAGGUGAAAACAUCUUCAAAAUUUCUUAUGGCUUUAUAUGCACAAUCAAUGCUUCACAUUAGAAUCCAUAUGCCUAUUGUCUUGCUAUUUCGUCACCAUUUUCUUAUCUCUUUGCAGAGGACUGUGAUUGUUCCUCCAGAGGCAGGUUAUGAUAAAAAAAGAAUGAAUGAGAUACCGGUAUAACCCUAGUCCUCAAUUCUUUUCUUUCUUUCUUUGAUUACAAAUUGUGAAAAUUUGAAGCUAUAAAGUGUCUAUGUUUUAGCCAGGAGCUACAUUUGAGCUGAAUAUUGAGCUUUUACAAGUAAAGCCACCCGAAGGAAAGUAAAGCGUUGUCUGGAUCACGGGUGUUUCAUGGUGAAUGAAAUUCUUUUGAUUCCAUCGGUCAAGGGAAUUUGUAUGGCUGCAAUGCAUAUUAUUCAUUCUCAGUUCUCAAGGAGUGGUUUAACCAAAAGCCCCAACUUCAUGGUACAUAAAUUUAUGUCUUUUUUUUUUUUUGUAUUUUUUAGAUGUCCUUGAAACAAAAUAAUGCUUUGAUUCAGGUUCUUAAAUUUCUAGUUUCCGCGAAGGCUUUUUGUAUUGGAAACUAAUAAUGAACUAAUAAAUACAACAGAACGUGAGAGGUAAAGCAAAAUUCUUAGCUCGGCCAAUUAAGUUGCAUUCAGCAGGAUCCCAGUACUCAAUUUACCUAUGUAAUGUAAAAGUUCUACAGCAAAAUGACAACAUAAAUCGAAGUUAGUGCAGCAAUAUCCUUAAAUAACAGAAUUCCAUCCUGAAGCACGACUUCACCAGCUUCGGUGGAUGACUCAAAGCAAUAAACCUAAAACUAUUCUUUUAUAUCUCAUCAAUAAGCUCCAGAAGAUUUUCGACCUCCUGCCUCAGAGCUGUAAUUUUCUGCUGCUGGGCAGCAACCCGGUUUUCACUAUCCCGUAUCCCUGUCUUCUUCUCAUAGCAGUCCACCACAGUGGAGUGCUUAGCCAUUACCUUCUCUUGCAGAUCUUUCUCCUUGGCAACCAGCUCCUCCACCUACAUAUACAACCAAUGUUUAUUAGAUUUCCCAGAUAACAGAGGUAUCACUGUAUAGCAGCAUCCCAGUCAUGUACAAGAAGCAAAGGAACUUAAUAUUUCCAUGUCACAAUUUGAAUAAAAAUCCAGUAUUUUUUUCGGAAACAGCUAACUUGGUCAAAUAACAUACUGCUAAAACUUUAUGCGUAAAGGCAGCAUCACUUGAAGAUUGAGAAUGUAAAAGAGAGCGUAAAGUGAAUGUUGAUCAGACCUUGGGCAAUAUUUGUGAAGCUGCCGAUGAAGAUUGCAAGAAUGACAGCACAAGCUUCAACUCCUUUGAAAGCUCUUUUAACAAACCAUCGGCUGCUUUACGAGCUGCUUUGCAAGCUUGGACAUCCCCUGUCCUAGAAAGAUCACGCAGUGAUGCUUCCAGCUUAUCAUGCGUUGUUAAGCAUCGAUUGAUAACAUUUUCAACUUGUUGUAUUGCUGCUUGAACCUGAAAUUAUGAGAAGCAAAGCUUGUGAUGAUGGCCUAAUCUAAAGUAUAUAUUUUCAUGCUAGAUUGAAACUUAACCCAUCACAUCAUACUUACUUCAUCCCACUGCAAUCUUGCCAAAUAAGCUGCAGAUGAUUUGGAAAUUGACAUGUCAACAUGCAUAUAUACGAUGCCAGCAACAAAAAGAGAGAAAAAGCCAAAAAUUAACAUAAAUGGCUCUCUAAGCAUUGAAAGUUUGGAGAACUUGUAAUAGACCUGCGAAAUAAAAAGUGAUUGCAACAUCAGCAAGAAUGAUGACUUUGCAAGGUGAUGAUGUCAUACAUGCAAUUGAACGUAAUGUUGGCUUCAUUCAAAUGUUAUCACCAAAGGACUUCAAUCACAUUCAAGACAGGAGAUAAGAAUACCUGGAAAAAUUGAUUAUGCUCUGGCACAACAUUAGUCUUUUGCAGCACAACCACAGGCCUACCAGUAAGAUCCAAAUGCGACAAUUUGGUCUACAUUGAAUCAUAAUCACAAUAAGUGGAAAAUGAUAGAGCUGUGUUUCAAACUCUACACAUAAACAUAUACAAGACUAGGAUAAAAAUAAGUAAAAAAAUGAAAAUAAUGGAUGUAUCUAAACAAAGAAUGAAGAGGGUUUAUAUAAAAAUGUUUGUACCUCUUCCCACUGAUUUACAGGAAAUGGAGCAGAAACAGAUAUAUCUCCAGAACCCUCGGGCAAAACAACCUGUAAGCCAAAAAUACUCAGUCAGGACAGAAGGGUAGAAACCACCGGGAUGCAAUUCAAGUUUUUCAAAUUGUCUAGUAGCUUAUUGUGGCAUUUGACUGUUUGCAAAUUGAUUUGGUGGCUCCAUAAUGUGUAUAUUAAUUAACCCAGUAAGUUUUGGACUUAAGAUAGUCCAGCCUCAUGUGGCCUUUGUUUCUCAUAAUCAAGUAAGUUCUGAAGGAACGGUUGCAAGUGGCUAGAUGUAGAAAAACGAUUUGCCAGCGACUAAUCACAUAAUGACAAGAUAUGAAAACUAAAAUUUUAUGGGUUAAUGAGUUUGUAGAGGUUAUUUUAAUAGAUUUAAUGAGGGCUCAAUUAAACAAUAUUUAAACCACCCAUACGGUUACUGUGGGCUUUUAUUUUUUUAAUUAAAGUGUGGGCUUUUAUAAUUCUCAAAGUUAAAGUUUAAAUUUUUUGGGUUUAUGAGUUUAUGGGGCUAUUUUUAUAAAUUUAACGGGGGCUACUUUAAUAGAUUUAACGGGGGCUAAUUAGUAAAUCAAGUAAUUUUCUCUUUAAUUUUUUCAAAAUUAUUUUCCCCAGUGGUUAAGCCCCCACACGUCUUCAGGUCGAUCCACCUCUGAUGGUGGGAAAUGUUAUCCGGAAACCAGUUCUACUGUUAUAUUCUAUGUUACCAAACAAAUAAUUCUUAGGGGAAAAAAAGAAAAACGUAAAAGAACAAACACUGCUUAGGCUUGGGGAAAACAAACUUAAACAUGAAUCCCCAUUCAAGUUCAAUGAAGUUCUGGAAAAAGAUCAUUGGGACAUAACUAAAAGAGUCUCACAGUAUUUUAGAGUAAUUACUUUCUUAAGAUGUAAGAGUAAGGCUAAUUCUAUCCAAAACCCAAUUUCCCACCUAACGUCAUUAUAGUGUACAAAAUAAACAAGGAAAAGAAAUUACAUCAAAAUAUUAUCAAAUUACCAACCUUAACAAUGAGGUUAUCAAUGACCAAUUCAUUCAUAGGGCUUCCAAAGGUAAUGUUAAGGAAACGAUUCCCUUCUAACUCGAACAAGAAGUCCUUAAGCGGUAGACCAUAUCCAAUGGUAAACGCAGUCCUCCAACCACCAAACAAGGGGUACCUCGGUUCAAUCAAUAAUUCGGUCUGCAAUCAAAGAGGACACUCUUGUUAAAAUCAGAAACCACAAUCCAUACAUCUUCCACUUUUUUAUUCUUUUGGAAGUACAUCUUCCUAUUCAUUAUAUCAGAGAUUUACCUUCUUGGAAUCACCCCACAGAGUAGAAGUUGAUAUAUUUCCGAUUUCAUCUCUAUAAUAAACUGAAUGAGCUCUUGGUGGCAUCUUUGCAAUAAGAUAUUUAAAUGCUGAUGCACCUCGGAUGGUGGGUCUGGCCUGGUAAUCAAGCCUGUAUGAGAAAAAUGCAAUACAAAAAUUCAGGAUUUCAAGCAGCAGAGCUGUACACAACCCACUUAGAGAUAAAAUGUAAGGGCAAUAGGGACAAACCUAGAAAAUUCACCCUUGUUUUGGGCACCACCGUGGACCAGUUUGUAAUGCUCUGUGACCUGCACAUUACCCCAAUGGGAAAUUUCUAUCUCUCGCACUACUUCCUGAGCAACUGCGAAAGGUUGAUUACUUUCAAAAUGGACAACUAUGGGCGAAUAUGAGAAUGAGGGGAGGUUCUCAUACGGGCCAUAUUUGAUCUCAGAACCAUGGAUCUUCGUAUUCUCUAGUUUUGUAUAAGAUUCAAUUCUAGAUUCAGGCAAUUUAACACUGAGUGAUUGAACCUUAACGACAUAAGGAGUGAGGUAGAACGCACUCUCCUGGAAAACAACAAGCUGAAUAUCAGCCUGCGUAAUUUUCUCAGGAAAUGGUCGCAAUGCAUGAGCAAACACAGCCAAGACAUCAAAAGUGUAGCUGUCACCCUUGCCUAAUGCCUUAGGUAAUUUUACUGCAUAAAAGGUCAAGGCUGCUGGCAUUCCAUUGGGUUUGACAUUUUCAACAGGGAGGCUAGCAGACAAACUUUUCACUUUCCCUUUCCCCUCAUGGGGGGAUGCCUUCAGAAGUGCCAAGUCUUUCACUUGGAGAUCAGGAAAUGCCAGCAAAACUUCUGAAACUGGCUCAGAACCCUCAUUCUCCACCUAUAACACACAUUACAAAGGUCCCAAUAUGAAUACAAAAGUUUCACUGAUGCUAAAGGUGUAAAAGUUGGAAAUUUUAAAUAUAUCGAGACAUUUCUUUUAACUAAGUUCAUAUUAUUGGGUACCUUUAGUGUUGAAGUGAUGCGUACAAUUUGCGAUGUCAAAUCAAUCUGCAAACAAGGGAUCGCAAGAUUAAAAUCUUCAUCAUUUUUCAAUUUCUCGUUUAUAAACUGUAAAUUAUACUUGUAUCCAAUAAACAUAAACACAAAUUAACUAAAAUUUGAACUUACGCGUCGAUCGACUUUUGAGAGGAUCAGAUCGGAGAGUACAGGCGAUGCAAAUAAAACGACGGUAAAGAUGAUUAAAUCAAAUCUAAGCGCCAUUUUCCUCCGUACUCGCAUUGCGGAAAAACCUAAAUCCCAAGUUAGGAUUUUACACAAGAUCCUGAGUAUCACUUCUGAGAAGUCAGAAGACCAGACUCGAACACAAUGUUAAUUAGAACAGUGAAGCUUUUAACACCCCCCCCCCCCCCCCCCCCAAAAAAUACUUAUAACGCCUUUUUCGAAUUUUAUUUUCCUAAAAUACCUCAGUUUUUAUUUAUAAAAUAUGAGCCCAUUAAUUAAAAAAUCAAAUAUAUUGUAAUUAAAUUUUACCUUAAAAAAUAUACCUUUUAAUUUUGUUAUUUAUAUUUAUAUUUAAAAUAUAAAAAAAAAUUUAUCUUUAAUUAUUCAAGUAAUUUCAGUUAAAAAUAAUAUAAUUUGUAAUAAUAUAAGGGGAUUGACACUUUCUCCCUACAGUAAUCAACAUAUACCAUUUACCUACUUAUUAUUUUUAUAAUGGUCAAAAAUUCCCUUGACAGCAUAAAUUUACAAUAUUACCUUUAUUUUCAACUACUCUUUUAUUUAUAUUUAUUAUAAAUUAAAUAAAUUACAUGAAUAGAAACUAAAUAAAAAAAUUAAGUAUUAAAAACAAGAAAUAUAUGUUUUGAUAUGAGCAAAAAUAUUAAUAAUACAAAAUUUUCCUUGUAAUUAUUUAUUUUAUGAACAUUUGCUUAUAAUAAAUAUUUUGUAAUAUUUUAAAAUUAAAUGUAAAAAGAUAGGCAAAAUAUUUUAUUAUUUAUCUUAUAAUAAAUUUUUAUUUGUCAUUCAAGUUUUCUUAUAAUAAUUUUUUUAUCAUUUUAUAAUAAUUUUCUUAUAUAUUUAUUAUAAGAAAAUUUUCAUAAAAUGAAUAAGUACAAGAAAAAAAAUUUAUUAUUAAUUUUUUUCUCGUAUCAAAACAUAUAUUUCUUAUUUUUAAUGCUUAAUUUUUUAUUUAAUUUCUAUUCAUGUGAUUUAUUUAAUUUAUAAUAAAUAUAAAUAAAAGAGUAGUUGAAAAUAAGGGUAAUAUUAUAAAUUUAUGCUAUCAUGGGGGUUUUUGGCCAUUAUAAAAACAGCAUGGGAAGAAAUGGUAUAUGUUGAUUACUGUAGAGGGGAAAUUUGCAAUCUCUCAUAAUAUAAUUCAUUAUGAUUUUAAGAUAAAGUAAACAUAUUAAUAGCAAAUAGUCUACACUAAUAAUGUGUUUGCUAAACGAGAAUUAAAAUGGGCUAAAAUUAGAAUGGACAGGAAUCGAAAUAGGUUGAAAUAGAAAUAGAGAAUAAGAUUUAGAAUAAAUUAUUUAUUUAAACUACAAGAAUCGCAAUCGGAACAGUUGAAUUACUAUUAAUAUUUUUAUUUGUCUUGGAAUCAUAAUGAAUUAUAUUGUUACAAAUUACUCAAAAUUCUUUAAUUUAAUAUUGUCAUAAUUAUUAUUUUAUAUUUUAGUUAUUGUAAUUAUUUAUUCAAAAAUUAUUAUUAUAAUAAUUAUUGUUAAUAAUAAUUAAUAAAGACAAUAAUAAUAAUGAUAAUCAUGACAAUGACAAUGGCAAUGAUGAAGAAGAAGAAGACGACAACAACAACAAUAAUAAACCCUCGUUAUCAUCAUCAACGAUAUCACCAUCGUCGGUAUCAUCAUCGUUAGCCGGAUCAUCAAUACCGUUGGCAUCAUCAUCGGCAUUAGAUCAAAAUCGGCAUCAUCAUCGUCGUCAAAUUGAAAUGUGAUGGCUCCUGCUGCUCACACGAUGCGAUAGUUGGUACCCAUGACCGUUGCAGCCUGUGACGCGACGACUGGCAACCAACUACUGCUCUAGAGGCGACGACCAGAGACGUUGGUAGUGACGAGUUUGCUUUUUUUAUAUUUUUUAAUUUAAACGAGAGUAUUUUUUAAGACUAUAAAUUUAAUGAGGACAAAAUUAUUGGUUUAGGGAAUGGAAGACUGAUUUCCAACCCCUCUUUGGGAAUCAAUCUCUUAUUUCUCAUUCUCAAAUAAUGAUUGACCCCAUGAUUCCAAUUUCGAUUCUUACUUAUAUUUUGUGAAGUAAAUAUUGUUAAUAAUUCGAAUUCUAAAUUUCGACUCCCCAAUCCGGGUAACAAACACACCAUAAUUAGAAUCAGGAACUUGCCAAUUUACAGUUGGGCCUGAGCCAAGUACUUAGACUCUUAAAUUAGACUUGGCCUAAAGUUGCUUUUAUUAGCUUCUAUAUAUAUAUAUAUAUAUAUAUUUAUUUAUUUAUUUAUUAAUAUUAUUAUUAUUAUUUUUGUGGUUGAGAAGCGGGAGGGUACGAGCUCUGGACUUUUGGUUGGAGGUAAAGGUAAUCUUAAGAAAAUGAAAAAUAAAAAGCUUUGUAAACAUAAUAAAUUAGUCUAUAUAUCAAUCGAACAUUGCGAAUGAAAAGGUAAAAGCGAUUAGUGAUAAAUAACUGAUCAUCAAAUAACUUAACUAAGAUUAGUUUUAGUUAUAACAACAAUACGCGAAAUAAAAUUGCAAACAAGACAACUGAAUAUUGAAGUGUUUUUGAUGUUUUCAUUGAUUGUAAUGCUUUAUAUUUAUAUGUAUUGAUUGACACUAAAAAGUGUAAAUUUAAUAAAGAUAAAAUUAUUAGUUUUCACUUAUUAUGUCAAUUAAUGCACUCAUUAUUUCUAAAUUAUCUUAACACUCUCUAAAUAUAUUUUUAUGUUAAAUUAAUUUUAUUUUAAUUUUAUAUUACAAAUAUAUUUCAAGAAUAAAGAGGAAUUUGAAUUAGAAGCAGAAACAAAGAAGAAUUACUUGAGCAAUUUAGAAUACAUUAUUAAAGAGAUGUACUUAAUAAAAAAUAAAAAAUAAAUAAAUAACAAAGUGUGAUAGUCACGGGUGAAAGUUGCCACCAUGACUAUCACACUCUUUUUGGUGAUAAUAUAAAAAAAAAAGUUUAAAUAAUAAAAUAAAGAAAGCUAAAGGCAUUUGUUUCCUAUAAACAAAAAAAAAAAAAAAAAAAAAAAAAAAGAAGAGAUGAGCUGGGAGAGAAUGGAGUGAAGUUGAGGAACUUUUUCUCUUUUUUUUUCUUGUUUUCUGAUGUAAUCAAUUUUUUUAUAAUAUAUUUCAAAAGUUUAUCAAAUAAGAAGAGUAUUUUGUUUUCUUUCAAUAUAAAUGACUAAUUUUACUAGGUUAAUGUGAAUGGUGAAGCUCAAUAUUUUAAAUUUAUUAAAUUAAUUACUUUAUUAAGUGAGUUUUAAGUUUAUUUUAUUAUUUUCUGGUUAUUUUUAUGUCAUAUUAAUUUAUAAAUUUUUUUGGAUCUGUAUGGUAUUUUGACAUAAUGUCGACACAUUAAUAUAGUUGUGGCACAUUAGAUACUUGAUUCCAUAUUUAUCCGCACACAUAAUUAGUUAAAAAUUAAAUGACAUAAUAAUUAACUGGUAAAAGUGAGGCAAAAUAUAAAAAUGAGAGAGUAUUAAAAACAUAGUUUGAAUACUGAGAGUGGAUCUUAUAGCCUUUAUAUUGAAUCUUAUUAAUUUUUUUCCUGCAUUUAAUUUUAUUUACUUAACAAAUUGACUACUAGAUUUUAAAUCCUCUGUGGUUCGAUGCCGGACUCACCAAGUUAUAUUAUAACUAGACACUCUUAUAUUUGAGAAUAACACUUUUGAGUCGUGUCAUGUAUCAUCUGAAACUAGUAAAGAGAAAAUAAAGGAAACUAUAGAUGAGACUAUCAAUUAAAAUAAUACAAGUGAGAAAUAAAAGGAAUAGUUAUCUAUUGCUAAUAAAAAGAUAAUAGAAUCUUGAGAAAAUCAUAUAUGCCCUGCAAGAGGGUGCUGGUAUAAGAAACAUCCAUCUUGAACCUUAGUCUAGAAAAUUGUCGCUUAUAAAGGAGCUCAAAUAGCCCAACAACAAGCUGAUCAGUUGUAGAUACAUAAAAUACUCGCAAUAGCCCUUUGUCAACCCAAUCUUGAACAAAAUGAUAAGUAAGACCAAUGUGUUUUACUCUUGAGCGGAAGACUGAAUUGUGACAUAAAUAGGUAGUUUUAAUAUUUUCACAACAUAUGGUAGGAGUUUGACUCAAAUAAAGGUCGAGUUCAUGAAGUUAAUUUCUUUAAGUCUUCCAUUAUUUAUAUUUUCUUAGAUGAUGGAGGAAAAUUUAUAAAAUUAAAACCAUUCUUCGUUAAAUGUGGAAUUUCACAUCUCACCUCACCUCCAUAUACCCCUGAGCAUAAUGGUACUAGUGAAUGGCAUUAUUGUCACAUUGUAGAAACAAGUCUUACCUUAUUGCAUCAAGCUUCUCUUCCUUUAUGCUUUUAGACUUAUGUUUUUCUUACUGUUGUGUAUUUAAUUAAUCAAUUACCCAUUAAUAUUCCUAAGUUAAAAAGUCUUUAUGAAACACCUUUUGGUGAUGCACUUAACUACAAUAAACUCAAAAUUUUUGGUUGUGGAUGCUUCCCUUGGCUACGUUUAUAUUUCACUCAUAAACUUGAACUUGUGUCUAAACCUUAUAUCUUUUUCGGAUAUUACAUUUCACAAAGUACCUUAAAUGUUUUGGGAAAUUUACAAAAUUAGCCAUAAAACUUUUACGUUUUUCAACUUUAACCCCCCAAAGUUUUUUCUAUCAUAACUAGCCAAACACCUUAUGUUUGGACUACAUUACCCUCAUCACUUUCAUUAAAUUUACAAAGCCAUGCCACUUUUUCAAAUUUACAAAGCCAUGGCACCUGUUCCAUUGCUUGUCGCGCAUAAACCCAUGGAUUUUAUGGAGUACAUGAUUUUGGAUUUGAUUUGUCUCGUCGUAAGCUUCGAAACGAUAUAUUAUACGCCUAAAACGAACAUAUAUAGCUCAAGUUAUGGCUUUCGAAACAUAUAUGAAAUUUAUUGAGACAGGCAAGUGGGACAGGUGCCUGUCGCACAUAAACGCACUGCAUUUAUGUGCGAUAGGCACCUGUCCCACUGCUUGUCGCACAUAAACUCACGGCGUUUAUGGAAUGCAUGAUUUUGGAUUUGAUUUGUCUCGUCGUAAGCUUCGAAACGGUAUAUUAUACGCCUAAAACGGACAUAUAUAGCUCAAGUUAUGGCUUUCGAAACAUAUAUGAAAUUUAGUGAGACAGGCACCUGUCCCACUUGCCUGUCUCACUAAAUUUCAUAUAUGUUUCGAAAGCCAUAACUUGAGCUAUAUAUGUCCGUUUUAGGCGUAUAAUAUACCGUUUCGAAGCUUACGACGAGACAAAUCAAAUCCAAAAUCAUGCAUUCCAUAAACGCCGUGAGUUUAUGUGCGACAAGCAGUGGGACAGGUGCCUAUCGCACAUAAAUGCAGUGCGUUUAUGUGCGACAGGCACCUGUCCCACUUGCCUGUCUCACUAAAUUUCAUAUAUGUUUCGAAAGCCAUAACUUGAGCUAUAUAUGUUCGUUUUAGGCGUAUAAUAUAUCGUUUCGAAGCUUACGACGAGACAAAUCAAAUCCAAAAUCAUGUACUCCAUAAAAUCCAUGGGUUUAUGCGCGACAAGCAAUGGAACAUGUGCCAUGGCUUUGUAAAUUUGAAAAAGUGGCAUGGCUUUGUAAAUUUGAUGAAAGUGAUGAGGGUAAUGUAGUCCAAACAUAAGGUGUUUGGCUAGUUAUGAUAGAAAAAACUUUGGGGGGUUAAAGUUGAAAAACGUAAAAGUUUUAUGGCUAAUUUUGUAAAUUUCCCAAAUGUUUUGGUCUUGUUUGUAGUCGUAUGUAUAUACCACGCCAUUUUAUUUUUUAUGAAUUUACUUUUUCUUAUCAUGAUUUAGAUAUACCUCACGCUCGUGUUUCCAGGACUCGAUCUAUGUUAGCUACUUUUUCUCCACUUAUAUUUUUUUAUAACACGUUUGAUGUUGAUAAUGGCACCACUUAAGAUGCUUCCUUACAGGUUGAGCCCAAUGUUGAUUUUCUAGCAACUAAUCCUUUACCAAUUGAGACAUAUCAUUUGCUCAUCAUGUCUACGUCUCCUUCACCUCCUAACUAACCAGAUAAGAUAUCAACUCCAUCUCAACCUCUUCCAUGUCAUAUACUAACCCAACCCAACCUAUGGUAACCUGAGUAAAAAAUAACAUCUUCAAGCCUAGAAACAUAUUCUCUUUCUUUACCACUAAACAUCCCAUGCUUAAUACCUUGGAACCAACAUAUGUUGCACAUGCUUUACAAGAUCCGACCUGGAAGCUGCAAUGAUACAUGAAUACACAACUUUGAUCCAGAAUCAUACAUGAGAACUAAUCCUUUAUUCACAAUCACAAAACAUAAGUGGCUGCAAAUGGAUCUUUUGCAUCAAACAACAUCCAGAUGGUACUAUAAAGUCCUUUAGUUGCCAAAGGUUUUAAUCAACGACUUGGUGUUGACUGCUUUGAUACCAUAUAGGAACAAUAAGCAAAAUAAAAUUAUAAACAAGAGUGAAAUAUUUUUGAGAUAAUUUAAUACUAAUUUGGUCAGAUUCGGAUCUCAAAUAGCUAAACUAAAAUAAAAAUAAUAAGUAAAACAAUAAAUUAAAUUAUUGUUUCAUUUGUGAUUGUGGAUAUAGAUUCGUAAUUGUAAAUAUCAAUAAAUUUUUAAUUACAAUUUACAUAAAAAAAAGAAUCAUCGAUUCAUCUCAAUUUAAUUUAUUAAAAUGUUAGGAUCCUAGAAGCAUAUUCUAAUUUCUUUUUUAUUAUGAUUAAGGUGUCUUAUUACAAUUAUGAUUUAGGGUUCUAAUUAGAUAAGAAUUAAUAUUGUGUUUAGUUACUAUAAAUAAGUGGUACUCAACAUGUUUUUGAGCAAGCAGUAAUAAAUUAAUUCCUAUCCCCUAUUAAUUGUUCUCUCUUUCCCUAAAUUCUUAAGUUCUUCAUCUCUUCUUCUAUCUCGAAUUCUCCAAUCAAAACCCUAAAACUCUAUCAUAAAAUAAUUUAGGUCAUGAAUAUAAUUGACUAAAAAAAAUCGUAUUUGAUUUACAUUUUCCCACUAGUCCACCUAACGAACAAAUAAUUUAUUAGUGAUUUACAAUGACUCUUACAUUUAUAAUAUUUGAAACAUGAGCAAGUUCAUAGAAUGAUGAGAAAGCAGAAGUCCCAUUUUUACAUUUUUACAUUUUUCUUUUCCGAAGAUUCACAUUUUUACAUUUGAUCUAACUUUAUUGAGUACAAGUGAUAUCAAUUAUUUAUUAAUAUAGAUUUGCAAUUUGUUUUAAAUUCUUCUUUGUCAACGACAUUAGGGCAAAAGAAUUAAUUAACAUGGUGGCAUUAUCCUUGGACCUUCGACAAUGACACCAGCGGCCCAGCGCACUAGGCUGAGACCAAAUGUUAAAUUGUUAGAUAAGUUGGUUGUUUUUUUUUUUUAUAAAUUACAGGGACUAGUUUGAUAAUUAGCCUUGGUGGAAACUAGAAUGUAAGGCACAAACACUAAACAGUCCACGGUGUGAGAUUAUCGUUUGCGUUUUCUCCGCAAAGCGCAAGGCGUGGACUCAGAGAGUGAAGGCUAGGGUUUAUAAGUACAGAAACAACUAUUGAAGACUAAGGUUUCAGGAGCUGCUGCUUUUGCUUUUGAUUAAAGCAGGGAAGAAAAUGGAGACAUCUUUAAGAUAUGGAAAAGACUCGAAGGCUCUAAGAAUCCACGCGAAGGAGAAAAUUCCAAUUGAUUCCAAUACUCGCUUGCAGGUACCUAAACUCAUUCUUUCUAUCGUUCUUGGUUUCUUUUUCUUGUUUUAAUUCUGGGAUUUCAGUUUUUAAGUAAAGUUGGUAUGAAUUGAUAAAAAUGUCACAUGUAUUGGGUAGCUCAUAAUUGAGUUAUAAAAGCCACUUGAUGUUGACUAAUAGUUUUUAUUUUUUAGAUUCUUUGUUGAAUAUGUAAUUAUGAUUAUGCUACUGUUUGCAGAUUGAGUUGAUGAUUACGGUAUGUGUACUUAUUUGAUACUUGCUAUCAUACAAAUGCAUGUGUUUGCGUUUGUUUUUAUGUUAUGGGAAAAGAGUGGCAUCCUGGUGUACAAGGUGCAUUAAGAUGUGCUGGAUUGUUGGCUUGUAUCAUUUUGUUUUGCAAACCACUGCUGUAACCUCACUACGUUUUGUUUAAUGAAGUCUUAUUCUUGUCAAAGUAUAACUGCCCUGUUGUUGGAUUCAAUCACAGCAUUAACUUUGGACAAAACAUCUAAUAUUACUGUGGAAUUAGAUUAUUCUUUUUCAACUUAUUUUAUGUGAGAUUCUUUCAUUCUGAACAGUUUCAAUUAUUAAUUUCUGUGAAUGAUUCUUAUUUUUAUUUUUUAAUUAUAUUUGUGUUUGAAUUAGGUUCAUGGAGAGCUAGAUACAAGAGUUGGAGCUCCAAGUUACAUCAAUGCAAUGAUAAGACACUUCUAUCCAGAUGUACGUUCGCACUCUGCCCUUCCUGUUAAUUUUAACUUUUAUAGGAGCAGCUCCUGUGGAAAUUUGACAUCUUUUUUUAGGAGUUUAAUGGUCUAUAUCUGCCAAUUUCCUUUAGUUAUCAGCAAGCUUCGGGUUAGGAGUACAGUAUGAUAAACAUGAGAAGCUAAGGUAUACCGUACGUGGAAAGAAAGCUUUUCCUAUGACAAGUACUGGUUUGUUAAGCUUUAAUAUCAAGGGAAGAUGUGAAGUUGACAAGGAAUUUAAACAGGUUGGUGGAUGCUCUGAGUUCUUAGAAUAAUUCAAUAAUCAGAUGUAAUUGGUUCACAGAGAGCAAUGUUCAUGCUAUUUGCCUAUUUGGUGUCCUCAGUAUAAGAAGUUUAACAACUUCACAAUAUUUUCAUUAGUCCCUUUUUUUUGUUUUAAUUAUAUGUUUUGCUUUUGCUUUCAGUUGGACUUUAAUUAUAUUUUGAUCUUUUGUUUCCAAUAAGAGAGAUACUAAAGAAUGCAACUCAGCAUCCUAACAUGUGGUCUUUGUGUCCUUCUGCUAACACAUAUACCACCUUGACAGAGAAAGUCUAGAGGAGCUGCUGAAUUUUCUUGGAGCAUAUUCAAUUUUCAGAAAGACCAAGAUGUUCGAUUCAAACUUGGUUAUGAAGUUGUUGACAAGGUAUUUUCUGGAUGCAUGUAUGUUUGGUUUUACAAUAUGAAGCAGUUCCAUUCCAUCUUUGUUCUCUAUGAUUCUGAUGUGUUGUUCCUAGUUCUAUUUUCAUAUUUUUCCUUUGAUGGUGCUCUCAUUUUAUCUCUAACUUUCUUUCCCUUGAUUGUACAAAGUUGAAAUGUAGUCGUUUGGUUUUUUGAUGUAUACAUUUUUCUCUCAGGUUCCCUAUAUGCAGAUUAGAGAAAAUAAUUGGACAGUCAAUGCUGACGCGAAUGGUCGGUGGAAUGUGAGAUACGACUUGUGAGAAUGGAGACUCGAAAAUUUUAUGGAGAUCAUAUGUGUAACUAGAUGUUUAUUUUAUUUACUUGGAUUCUGUUAUCCAGCUACUGAGCUGAGGCUAGUUAAUGGAAUUGUAUUGGUAUGAAUCUUGAAUCCUCAAUUCAUUCUUUCUUGUCUUUUCUUCGUUCUUUUCAUUUGCAAAUGUCUCUAUGGCCAUGGUUGCUGAUGAGGGGGAGGGUCCAAUGUGUCUCCCAGAUUUUGUGGUAGAUGCCUUAUAGUUAAGGUUUGUACGGUGGAAGUUGUCCCUAUGUUGGAAAUAGGUAAUUAAAAUAAUGCUGAAUUAUUAUCAUCCAUGGGUUUUCCUCGUCUGGUAACUUCAUAAAAUGUGUGGCUCAUGUUAUGAAAGGUGUUCUUGGAUAGAAGAGUACUAAUUUUGCCAAUCAAAAGGAGCAGAGCUGGGGUCAUGGAUAUUUGCCUGUGCAAACUGUUUGUUUGAGAGAAGUUGCACUCGACCAUGUCCAAUCAUAUUGAUUUUCACUUUUUGGCUUUAGAUUUCCAUUAUCUUUCCUCUUUUUAUUAGUUCUAUGAGUUGAAAUUUGAAUCUUGGGUUGGUGACUACACUGAAAUGGUUUGAUCCCAGUGUUUGGGGAACAAAGGCCAAAUACCAAGAUACGAGAGUUGUGUUGAAAUGGCAGUUUGUUUAUAGAUAUAGUGAUGAUAAAGCAUUAAAAUAAGAAUCUCUCUGCAUUUAGGUGUCAGGUUUAUCAAGAAAGCAAAUAUUUUCGUGACCAACUCAUAUGGCCCAUAUCACAUGGGAAGUUAGGCUGCGCUUUUCCCAUUGACACGGCACUUAUCCAAGUUUUUGGCCGCUUUGAUGCUGUGCAGCCAUGUGUUGUGUCAUAUUUCCACAUUGCUAACCAUGGAUUGCGGAGACCUUUGCCCAAAUCUAGAAUUUGGCGGGUAGACGCUCGACCAUUUGACUCCUUUCGGGUGCCAAUAGUCAAAAAAGGAAGACUUAACUUUCUUUUGUUUUUAGAUCCUUUGGCCAUUUACCAUUGGCCGUGGGUGGUGCAUGCAUUUCCUCUUUCGGCCAUGAUUGCUAGCUAUAUUGGCAUUCGGCCAUUAUAAAAAAUCUUAUUUUGCCCAUCAUUGUAUUGUAGAAUUUAAAGAAAAAGCUCCAAUGGUUUUCAGUAGUACAUGUCUGCUUUAUCAUAAGCAAUCCAAUCCAAUGUGUAGAACCACUACGUAUGCGGUAUUGCUCUAAAUGAAUCCGAAGCGACCCCAUGUUCCAUCUUCCAUGCCCAAAAUGAAAUUGUGCUUUGUUGGAUUAGAGUUUUCCUAUUGGGUCCCUUGUUAUGCUUUCUUUUGUGACUUGAACUCAAAAACACAAUCAAAUUGUAAUUAAAUAAUUUUUGCCUCAAUGAAUAAACAAAUUGGGAGAUAAAGAUUGCCUGAUCCCAGGUGUGAACUCUCUCUCUCACACGAGCGGCGUGACUUGGGGAAAAGUCUUUGCCGCCAGUGCACUGGGAGCGGGCAAGGGCAAGGCUGCUAAAAUUUGAAAAUGGCAUACGUGGAUUAACGAUAAACAAGCAGGGAUAUUCACGUAAACUCACCGUAUAGAAAAGGAACCAAAUUUAUAAAAUUUAAUCUUCAACAGAUUCCUUAUUAUAAAACUCCCCCAAAAUCAUUACAAAAUGCACUCACUCACUCACUGGUCACACAGUCAACACAUUUCAAAACAAAUUUGAAAAAAUUAAAAAAAACAAAUAUCUCUAUCGUUUCACUCUCAAUCACAUGACUCGCCUUUUAAGAUUUCUAAGCGGCGUGAACGCCACCGCCACUGUAUCACCUCCUCCUGCCGCCACCGUAGACUCCGACUACGUUGUAAUCCUCGCUGCUCUACUCUGUGCUUUAAUCUGCGUGCUCGGCCUCAUAGCCGUUGCACGCUGCGCCUGGCUCCGACGCCUUUCCGGCGGAGGAGCCCCCGCCACCAACCCCAGCGGCACCAGCACCCGCAAUUCUCCCGCCAACAAAGGCCUGAAAAAGAAAAUCCUCCGUACGCUCCCGAAACAAACGUUUACGUCCGAAUCCGUCGCCAAGUUCUCCGACUGCGCGAUUUGCUUGACGGAGUUUGUUAACGGAGACGAAAUCCGCGUGCUGCCGCAGUGCGGCCACGGAUUCCACGUGGCGUGCAUCGAUACGUGGCUCGGGUCCCAUUCGUCGUGCCCUUCAUGCCGCCAGAUUCUGGUCGUUGCCAGGUGCCAAAAGUGUGGAGGGUUUCCUGCCAGUUCGUCAUCGAGCUCCGGUGCCGGCGUCGAAGGUGGAGGUGCUGAAACUAGUGAAGCGAGAUCGGAGGAGAAACAAGAUGAUCCUAAUAGGUUUUUGCCCUAAAGCUAAUUCUAGGAUUUAUGAAUUAUGAUUAUUAACCUCAGUUCUUCAAAUUACAGUUCAAUUAUGUAAUUCAUUUUGAUUUUAUGAUUUCGUAUUUGUUUAGGUUUUAAUAAAUUAGGAUUAAAUGUAAUUUCCAUGUAUUUUAUUUGCUAUUUGUAAAUUCCGUAUUUCAAUCUUCUUAUGUAAUUAUAUACAUAUACAUAUAUAUAUAUAUAUAAUCAAAGUCACGUACUUGUUUAGGUUUGAUAAAUUAGGAUUAAAUGUAAUUUAUAUGUAUUUUAUUUCCUAUUUCUCAAUUCUGUGUUCUAAUAUUCAUAUAUAUUUUAAGUCUUAUGAAUUAAUAGUUUUUUCAAAUUUUAACAAAUUUAAGAUCUUAGAUGAGUGUGUGUGUCUGUAUAUAUAUAUAUACAUACAUAUGUAAAAUUAUUCUUAUGCGUAAACGUCCGACACACAUGCUUUUAAAUCGUUUGGCUUAAGAGGUUUUUUUUUAAUGAAUUAUAAAAUUAUGCGGUCAAAGGGAAUUAAAAAUCAACUCUAUUAAAUUUUAUGGUUUAAAAGUAUUUUUGUAUAAUAUAAAAAAAUAUGAUAAUAUCUAUAUUAAAAAAUGAUUAAUAAUAUGGUUAAAUAGAGGUAACAUGACUUAAUAAUUUUUUUACAGUUUUUUUUUUUUUUUUUUGCGCCUAUUUUUAAUCUUAACCUUCGGUUGAAUCCAAAAGCUGGCAUUCAACAACUUUAAAAAUUAAAUUACUAUUUAUUAUUUCAACUCCUCAAUUUAUCUUAUUGUCCGUUACUACCCACCCAUUCAUAAGAAGAAAGCAUAAUAAGUCAUGUUAUUAUUCUUAUAAUUUCUUCUUUCUUGAAAUCUGAUUUCCUUCCUCGAAAACUAAGAAGUAUAAUAUAUUCAUCAAGUUAGUGAUACACCACCUUAUCUGGUUAGCUCAAAGAUUAUAUUUUUUAUUAUUAUCUUGUGGUAAUUUUAUUUGUCAGUUCAGAUAUCUUAAAAAUGAAUGACGUACCCAUUAAAGUAAUUAAGGCGGCAUUCUUCAGUGGUGAAAUUGUUUGCACAGGAAUACAACCAUCUAUUGACAACUUCACGAAGUUGGAAGCUGGAGGAGACGCACAAAAUGUUUGGAUGUUUACUUAUAACCGUAAAAGCUAAGUGAGUAUUGAGUUUAAAGGACAUUAUGCAGAUAAUGAGCAUUUUCAAUCAGAGGAAGAGAAAGAAUCCGAAAUUUACUUAUACGAUGAAUAUAGUAACAGAUAAAAAAAUUACAAUCUCAAAUAUAUUGAAUUUUUUUUUUUUUUCAAUAUUUUAGUAACAUCUCAUUUUAACAAAGUGAGGAUAUCCUCAUUAGGAAAUAACUAUAGUGAAGACAUUCUCGUUUUAACAAAGCGAGAAUGCUUCUAAUAGAUAAAAAACACAAUCUCUUAGUAUUGAAAUUUGUAUUUUUUUUUAUAUAUUUUAUGGACAUCUUCACUUUAAUAGAAUAAGGAUGUCAUCAUUAAAGACCGACUCAUAUAUAUAAUGGGAUUCAAAAUUCCCAAAUUAUGAAAUGCCAAACCCCCAUGAACAUAAUUCUACAAGUAAUGACUUAGGUCAAUUCUUAACAAAUAAUAACCUAAAUACUUGAAAAGUAUUUUAAAGUAAAACGUCUAAAAGGUGGAUAUCGAUAAAAUGUCUAAGUCCAAGGGUAUGAUUCUAUUAAAAAAAUAACGCAUGUCCAUUCUUUGCAAGAAUAAUUUAUAUACUUAGAAAAUAUUUUAAAAUAAAAAAACCAAAAGACAAAUAUCGAGAAAACAUCGAUUCAAACUCAAAUAUUGUGAUUUCUAAUCUUCCUCUUAAUUUAUAAAGAUUUGCGGGUUUUUAUUUAGAGGUUGGGAAAAUAAUGCUUCUAAUAAUAGGGUGGGGUGGGGUGGGGUGGGGUGGGGGUGUGGAAUCCAAGUAAAGUAAGAAAACAUGCAAGGCAAUCCAUGUAAUGUGAUUUAGGGAAUCAAAUGGUGAGGUCUUAUCUGUUUUUUCUUUUCAUGUUCUUUCUUUUUGACUACUAAUAAGUUGUUUAAGUAUCGAUGUAAGUCAUUUCAAUUCUUUUGGAGAUAAUUCUGAAGGCUUCUUGAGCGUAGUAUAUGCAUCACCGACCGAGUGUCGGUGAUUUAUUAUCAACUCUUAAUUAGGCCUAGGGAUGGUAGUGAGGAGGGGAGGGGAGGGGAGGGGACCAAUCUCCCCGUACUCAUCUCCGAUAUUUUGCGUAUGUCCCCGUCCUUUCCCUAUCCCCGUCAAAAUUAUUUAAGAGAAUCUUCAUUCAUUCCCUGAAUAAUAACAAGGGAUCCCCGAGGGUCCCCGAUCCCCGAAUAACUAAUACAUUUUUUUUAUUUUCGAUUUUGAGUUAAUCAUAUUAAAAUAAAAAAAUUCAAAUAAAAGUAAAGUUCGAAAUAUAUCUUACAUUAAUAUCCAUUACAAAAGUCACAUACAUUAAAUUAGUAAGUAAUGCAGCAUGCAAGAGAUACAAACUAUCAUUAACAAAUUAAUAGUCUAAUACAAAAUUGUUACAAAUAAAAUCAAAUUUAGAUUCAAAAUUAACUUUUCAAUGGUGGCGUGGGCACUUUAUAAAUGUGGACUAUUCCCUUUACAGCAUAAUAGUUAAGUCCAAGCAAAUGAAGAGCAAAUAUUAUAUUAGAUUAUAUAUUAAAAUUGUGAUUUGCUGUGGGCAAUUAUAACAUUUUAAAAAAAAUAGAUUUAAGAUAAAUAAAAAAUAGAUUUAAGAUAAAUAAAAAAUAGAUUUAAGUUUAAAAUAUUUAAUGAAUAUUAAAAUAAAAAUAAAAUUUUUGGGCUAAUAGAAUAUGUCUGGUCUUUUUAAUGUCCUAAAUAAAAAUUUAGGACUUUAAUUAGUUAAUUAGGCCUAAAAUUUUAAUAAUAUAAAUAUUUUGAUAUUUUUUAUUUUUACCAAUACUUAUAAUUUUAUAAUUCAAAUUUUAUUAUUUAUUUACUAGUAAUUUUAAAAAAUAAAAAUUAAAAUGGGGAAAUGGGUAGGGGAUGGGGAUUCCACCUCAUCCCCAUCCCCUCCCCGAAUAAGAAAUUGGGUAAAAAAAUUUCUCCGUCCCUUCCCUGAAUAAGAAAUUAGGUAUGAAAUUAUCCACAUACCCUCCUCGAAUGGGGAAAAUCCCCGAGGGUACCCAUCCCCGUGGGGAUUUUUGCCAUCCCUAAUUAGGCCUUAUAAAGUAUUGAAGUGGUUUAAAAACUAAAAUUGUAAUUAUGAAAUAAAAACUAAUACCUUGUGAUAUAUAUAUAUAUAUAUAUAUAUAUAUAUAUAUAUAUAACUUUUAAAUAAUUAUUUUUGUCAAAAUAAUUAAGAUAUAAUAUGUUUUCCACAAGAUUAUAAAGACAAUGAGAGGCAAAAAAAAAAAAAAAAAAGAAGAAUGAAAAGAUCAAUGGCCAAGAGAGCAAGUGUUUACCUGCCCACCCACACAGGGAUGGCAAUGGGCACCACCCGCAGCGAGUUUGCCAUUACCAAACUCAAACCCGCACAAAAUUUAAAUUACCAAGCCCACCCGCAACCCGCAGCGGGUUUUAAUUUAAAAAAAAAAUCCACCCGCGGCGGGUUUUGACAAUUACCAAACCCGCAAUAGUACCCGGCGGAUUUUUUACGGGUUUCCGUAUUUAAAAUCACAAAUGUUUAAUAUAUAAAUUUAUAAUAAUAACCUCAAAUUCCAUAUAACAUACUCAAUUUUAUAUUUAAACAAUGUAAAUGAAAAAUUAAAAUUUCCACACCAAUCCAACACAAAUUCUCAAAUUUAAGUAUAAAUUACACAAAUUCAUUUAAAAAACACAAACUAGUAUCUAAAAAUAAUAAUUACAUUUCAUAUUAUCAUUUAAAACAAGCUUCAAGAGAAGAUAUUCAUUUCAUUCACCACCAUAAGCACCCAUCCAACACAAUGCCUAUAAUAAUAAUAAAGAUUAAUAUUUUCAAAUACUAAUUCGAAGGGAAAUGCCUUUAGUUUUCUUUAGGUUAUGACUUUAGAAUGGGAGAUGGACCACAUACACACAUACACAACUUUGAACCUUUGGCUAUUUGGUAAUUUGAAUAAUGACAUUAUUUUCUUUAUAUAUUUUUAGAUUAAAAUUAAAUUAAAAAUAUUACGAAUUUUGUGGAUAUCUAUGCGGGUAUCCAUCAGAUAUAAGGUUAAUAUCAAACCCACCCGCAUCUAUGUGCGGGUUUUAGUUUAUAAUAUUAAACCCGCCCGCAACGGGUAAAAUUACCCGCAGCAGGCGGGUUUGCGGGUACAAUUGCCAUCCCUACACCCACAGCAUCAAACAAAACUAUACUCAACUGAAAGAAAAAAAAAAAUCUAAUUCAUUUAAAAGUAAGUUUUAAACUUGUUGAAUAAGAUGGAAAUUAUUUUACUCAUUUUGCAACAAACAAUUGAGAUUGACAGAAUGCAAACGCAAAAAAUGGUGGUUAGUGCUGCUGCAAUAUAUAGAAACGGGGUUGGUUGAAGUCACAAACAGAAUUGUUACUACUUGUUCUUCUUAUUUUAAGCUAGCAGUGAUAGAAACAAGAGUUGGUAAUCCACUAACAAAUAUAAAACGAAUUUUUAAGAUAUCAUUAUAUAUAAAGUUACUUUAUGAUCACACAAAGCAAAAACUUUCCAUUCUAUCUAUCACCCUCUUUCUUUCUUGUCCUGACCUAACAAUUAACAACAAUAACAAGUAUACAUUGGUGUUCGUCCAAUUUAUGCUAAUGGCAUUAUUAUAAUUUUUAAUUUUUUUAAUCUUUUAAUAUUCCAUUUUCUUUGGAGCCGUCCAAUAUGAUAAGUUUUUUCAUGGUCCAGGUCCACAAUGAAAAAGUUGCGGAAUAACCAAGUAAUUAAAUUAAUUGGCCUUUAUUCCUUAUCGUUGUCUCUUCUAUCAACAUUGAGACUAUAAUAAAAUACAAUUAAUAAUUCUACGAAGCAAAAGCUUAAGUACAAUUAAUUUCUAGUAGUAGGACUACCUUAACCUAACAUUUGAAUAGUAAUUGCAGCUCUGUUAAUGGCCUCAAAUCAAUAAUUGAUUUCCCAAAUCGAUACUUGCAUUGACUUCAACUUUGCUUCAAGUCAAAGCUUUGUGCUAUGCUACUCGUCUUAUCCUUAGCCUUAUUGCUCCCUCACAUGUCUAAAUUGCGUGCCCCCACGUCAUGACCAAGUCUAUCUAAUUGACCAUAUUCUCUGUCAGCGUCUAACAGCUGGGUUUAUUAGUGUAUCAGGACCAGAAAAAUAAUAAUAAUAAUAAUAAUCAUCAUCAUCAUCAUCAUCAUCAUCAUCAUCAUCAUCAUCAUCAUCAUCAUCAUCAUCAUCAUUGUUAUUAAAGGUUAAAUUCUCAGGUGCAAGCAUUCGGUCGUCAUAUAAUGCAGAUUUAAAACAUUUUAUAACGAGAGUGGAAGAGAAUUAAGAGUUAGUCAAAAGUUUUGAAAAAGGGAAUAAAUUUAAAAAUGAUAUUCCAUCACAAAUCAGAAUCAGGAAUUGAACCCGACGAGAAUCGAACCCGCAACCUUCUGUUCUAGAGUCAGACGCUCUUCCAUUGCGCCACGGACCCGCAACUGUUCUACGGGAACUUAACUUUAUUUAACAAAACUAACGAAAAACCCCCCCGUUGAACUUGCGACCGAGCCUCGCUGCGAGCAGUUUAGAGCGAGCACUUGUGAGAUUUUCUUCCAUAUCCUCCUAAUGGCGUCAAUUUGGACUCUCCAAUUUCACUCUCUUUAUUUCCCGGUAAUCAUCCUAUACUCCUUUUUCUUUUUUCUUUUCCUGGGAAAUUAUACACACGUACAUAAAUGGUUUUAAUUAACUCUACAUUUCUUUGGGUUUCAAAUUUCAAAGCAUCGGGUGUCUUCGACUGUUGCAAAGCUUAGAACUGAAUUUACAUUGAGUCACGGCCGAUUGAGCUUGAACCGAUGGUCAACAAAUCGAAAGUUUCAACUUAAGGCAGUUAGAGAUUCAGCGAGUUCUAAUGAGGACCAGAAUCUGGAGUCUGGAAAAGUUGCUGUUGCUGCAGAUACGAAAACAAAAGACCCAUUUGCUAAAUUUCAAGAAACAUUAAUAGCUUUGCCUCCUGUUGCUUUUGUGGUAAUAUUUUUAUUUAUUUUACCUUUGCAGUAUUCAUGUGCCUGUAAUUGAAUUUUUUUUAUUGUUGAUUUAUUUGGAAAAUAUUACCGGUAUCUUUGUAACUGUUGUGCUUCUGCAAAUUUUCAAAUCACAUCAGCUAAAAUAUUUGGUUAAUGUUUUCCCACCACCUACUUACUUAUAUUUGAUAGCUAGUGAUUUAAUUCCAGGGUAAUUGUGGAUCAAAAGUCCCCGUGCAUCAAAUCAUGAACAUACUCUAAGUUGUGUUCAUUUAUUUUUUUAAGUGAAAUAAUUGAUCUUUAUGCUUGGAUUGAUGGCAUUGUAUCCUUUCUGUAUCAGAUGAAAAGGCAUACUAGGAGUAGUUUCGCGAUUGGAUUGUCCCUUGCAACUGCAUUUCUGGUUAUUGUUGUGAGGGCAUUUAUUGUUAGGAGGUCCAGAUACAACCGGCCUGGCUCUGUAGAGGAUCUUGUCAGACGUGGGCAGCUAAGAUCUGACAGAAGAGGCAUGUAUGAUUCCAAUCCUUCAUCCCUUUACUUUCUUUGUCCGUGAACGUUUUAGCAACUGGUGCUUUAUAACUGUAUUUCUCAUUUUCUGUUUAGUUUAUUGUGUGAAUUAUUACACUGCACCUUAAACUUCAUCUGCAUUGGUAGCUAAUCACAUUGAAGUUUCUUAGAUGUCAAGCAUUUAGUUACCAAGUCAGCACAUAAGUGUGGUUAUCUUUUGAAAUCGCCAAUUUACAGCUCAAGGCCUCUCAAGUACGAGGACCCCUUUAAUAAUCCAUUAGUGAAGGUUGGCAAGAGCAACUCAACUAUGGAGAUGUGUGGAAAGGUUUAUCGCUUAGCUCCAAUCACUCUUACCAAGGAGCAACAAACUAUCCACCAGAAAAGGAGGUCUCGAGCAUAUCAGUGGAAGAGGCCAACAAUCUUCCUUAAAGAAGGGGACUUGAUACCUCCUGAUGUUGACCCAGAUACAGUCAGAUGGAUUCCUGCAAAUCAUCCUUUUGCAACCACCAAUGACAUUGAUGAAGACUUGGCACAGAACAAUGUGUAUCAAAAGCACGGUGUCCCUUUUCGUAUUCGGGCUGAGCAUGAGGCACUGCAGAAAAAGCUUGAAGCACUACAAAAUGUAAGUUGUUUUAAAUAAUUGAAUGUUUAACAUUUAGUAUUAUGGUUAAAAAUGGAAUAUCAAUAUUAAGGCAACAAAGAGUGCUUGGCAGACCUAAUUCAGGGACCAGACUGGUAACUCCAUAAAUGACAAUUGAGUACUUGUUCACUGUCUCUUAAUUCCUUUGCCUUUAAAACUAUAUCACGUGUGAUACUGGGGGCCAUUUGACUUUGAUUUUCCUGUGCCAGUUCAACAAUUGCCGACAUUUUUGUAGACAUGGUUGUUUCUAUCUCUUGACCAUAGAAAGAGUGUUUUUUGUGCAGGAGCAUGUGAAUUGUUAAGUAUUCAAGCUUACUCAUCUUUUGCUCAGAUUGUGAUGCUGUGUGUAAUUUGGUUACUUGGAUCUCUGAAAAACUUCCUGCUCAUUCUCCUAGAUUUCUUGUUUAUUUGUUUGCAGGAGCAAAAGCUUAAUAAAUUAGUGAUUGAUUCUAGCAACGCUAAGGAUUUUGAGAGAGCAUUCAAGUUAAAUCCCAAGUCAGAAGAGCCUUUAGAUCAGAACCCCUUUGUUAAUCAAUCUGGAGAUUCGAGGCCACCUAGGCCAGAUCAAGCCCCAAAUGGAUACGAUAGCAAUUCAUCCUCGGAGGAAAUGCAGAAACCCUAAACAUUCAAUAUCAGUAUUAUGUUCAUGUUCCUCUGUAUCUAUUGUGAAGUGAAUUCCCAUUUUUCAAAUAUUACAUGAGAGUUGGCUGGAUCACCAUUUGAAAAUUUCCCUGCUGUUGGCUUUAGUUUUGCCUUUUCUAGAACCAGUUGUAAGUUGAAGGCUGUAAAUAUGAACUGCGGUGUUUUACAUAACCGGUAUCAUUUUUUUUUUUUAUGCACCCUGGAAUUUCAAUAGGCUUUCUGCAGUCGGAUUGCAGAUAUUAGUUUCUUUUGCACAGAUCAACGAUGGUGCAAUGACUUGAGUGAUCCUCAAUGAAACCAUUAUACAAUAUGGUCUUAAAGAAGCUUCAGUAGUCACUAAUAAGAUAUUUCAUAAAUCAAAUAAGUAGAGCAAAUGUAUUUGAAACAAUAUUAACAAUAUAAUACUAAAAAUGCAUUUCCGAGAGGAAAAAAAGAAAGAACCACCACCUCUUUUAAUUAGAAUAUCCUGAUUCCCAAUGCACUGUGCAAAAAUUCUCCAAAUGAAAGGAUGAGCUAAUUCUGCCGGCUAAGUUGAAAGCCAUUCUCAGUUUUCGACUAGUCAGCCUUGGUGGCUUGCCUUGCCCCAACAGCAAAGAACUCAGUAAUGACUUCAAGAGGCAUGCCUUUGGUUUCAGGUACUCUCAAGAAGACGAAAACCCAGGAGAUGAAACACACAACAGCAUAAACACUGAAGGCACCGGCUAGCCCUAUUGAACUAAGCAUUACAGGCAGUGUGUAGGUGACAAUGAUGUCACAAAUCCAGUAAGCCAUGGCACAGAUGGCAAUGCAGAUGCCACGGACUUUUGUUGGGAAGAUCUCUGCACAAAGGAUAUUUGGAAUUGGUCCAUAAGCCGCAACAAAGCAGCAGAAGUAGAUUAUAACACAAGCUGUUGAGAUCCCUGCUUUUAAGACUGGGCUAAUAAGUUGCAAAGUUUCACUAAUGACAAGAAUGAUGAGCGACACUAUCAGCACAGGGAUUGUGGUGAGCAGCAGCUUCCUGCAAAAUCGGGUUAAUUAAUUUGACAAGGCAAGUAUAAAAGUUAAAAUUACCCUUAAGAAAGAGGAAGAGAAAGUAUUUCACAAUGGAAUCAAACAGAGCUGAAGUAUAUUUUCAUCGGCUUGUGGAGUUACAAAUGACAAAAUUCAUACAGUUGCCGGUUUCAAUACUUAAGAUGACAAGUUGGCUGCAUAAGAAGCACUGAGCUUGAUGUUUCAUUCUGAUCAAAAUCAGAACACACAUUUUCAAUAGAUUAAGGACAAUUCUAUUCCUACUUCCCUAGUGAUUCUAAAACAUAACUUGCAGAUAAAAUGAUAAUUUUCAAGAUGGCAUUCAGAAAACACUUUUGAGAAUUUUAAUGUUCAGAUAAUGAGAAUUUAAUUAUGAAAUGUGCAAAAACAUUAUUUUCUAUAACAUCAAUCUAACAAGGAUAUAACCAGAAGGAAACAUUGACGAAAACAAGCAGUAUCCUACAGAGUCACCCCUCAGAAGAAAAGGCACGAGAGUGAAAAAUAGAUGUACAGAAAAACAAAUCACCUUCUGCCUGCUACAUCCAUAAGCUUCAUGGCUACACCUAUGCAGGGAAGCAUCAGAAAGGUUGUGAAAGCACUGAUAAGGAAUGAUGCAGAUUCCGAGCUAAUGCCCAAAUUAGAAAAAAGAACUUCAACACCUGCAUGUUCUAGGAUUUGAGGAGUGUAGUAAAGGACCCCAUUGAUGCCAGAAAACUGCACAUACAUUAAAAGAAUUAAUCAUCAUAUAAAAGGAUUAAAAGUGAGUUCGCAUAAGUUUCAUUGAUAUGAAGAACAAUCUUGUUAAUCUAGCUGUUGGUACUCCUCCUACAAGGUAGGACAGGCCAUCUGUUUUCCUUUUGAUCUUCUGGAAGCAAAAUGUUCAAAACAAGGAUGAAAGAGAAAGCCAACUAAAACCAUGUUCAUGUACUAAACUUUUCACAGGAUCACUGUUUUCGUUUUAAUUCAACAAGAGAAAAAGUAGAGCAACUAAUGAAUAAAACAAUUGCCUACCUGCUGUAGUAUCUGGAUUCCAACCCCAACCAACAAUGCACGCUUAACUCCAGCCUCCAAAAGAGUGGCCCAACUAGGCCCUUUCGAAGCAGUUUCAGAAGGAUGAACCAUUGCAGGUCCAACUGGAUGCUGAUCCAUAAGCUCCUUGGAGUAUAAAGCAGGCUGGCUUACCAAAGCGGCAGCCUGGAUAUACUCACCUUCUUCAGGCACAUCAUAACCAGGAACUGAAACAAGAGAUCCACGUCGGGAUCCUGGAACUCCCUCCUGAUGCAAGUAAAUCCUUUUAAAACCCCCUUCCUUCUUUCCAUCCUCACCUUCUCUCUCCGUCCAUUUCCAUGCCAAUUGCCAACCACCACCAAUGCCUGUACUACCAACUGCCUCUCCAGAUCCCUGCAUGAGACUGCUGUGACGUCUCAUGCUCAAAAUACUGCCAUGGGAAGGAGGGGCAGCCAUGUCCUUUUCCAUGCUUGUUGUCUGGCGAGAGAUUAAUGGACUAUGCAAAUUGUCAUCUGAGUCUGCCCCAGCAAUGUCUGAUGCAUGGUCCUCUCCUUCCCUCUGCAGGCUCUCUUCAUCCCAAUGAUCAUGUUUAACAUGAUGCUCCGCAGUACUAAACAUGCUUCCAAAGGUUGGAAAAAGCGUACUUCGCAUACUUCCCGAUUCUGGAAGCUUUUCAUGAACGCUGCCAAAUAGAGUCACAAGAGGGUCCAUAAGUGGGACACUUUGGUUUGCCAGGCUACCCUGGCGAGAGACAAGUGCCAGAGAACUCUGUCCUGUGACAGGUUUGGCAACCCAUGAGAGGCCUUCUUCAGGUCCAUAUAAUCUGAUUUUGUCUUUCUCGUCAGUAGGUUCCUCACCAUCAGCAAGUUCAUCACCUGGGCCUAUUAUAUAUUCUUCUAUAGAUGUUUCACCCCCGAUUCCAAGACCUUCAACCAGCAAGGCCAUCUCACCUAUGGAUUAAAGAAAAUUUAGCAAGACAAAUAUGAUCAAAUUCUCGCAAAUCAAGAAUUAAAUGGAAAAAGAUAGGAGGGAAGCCACAAUAAUUGAGGUCAAUUAGAAUGGUUGUGACAAAAUAUCUGUGGACUUUUUCCUUUCUCAAUUCAGUACCUUGUCAUUCGGUGAAUGUAUAAAAUCAACUGAGAAGCGAUAUGAGAAUUUCAACUGCUUUAAGUUGUAUGCUGUGUGGUACAUGAUUAUCACUGAUUUGAUGCAUUUACAUGAAUCUGAUCAAACAAUGAAGAUCCAGAAGCUUAAAUAUUUUUCUUUUUUUAAAAAUAAAAUCUUAGUGCCAAAAUUCUGCACUCAUAAAUGUAUCUGAAGUCGAUACAGAGCUCUUUGGAAAUGAUAAAUCUGAUUUUUAAAGACGUCCUUUCAGAACUCUGGAUCAAGAUGGUGACUCUCAUUAAACUAGCAAUAGCAAAAGACUGCAAUGAAAAACUUCAGUUGAAGUAGAAUAAUAAGCUUUGAGCCACAUAUUAAAAAUAUUAAUUGAACCAACCAAAUCGUCAAUAUUUAAGAACGGAGUAAACUAGGGUAGUCCAUAUUCCAUGCUUCUAUUAAUAAACAUAAUGUGCUUAGUCUAGCAGAUAGUAAAUCUUACUGAAAAAUUCAGUUAACUGUGCAGUGUACAUGAUGUUUUCAUCAGAAAUUGAUUUAAGAAGAUCAUGCACACCACCAAACACUGGAGGCAAGGCUCAAGCUCAAUGGAUCAAUUCAAUCAGCAAGGAGACAAUUUUCUGGGCUCCAUCAGAAGUACAUAAUCAUAUCUUGGGAAAGGAAAGAAAAAAACACCAUGAACAAAAGCAAACCUGAAACGUCUUCCCUGCCACGUAAUCUCUGGAGGACCUGCUUUGCCUCAAGCAUCUUUCCUUUACUCACAAGCCACCGAGGAGAUUCAGGCAAGAAAAAUACUGCAAAUGCAAAAUAAAGAAGGGCAGGAAUUGAAAGAACCCCAAGCAUUAACCUCCAACUAGGUGAAGCUAACAAUGACAUCCCAAAAACCAUACAAUAUGCCAGAAACAUGCCACCCGAACCAGUGAAUUGUGGAAGAGUAUUUAACUGUCCCCUUAUUUCUGAUGGAGCGGUCUCAGAUAUAUAGAGUGGGACAAGAGUAACUGCCAGACCAACUCCAAAUCCAUCUAAGAGUCUCGCAAUGCACAGGACAUAAACAUUGGGAGACCAUAACAUUACUAAACCACUAACAAAGUAGAGGACUGAUGAGAGUAUGAGCAUUGGGCGCCGACCAAGCCAAUCUGAUAUGGGUCCUGAGCAUGUUGUAAUAGCUGUGGCUCCAAUGAGUGACAUGGCCACAACAAGACCUUCUACGGUAGUACCCAAGUUGAGGUCCUUCUUGAUGUAGACAAUUGCCCCUGAAACCAAAGAAACAAGAUUAUCGAAGUGCAUUUUGAGCAAUAAUUUGACCUGACAAAAUAGCAUAUAUCACCAACUGAUCUAAAAGAUUCCAAUCCCAAUGGACACAAACCACAGAGUCGUCGAUUGAGCAAAGAAGUAGCCAAUCACAUUGAAGAACUAACAAACAGCUGACAAACUAAAUCUGUAAAUAAAAACAAAUAAAUAAAUAAGGAAAAGCUCUAAAGCGUUAACUACCAGCGAUUGUUGCAUUAUCCCAUCCUUGCAAGAAGUUACCAAUAGUAGCAGCAAUAGCUACAAGUGCAGCUCCGUUCAUCUUUCCGCCAAUGAUUGAAAUCACUCGUCAAUACUCAAAAAAGUAACCUGUAGGAAAAGAAGAUCCCACAUCUAUCAUCAUCAACAUAGAUCCAGUUCACCCAAACAACAAUAAUUGGACUACAUAUAUCGACCAACCAUAACCGUGAAAGCAAUAGCCACAGUGUCAAAUCUUUACAGAUUUGACUGAAUUAUUAAUACUAGCAUAUUUACAUCCACAUAUCAACAGUAUCAAUAAUCAACCUUUAGAAAAUUCCGAUCUCUUAGAUUUCUCACCUCUUGAUACCUCAACAGCCAAAAGGGUCAAAGCCAAAGGACCCUUGCUUGAUGAAAAGGUAGCGAAUUUAAAGCAUACACAACUUAGAAAAGCUAACUUUCCAGAGAAAAAGCUUAAGGAAAAGAGAAACAACUAAUCUAUGAGUAGUAAUACAUAACAGAAGGAACUGCAAACAAAAGAACUGGCUCUUUGGGAUGAAAAAAAGAUAGAAUCUUUAUGGACAGACAAGAAGAUUCUCUACUGAGAUAAAAUUUAAAAAAAGAAAAGAAAAUAAGUUUAUGUAAAUUUGCCGAAAGAAGUGCGCUAACGAACUGAAACGAAAAGCAAUUUUUAAAUAGUUUUUUCAACAAGCCAUCAAACGCUUGCCACUUAAACUUCACUCUGCGACUCUGAAUUUAAAAAAAAAAAAAAUUACUUCACUCCAUAAACUGAGUUCACUGACUCAAGAACAAGUGUAGAGUUUUGGUCCAGGCCCAGAACCGGACACCUUCUUAGAUUCAAAUUGAAGUGCAAUAGUUCCAAUUUUUUACUUCAAAAACACACAGUUAAAAUGAAAUUAAAAAGAGGGUCUGGAACGUACUUCUAAUGACUAAUGAUUAAUCAAUGGACAGCAAACAAAUCAGAAGGAUACUAAUAGAUACACACACACAUACGUAUGUGUAUGUAUGUAUGGGUAAAUUUCACUGCACUCCUACUAGAGAAACUAUCUUCACUCAAUAAAUAAAUACAUAUAUAUAUAUAUAUAUAUCCGUGUGUAUUUUUUAUUUUUUCGGGUUUUAAUUUAUCUGUUAAAUUAUAUAUAUACAUAGGGGUGUAUAAAUUAAAAUGAUAAAACUAUGGUGCAACAAUUGUACCGUAGUUUUGUCUUUUUUUUUUAAUUAAUUACAUAUCAAUGUCUAUAUUUUAUAAAAAAGUUAAAUAAACACUAGAAGUUAUAAAUUUUUAUAUAUGAGUCCUCUUCUGGGAUAAAAUGAAUUUAAAAAAAAAUUAACUGUUACUAUUAUUAAUAUUUAUUAAUGUUAUUAUUAUUAUAUUAAUAUUAUUGUUAUUAUUAUUAAAAUUUAUUAUUUUAAUUAUUGUCAUGUGUUAUUAUUACUACCAUAAAUGUCAUCAUUAUUGAUACUAUUAAUAAUAUUAUUAUUAUCAUUAAAAUUUAUUAUUUUAAUUAUUAUGUAUUAUUAUUGCUGUCAUUAAUUAUUAUUAUUAUUAUGAAAUUAAUUAAUUUUAUUAUUUUAUGUUUACAAUUACUUUAAUUAAGUCAUUAUUAUUAUUUAUUAUUUUUAUUACUAUUAUUAAAAUUUAUUAUUUUAAUAAUUAUUAAUUAUUGUUAUUAUUAUUUUAUUAAUAGUAAUAUUAUUAAAAUUAUUAAAUUUAGUAUUUUAAUUAUUGUCAUGUGUUAUUAUUACUACCAUAAAUGUCAUCAUUAGUAAUAUUAUUAAUAAUAAUAUUAUUAUUAUUAUUAUCAUUAAAAUUUAUUAUUUUAUUAUUUUAAUUAUUAUGUAUUAUUAUUGUUAUUUAUUAUUAUUAUUAUUAUUAUUAUGAAAUUAAUUAAUUUUAUUAUUUUAAUUGUUACAAUUACUUUAAUUAAGUCAUUAUUAUUUAUUAUUUUUAUUACUAUUAUUAAAAUAUAUUAAAUAUAUUAUUUUAAUUAUUAUUAAUUAUUUUUAUUUUUAUCUUUAUUAAUAGUAAUAUUAUGAAAAUUUAUUAAAUUUAUUAUUCUAAUUAUUAUAUUAUUAUUAAUGUUGUCAACAUCAUCAACAUUAUUAAACUUUAUAGAUUUUUUUGUUUUAAGUAAUACUAUUGUCAUUAUUAUUAUUUUGCCUUAAGUAAAUAUUUAAAAACUUUUAAUUUUUAUGAUUUUGUAGUAAACAAUAGGGAAUUAAGUGUUAAUAACCAAUUGAACACAUCUCAGCCGUUGAACACUUUAGUCAUUAGAUCUAUUGGCUAAAUCAGAAAAUGACAAAGUUUGGGUAUCGUGCAACGGUUGCACAGUAGGCGGACCCAAAUUAAAAUAAUUGAAGAUGAUGAGCUUCGGCUGCUUUCCUGUACUUGCUCCGUUGUCGUUUGGACAUCUAUCUUUUGAAAUCGACAGGAUGUCUUUUCUUUGCUUAUUUUUGCCCCCUUUUUUUUUUUUUUCAUUUCUCUCAAUUCUUUGUUAAUUUUGUUUGUCAAGCUGUGACAACGUAAUCUAGUUACAUAAUACAAUAUGGCUUUGUUUAGUAUUAGAUGUUGUAAUUUUAAAGUUAGUCUUAGUUGUUAGGAAAAAAGAUUCGUAACUGUGAUUGAAAAGUUAAUUGUGUUUGAUAAAUAUAACAUUGUUAUGAAAUAAUUAUAAUUAUAUAAAUAUUUAUUAAAGUAAUAUUUUAUCUCUAUUAAACAAUUCUUCAUCUUUUAUAACUCUUUCUACUUUAUAAGAACUUAAUAUUAUUUUUUUAAAAAAGAAAUUAUUUUAAUUAUAUUAAUUUAGAACAAAAGGUAAUUUGAUUUUUAAAUAUGAUAAAUAAUAAGUAAUUUUCUUUUAUUAUUUUCAUUUUUUUCUCUUUUCUAAUUUAUUGACAAAGAGGAGACAUGUUCAAAAUAAUAUAUAAAAAUAUACUAAAGAAAAAUAAAAUUAUGAUUAAAAUAAAAUUAUUUUUUAAUAAAAUAAAAUAGAUUUAGGUGGCUGAAGUUGUUUUCUACCCUUGCAUGUGUACGUGACUGGCAUAGAACGUAAUGCCACAAACGUGAACUUUGAAAAUCCGAGAUGGUAUAUAAAAAUUUUAAAAUACAAUAAACAUAAUAACAAGUGAAAAAGAUGGCUUGGUUUGUAUCUGUACUAUAACAUAUCAUCUUUAUAUCACGUUCGUUCAAAGUACAGCAUUAGAACAGCUAAUUAAGGUUUAAAUACCGUAAGUUCAAUAACCUGAUACAAAUAUUUAACUAAAAAUCCUCAAUUUAAGCAACAUGAGUUCAUUAAUCAAUCUACUCCAUGUAUAACUUCAAAAUGUCAACAGAGCAAAAGAAUAUCUGAUAUAUCGUUGCAUCCCAUGACGAAACAUUUGAAAGGCAUUUUUAUUUUAUUUUUUAGUUGAUUAGGCAUGGUAAAGAGCAAAGAACACGUAUAGUAAAUCAUGUUUUAUAGCAAACAUGUUAGUCGCUUUGUACAUCUGAUCUUGUUCUAAGCUAUCAAUUUUGAUAAUUUCUUCAUACAACUUAGCUUAUAAAUCAACUACUUCCUUCUCAGCAACGAAAAGCACGCUAAUCAAACUCCCUAUUUUAGUUACCAUGGCUGCAACUAACUUAGCCAUUGCCCCAAUAUUUUUGCUUUAACCAUUUCACUCGAGAUUUAAUGUGGUGAGAAUGCUUUGCAACAAGAACCUUGACAAUUUGGCUUCCAUAUUUUGUUCCACUUGUUGGAAGUGCCUAUUUUAGAACCUGCAAUCUAAUUGUCACAUAAAAUUUUGGCUUAAGUCCAACAAUGAUUCAACUAAUACAGCAUCUUGGGCUGUCAUCCAAAAAUACUUAUUUUCCCCGGACCUCUUUGAGCUGGAUCAUAACUCGUUUUGUAACAAUAAUGUAUACAAAAUUAUUAGAAUCCAAAUAGAUACAAUGUCAAAUAAAAAUUAAUUGCGUAAUACAUAAGCAAUCAUAUCAUAGGGAAACAUAUACAAUGUCAAAUGAAAAUUAAUUACAUAAUUCAAGCAAACAGAUGCAAUGUGAAAUGACAAAGGAUUGCAUAAGUCAUAAGCAAACAAAUAUCAAUGUUAAACAACAACCCAGUAUAAAAAGGCAGUACAUCUCAACCAACCAACCAACCAACACAAACUCUUCAUUAUUCUCUAUUUACAUGCCAUGUGUUCUACAUCUCUUGGACCAAAUUUUAUCUUCAUAUAGACGUCUAUUCAUCUUAGGGCUCAGCUAAAUCAAUAAACUUUGAUUCGUUUGACAUUCUAGAGUCAGCUCAUUAUCCAUUUCCAUCUCCAUAUCAUCAUAAGGCAUUUCUUUUCUACUAAAGUUAAGUAGCAUACAACAAAUAGAUUUAAUAUGUCGUUGUGUUUUUAUAUAUAUAUAAUGAAGGACUUCCUCAUCAGCCUAUCUCUUCUUCAAUAACCCAAAACGUCGUUCAAUUACAUUACAAGCACCUAAGUGCUUCAUAUUAAGUAACUUUUCUAGAAUAGUAGGUUGGUAUCCUUCACUAAAGUGACUCAAACGAGGUUACUCGAAUAUCAUUCAAAUGGUAACAUUGUUCUAUACAUAGAGAAAGGAAGAAAACCCUUCAUACUGCUGUAGCCACCAUCAACCAAGUAAUAAUAGCUUAUUAACAAAAUAGGAUAUCAUUAAUCAAUCUAAUUGCCAAAUGAUGUAAUCUUAGAAGCUAAAGAUAAUUUUGGUUAGAUAUAUUACCAUUAGAACUUGAAAACCAUUUCUUCUAUUUAAAGCAUCUUUUAGCAUGCGAAUAUAUUGAGUUGAACCUUUCCAUCCUAGUAAAAAAUAGAUAGAUUGCAUUUGUUGCAAUUUCAUUUUUCCCAGUUUUAUAUUUUCUAUCAACCUUGGAAAUGUGAACCUUUAUGUGCGUCUUCUAACGCACCAAAGCAAUUCUACAUAAUAAGAUAUAAAAAAAAAAUUAUAAGUCAAUAUACAAAAAUGCAUAAGAGAAAAUAUGAUUUGAAAACAAUAUUAUAGAUACCUUAAGCUACUUCCAUUUUGGGUUUGUUGGAUUCUCCAUCACGCGCUCAGGUGUUUUCCAAAACUCCUUUUAGCAUUUAAUUAUUAUUUUUAAACACUCAUGGAAAUGUUUACUAACUGUUGUUUGAAUCUUGUGAAAUUGAAACCAACCAUCCAAUUCUUCAUAUAAUGUGCCUAAAUAUAAAAACAUUGCGGACAUCUCCUCAUAAGAUACAUUUCGAGUGCCAACCAAAUGCCUUUCUCACAAAGAAGGUUACAUAAAAUUUUGAAUGUUUGUCUAUCCGUUCUUAAUUUUGACAAAUAUUUGAUAUCACUUUGAAAAAGCAAAUCAUACACAAAAUAGCUCAUUUGUUUGUAUACUCUAGAGAUUGAUUUUGUACUAUCGAAGUCUCCAUUCAUAAGUCAAGCAAAGAUGAAAACACAUGGCAGUGCACACGGUCACAAUCAUUUGCAAUACCCUAAUCAAGUUCUGUAUAAUUACCAUGACUCUUCUUUCUUGCUAACAAAUAAGUAAUUUCUAUAUCUCAACACAACAAAAUUAAGCCAAUCGAUAUUAAUUAUUUAAAAUUAAUGAACAGAAGCACAAUAUCAGAUAUGAGCAGCAAUGAUUAUUUGGGCACCAUGUAAACAAGAAAUGCAAUUUUAAUAGUACUUUAAUGUAAUGUAAAUAUGCCAAAAUUUAAUCAGUCAUAUUCAUCUUACUUUUUUUUCUUUUUUGUAUUCUGCUGCUGAUAACAAAUAUCUCAAAGACCUCCACAAACAACUCAAAAACCUCAACUGCACAGAAAACCGGCAAUUAACUGUCAAUACUCAAUAGAAUGCUAGACAUUGCUAGUAAUUCGGGAAAUAAAUAUGAAACAGGAAAAAAAAAAAAAAACAGGAAAUUUUGCUCCCAUAAAACUAAGAAUGAAAAAAGAAAAAGAAAAGAGAGAGAUUACUUAGCAACUAUGUAUUUGCUGCUAUUUCCUAUACAAAUAGAUAUUCUUCGUCUAGAUUUGGCUUCUUUUAUUUAAUUAAUUGUCACAUUCAUUAUGGUGUUUUCCAGAAGAUUUUGCUUUUGCAUUUACAGUAACAAAAUAGGAGUACAAGAUCAAGAAUCAAGAGUUAGCAAGUAAUACUCAAACAAGGAAGCUGCGAACGGCGACGGCAGCGGCGAGGAACAUUCACGAUGACAAGGGGCCUGUGGCUUAGCAGAAAUUAGCGAAUCUGAUCGUCAUGUUUUUUUUUUUUUUUUAAAUAUUGAUAUUGGGGCAAGCCUGCGAUUUGUGAGUUUUAUGAAGUGUAUAAUUGUCAGGAGUGCCUAAUUGCCAGCUCUGAGAAUGACAAUUUCAGUCCCAACCGCCCAUCGAAUGGAGAGAUUCCUUUUACUAACUAUAAUUUUAAUUUUGAUGCCACGAGGGCAGCGGUUCUAGCCCCCACAAAAGUAUUGUGGGGGUUAAAUGUUCUUUAUAUUUUUAAAAAAAUUAUUUUUUUUUACGAAAUGCAAGUGGAGUAUGGACAUCCCUCUCAUGUGAGGGAUUAUUUAUCUGGGCAUGUACUUCAUAGAAUUUAUUGUAAUAAUGUAAGUCCCAAUUAUAUAUAUCUGAUUGUAAAUAUCAGUGUAAUAUCUCUGCUACAAUAAGCAGUUGUUGUAAAUAUCUGUGUAAUACAGUAAUCUGAUGAUUAAUCAGUAUUAAAAAAAAAUUAUAAUUUUGAUGGGUCCCAUACACUCUAUUCCAUUCGUGAAUUAAAAAUUCUGAAGUAAGCACAUGCCUCAUUCUUAUUCUCUACUCAUUCAAGUACACAUACCCUGAUUAUAAUAUUGCUUAAUUCUAAGGAAAGAAAAAAAAUUGCAACCCUAUUUAAAAACGCAAACAAAAUUUAUAUAUAUAUAUAUAUAUAUAUAUAUAUAUAUAUAUAUAUAUAUAUAUAUUUUUUUUUUUUUUAAUCCAAAAUUUUUAAGUACGAAAAAAUUUAGAAAAGUUUUAAAAUCUUAUGAUUUUAUAGUGUUAAUUUUAUAAUUUUUUAAAAUUAUGUAAUUUUAAAUUUUUUUCUGAAUUUUUUCAUUUUUUAAAAUCUCUAGUUAGAAUAAUUAAUGUGUAUAAAUAUAUAUAUAAGUCAAAAUUUUACAGAAAGAUGAGGUCGGUAGCUGCGUGCGACAUGAAUAUGGUGGCAUCCAAAUGCCACAUGGGGUAGGUAUAUUUGAACUUGUCACUUUGUAUACGUGAUUCUUACGCCAGUUAGGAUUGCAUUUACAUGUCAUAUUACGUAAUGUUUAUUUCAAGAUCACAAGCUGUUUCGUACGCUUUGGAUCUCAAAUUGGUAUUUUUAUUAUUAUUAUUAUUUAUGCUUAUACAUGCAGCCAAAAUUGCUAGAGAUGCAGCACGUGACAUGGGCCAAAAUAGAAGUUGAUUUUGUUUUCUUUCUUGUCUUCUCAGAGUCAGAGAUUCGAAAGGUUUACUGUAAAAAAAAAAAAAUAAUCGCAUGUCAUAUUCUUUAGUAUCACAGUAAUUUAAUUCUAUAAAGCUUACAUAGAGAACACACACACAUAUAUAUAGUAAGGACUAAGGACCAUGUUAAAACAUAAAAAAAAAAACAUAAAUUUUGAUACACUAAAAAUAAAAAUAUAUUGUAUUAGAGUAUGCAUGUUUCUUGUCUUUUUAUUUAAUUUAAUUUAAAUAAAAUAAAAGAUUCUUCAUUGAAGUCCUAAUAUUAUUUUUUUUAUGUCAAAAAAUGUCCUAAUAUAUAUAUAUAUAUAUAUAUUCAAUUUAUAAAUUACCAAUAACAUUAUAAAAUAUAAAUGAUUUAUUGGCUGACGUUACUCAAACCUUGUCGCAUGAUGCAGUCAUUUUAAUCUACCGCUUCAACUCUAUUAUGAAGUUAUGUAGACAUCUCUCAUCAAAAUAGUUGUAUAAUAAAAUAAAAACUUUCCAUAUGGUCCUAUUAAAUCUUAUUCUCGAUCCAAGAUAUAUUUCGUUUUUUAUAUAGAAUAAAUAUUUAUAUUAAGCUUCACCUUAAAUUGGGCUAAUGUCCUUAGAAAGUAGAAACUCUACCAUUAUUAACUAGAAUAUCAAGAGCCUUAAAAGAGUCGCAUGGAUGUCAUAAAUGGCUCAAAUUCACUCACGAGUCCUAUCCAGCUAAAAUCGAUUUCUUUGUGUUUUUUUUUAUUAUUUUUUUUCAAAAGAAGCCCAUUCCUAAAUUUGUGCCAUUCAAAUAUUCUAUUUCUAGUCCGAGUAAAUUUGAGGAAAAUUUAAAUUUAAAUAGAAUUUGAGGAAAAUUUUUAAAUAGAAGUGAACAAUUUCUUCGAAACGAUGGUUGAUAGUUUUCCACGUGCAAUUUUUAGAAAAGAAAGUCCUGGGCUUUGUGGGCCAUGUGGCAUUAAGUAACGGGCUAUUCUCCAUAACCCGGUACGAGGAAUGCAUAUCUACGACGUCGUCUGUUCGCAAACCAACAGGCGACGUUGUACCUUAUUAGGUACCAUAUCGUUAAUAGCACAAAUGCUCCGUGAACAAGCACAAACAAUUACCCGCGCAAAAUCAAAUGAAACUUGUAAACGACCAACGGCAUCCAAAUCUCGAAUGAUCAUCAACUUAUCAGGGAUCCCUUUGAAAUCAAAACCCAAGAUCUUCUACGAUCCCUGGAUUCAACAAUCAUAUGUGCAACUUCCCCAGAAAUAUUACAAGGCAAUGAAAGCUUGUGGAUCGCUAAAAUCGCUUCCUAUUGAUCGAAAAAUCCAUGCCCAGCUCAUUUCCACUGGUUUAAUCUCUUCGAUUUUCCUCCAAUUGAUAGAUGAUGAUUGUCGCGUGUUUUGUGAUAUUGGGCCUCGUUAUUUGUUCACUUGCAAUACGAUGAUUAACGGGGGGUUCGGUGUCAGGGAUCGGGUUGAUGGUAGCAGAGAAAUUGUUCGAUGAAAUGCCGAAGAGAGACUCGGUUUCUUGGAACUCAAUGACGUUGGCUUAUUUUUGUAAUGGGAUGGCCUAUGAUAUCUGAAGGUUAUUACUUUGAUGAUUCAAGAAGCUAAUUGAGUGCCAAAUUUGUAUUUGUUCUCUUGUGUGAUUAAGGCUUGUGUGUGUCGGGAAUAUCAAAAUGGCUCUUCAUUUGCACGGUCUUGUGAAGAAAUUUUUUUUUGGAAGUGAUGAAUCGAUUGAGAAAUCUAGUAUCGAUAUGCAUGUUAAGUGUGGUGCAGUUGAUUAUGCAGAGAGCGCGUUUUUGAGGAUGCCGAAUCCGAGUUUAUUUUGUUGGAAUAGUAUGAUUUCUGACUAUUCUAAGUUAUAUUCUGUGGAUAAGGCUAUUAAUUAUGUUUCAGAAAAUGCCUGAACGUGACUUAGUGUCAUGGAACACAAUGAUUUCUAUUUUGACUCGGCAUGGCUUUGGGUUUGAAACUCUCUGUGCGUUUGUUGAGCUGUGGAAUCACGGUUUCGGACUGAGUUCCAUGCUGUAUGCUACUGGUUUUAGUGCAUGCGCGAGCGUAUAUGAUCUUGAAUGGGGCCCCCAUUUGCAUUCUCGGGUCGUGCAUAUGGAACCAAGUCUAGAUGUUUUCGUGGGCAGUGGCCUGAUUGAUAUCUACGGAAAAUGUGGAUGUGUAGAAUAUGCAAGGCGGUGUCUGCAGCUUAAGUGAAUAUAAUGCAGUUUUGUGGACUUCUUUGAUUAGCGGAGUUGCUCAGUUUGGGCUUGAAUGAGAAGCUUUGAUGUGAUUUAACCAAAUGAGAGAGAUUCCUGUUGUGUUGGAUGAGUUUACACCCUUGCCACAGGUUUUGGGGCUUUGUUCAGAUCCAAAGUACCUUUGAACUGGGGAAUAGCUUCAUGCAUAUACAAAAAGAAUGGCAUAGAGUCCUCUAUUCAGAUAGGAAAUGCUCUUGUUACAAUGUAUGCAGAAGGAGGUAGUACUCAGAAAGCAGAUCUUGCAUUUGAAUUGAUGUCAAGAAGGAAUAUGAUAUCUUGGAUGGUACUGAUCUCUGCAUUCUCUCAAGCUGGUGAUCAUGAAAAGCCCAGAUAUAUAUUUUUUUUUGUUGAUAAAAUGCAUUAGUGAAGUAUUAUACCUUGGAAUUCUAUGAUAAUCACGCAUAAUCAACAUGGAUUUGUAGAAGAUGGUAUCAAACUGUUUGUUGUAAUGCUACAAGAAGGGAUUAAGCCAGGUUGGGUCAUCUUUGCUACUUCAAUCAAUGCCUUUUUCUGAGUGGCAAUAGUAAUGCUGGGGAUCCAAAUUGUAGCUCUAGCUGAAAAGUUAGGAUUUGGUUCUGACGUUUCAGUUGUCAGUAGUGUUAUCUCUAUGCAUUCAAGAUGUCGACUAGUUGAGGCAUGAAAAACAUUUGAUUCUAUAUCUAUGAAAUCUGAUUUCUUGGAAUUCAAUGACAGCAUGAUACGCUCAGAAUGGUGACUCGAAGAAAGCUUCUGAGAUUUUUUUAUUAUAUGUCGAAGAUGAAAUGGAGGCCUGAUCAUGUAAGUUUGUGUCUCUCCUAUCAGGUUGUAGCCAUUCAGGGCUAGUCACCAAAGGCAAACAUUAUUUUACUGCAAUGGCUAAAUUCACCUACACAUGCUAUUUUGUGUGCAUGGUGGAUCUGCUUGGGCUGUCUGGGUUGCUUGAGGAGGCUAAGAAAUUGAUUGAUGAAAUGCCUUCUAAGCCAACAUGUGUUAUAUGGGGAGCUUUGCUUGGUGCUUGUUGCAGCCGAUAUAACACAAAAUUAGCAGAACUUGUGAUGGAGGAAUUUGCUCCAGUUGGAUGUCAAAGUCUUUGGUAGUUAAUAGUCUUUUAGCAAAUCUCUAUUCAGACACUGGAGAACUAGAUGGUGUUGCAAGUUUAAGGAAACUAAGGAAUUAGAAACUAGAAAGAAUCAUGGUUGCAGCUGGAUAGAAGUUGAUGACAGGGUAAAUGUCUUUACUAUGGACGAUGUGAAUCAUCAUCGAAAUGCGGAAAUCUAUGGUCUUCAGAAGAUUAGCGAAAAGAUAGAAAAUAUAGGAAACUGUGGUGAGGCAGUUUAGUUCCAUUAGUUCCCAGAUCUGGCCAUGUCGUCUGGAUUGAUUAGCAUCUCUGCUUGGAUGCCCAUCCAUGUUUUAAGGAUAUUACCGAGUUUGGCGAGAUUGCCACUUGCUACAUAUGCUGGUUUCCAUUAUUACAUAUUCUUAUUCCAAUUAUUCCCUAAUACAAGUAACGAAACAAUUCAGACAAAACCACAAACGCUAAUCCACCCACUAGUGAAUAAUAUUUUAUACCAUUUAAAUAAAAUAAGCAAUAGAAACAAACCAAAAAAAAAAUAAAAUUUUUAAAUAAAAUUGACAACGUGAAUUGUUUGUAUUUCUACUAAAUUAUUAUCAAAUCAAAAGCUCUCUCUCUUUACAGGCGCAACAAAAUACAGUCUUUAAUGUUUGUACUCUCUGCUGACUUUUUUUUCCCCCUUGUGUUUGUUUCUUGCAAGGAAGGAGGGUCGUAACGAAUUGCAAGUAUGAAAUCCCUCUAGACUUGUGAAACAAACCACCGAGGCAUUUGCUUGCUCAUUUUGAAAACUUCACAUCUGGAUUUCUUAUUGGUUUAAGCCACAUAUCAGCCAUUACUCGCGAGGAAAUGCUCCACAACAAAUCUUGGCCCUUUAUGAAUACAUGUUUCCCCUUUUUCCCUGCCUUUCCUAGUCCGUACGCCAACAACCAUUGCGUAGCAGUCAGCCUCUGCUUCUCACCAUCCCACAAACUCCUUUUUCCUCCUGAUCGCACCUUGAAACCUCCAAGAUGCGAACUCGUCACCUUGAAUCUCUUCUCCUCGUCAUACUUGUUGUCCUUAUUGAUUUCAGCACGCACUUCAUCUGCAUGAAUAAGUGCAACUACAGAGCCUCCAACUGCUUCAUAUCUCCUGAUUGGAUCCCGCAGCUGGAUGACCACUGCAAGUGUGAUCGUCUCUUGAUCCCUAGGCUGCCCAUUCCAAGUAGUCAAGCUGUAACUCUUGGUCCAAUCCUCAAGUGGAAUGGCAGAAGCAAGAGGGUGGUUCUGAUAUUUGCCACUGCCUGUAAUUAUCUUUUCACUGAGUGGAGAAACAUCAAAGGGAGCAUCUUCCUCAGCCAUUUCUGCCUGAACUUUUAAGGCCUCAACUGUCAUCGUCUCAAUCUUCUGCAAUGAGAAAGCCAAAAUCUCUUCUGCUGUCAUUGGAUUCUCAUUCACAUUCCAAAUUCCUGUUGAAAUUCUCUCUUUCCGGCCGGUACUCGUGGCAGUUGCCAUGGUUUUUACGGCAGCAAUGGUCCGUGCAGCACUUGAGCUAGCACCUUCUUUGUUUCUCCCUUGGAUGAUUGCAGAAGCAAUGCCUUCAAAAGCUAUUUGUUCUGCAGUUUUACCCAUCAGUUCAUCCAUGGGCAUCAAAGAUAAAAUCUGUGAGCUGAGUUCCUCAAAUCCAACAGCUGCCAUUUGCUGGAAUACUUCAAACCCGCUCGUGGAUUUAUUUGAUGGAAGGACCAACGGCUUUGAUAUUUGCAUCGCUAGUUUUGGAGUGUCUUUCCUUGCAACUUCAAUGUCGAGAGGAUUCAUGGCCACUAAGUAGCCACCAUCCCUUGUCUGAACCACAGAACCUAAGCCCUUUCCAAGAUCUGGGAGGUACACUUUGGUUUUGGUAUCAUUUGUAUCCUCGGUUCCAUCCAGCUGCAGAGGAGGAAUUUCAGGUUGAUAAAAUUUGAAUUCUUUAGUCCCUUCAUCCUCAAGCAUCUGCAGAAAUUCCCUCGUCACAGUUUCCUCGUCUGCGUCUAAUCUUUGUGAUUCAGUUUCUUCUUCUGUUUUGAUGAUUCUUUCUUCUUCCAUCAUAGAUUCAAGAGCUGUUAUUUGCUGAGCUAUUGAAUCAAGCUCUGUUAAUCUUGAGAGAUGUAGUGGAUCGUGCAUCAUCUCCUUAACUACCUCACUUGAUGCUGACUCUCCUUCAGAUGCUCCUUGCGCAGCCUCUACUUUGUUCUGAAUCUCAACUCCUUUAUCCACAACUUCGAAGUCUGGGAGAUCAAGAUCCUGAUCCUCCACAACUUCCUUCUUUGGUUCUGGUUCUUCAGAUUUCUUAACCGAGGUAGAGGAUGACGGAACUGGGUCAGGCUCAUCAAGGUUCAAGUCGUCAAUUCCUUGAAGAUCAACGGAAGCUCCAGUCUGUGAGGGAGUCCAAGCUUCAGCUCGGCUUGCCAGUCUUGGACUAGGCACACUGAAUGAAGUUUUUGAUUGCUUUCGGCCAAAAGAUGAAGAGAAAUUUCUGGACUUGUUCGACUUUGCUCCCUCGGUCUGACUAUAAAUAUCAAUCCCUCCAUCUUUUUCCAUAAUUUGAAACCCCAGUUUGAGAACAAGUUCUCCUCCUUUUGCCUUUCCUGAUAGAUUGAAGCUUAUAUCCCACUGUCGAACACGAGCACCCUGAAUGCUUUUAUCCAUGGAUUCCUGAAUUAGUUGGCUCAAAUCCACGGAAUGUCUCCCGAAAUUAAGCUCUUGAGCAUCGAUUGCAAACACAUAAAUCGAAAACGGACGGGGCUCAAACCUUAGCGGCUUUCCAUUGCCAGGGGUAAAAUAUACAUGACACUUAACAAACAGGGUUUCUUCAAAAUCGGCAGCUCCCUGUGAAACCCUAGAGGGCAUUGUAUGAACCGCUCCAUCCUUAGUUUCUUUCUUCCUCACACAAACAGAAAGGCGAAGCCCAUUCAUAGAGGCAGGCAGGCCUUGGACGGUUACAACUUCAACAGAGAACAAACAGCUCAAUUUCUGCAUUCCAAUAUGUGUAAGGGCUCGAAUAGGCUUCCAGUUCCAAAGCCCUUUCUUUUCAGCCGAGCCUAUUCUUUCGUCCAACCUCUUGGCCUCCGGCUGCUUCGACACCUUGCCUCUAUCCCUCUGUUCAUUUUCAAAUCCAAUGUCACCAUCAAGCUUAGGCCUAGAACGCCAAGGGGACAAGGACAUACGUCUUGACCGGGGCCUACUGCUGGAAGUUCCCUCAACUUUAGAGGCGCUGAUCUCAUUCUCAUCCGCAGAUGUGAUUUGGGGAACUGAACUUCGGGGAAGAGCAAGAGAGGCGGUUCUUCUGUUGGUUGUAGGGUGAGUUUGGUAGAGGGAUUGGCUAAGUGCUUCUAGUUCUUCCAGCAGCUGAGCAUUGGAAUUCCUCCUAUUAGAAUCUGUUGCCAUUAAUAUUGAAUAACAAGAAAAACAACAAGAAGUGGUGAAGAUGAAGAUGUUGAUUGAGGCUAAUUUUUACUUUCGGCUUCGGGAAGAUGGAAUGGUGAAGAUAUGGAGUUGAAAUGUUUUUUGAGGUGGGAAGUUUGCCAUAGAAUAGAUGAUGAACACUUGAGGCAACUGUGGUGGUCCUUGCAGAACCAAGUAACUUGUUGAAAAUAAUGUGUGAAGGAUAGUGGAAGAACGUUAUUACACCAACUCAUUGGUUUCAGGAUUGAAGUGACAAAAUGGUCCCCAGAUUAUUUAAUUUUUUUAUUUUCCAGAAAGUUGUGUGGUUCUACUACUACUACUACUACUGUUAGUUAUGAAUUAUUAGUUAAACUUCAUUUUCCCUUCCCGCGAAGCUGCCGUGACUUUUCUCCCCGCCCGCGCUUUGGUUGUUUUGUUAGUUAUUAGUUACUGUGAUUUGUUGAGGCUGUCAGGCUGUGAUGUCAAAUAUAAUAAUGGAGGGACAUGGGUCUAUCCUGCCAUUGCCCAUCAAACUUCUCGUUGCAUUUGCCUUACCAAAAUGUUUUUCCCAAUUUGUUCAUUGUAUUUUGAUUUUAAAAACCAACUUUAAGAAUUCUAACUUGAGUGACUGAUCAGACAGACAAUUGAAAAAAAAAAAUAUAACAAAAAUUUCUAGGGAUAAGAGGCCGAUCUUCUUCAAGAGCUCACAUCAAUUAGAGGGUUUGACAUGUUGAUGUCUGCUUUUGCAGCUUGGGCUAUAAUAUGUUCCAAGGGUUGGACUGUUCGCCAAUUAAAGCGGUAAAGAUCUUAAUAAAUGAUCGAGAUUUCUCAUGUUCUAAACUUUUAACUAUGAUUAAAUGUAUGUAAACAUCCCAUUAAAGCGGUAAAAAUCUUAAUAAAUGAUCGAGAUUUCUCAUGUUAUAAACUUUUAACUAUGAUUAAGUGUAUGUUUUUUUAAAUAAAAAAAAUAGUAAGGGGUGGACAAAGUCCAAAUAAUUUUUUUUUCCUUUUACUAUCUUCAAGAAUCAAAUUCAGGUGGUCAGUAGUUACAAGCUUCGUGUUAUUACCAACCCUACCACACUCUUAAGGGCGAUUAAGUGUAUAUUUGGUAUGAGUUAUCUAAUGACUAUAAAUAUUUAUUUAAUCUCAUAUACUUUUUUAAAAAAAUUUCUAUUGUCGUUUGAUUUUGUUUUUUAGUAGAAAUUUUGAAGAUAAAGUAAGCUAUUUUGGUUCUACUAGUAAAAACUUAAAUUUUAGACUUUUGGGAGACGAGGUUAAUUUUUUUUUUAAAUGUUAAAUUAUCUAAGAGAUCCUUAACUUAUUUAACAAUCUUAUUCAUUCAUUUCAUAACACAAAUUCAAACAACGUGUAAGUAAUUUUAUAAUUUUAAAUAAAAACUGUCAUUAAUAACUAAACAAUUAAAAAAAUUAGUAAAACUUUACUUGUAAGAUCUCUACAAACAAAAUCUCUAAUUAAAUAAAUUUUAUUCGAAAAACUACACGAAAUAAAGACUAAUUUAAAACGAAUUGGGCUUCGAGCAUGAAAUUGAAACCAAGCAACACGAUGGCUUGGCUGAUGAAUUGGGCCGGGCUGUCAUUAGUUGGACCAAACGGCGUAGAUCCAUACAAUAUUUUGCUUUUUUUUUUUAAAAAAAAAAAUGUGGUCAUAAUAUACGCAUAUUUCCACGUCCACAGCCACAUCCCCACAAAAAAGUAAAAAAUUUGGGGCCGUGAACAGCCUUGAAUAAGUCAAAGGGUUUGGCUAACACGGGUUUCUCCUGACUUGACUGACUAAAAUUUUACAAAAUCUUGGACAUAAUUUAAUGGUUGCAUGCAUAAAUAGUGCUUCAUAAAAGAAAAUUAAAGCAAAACACACAGGAUCGCAUCAUUUACAAUAUUGUAUUUUAUAUAAUAUUUUGUAGAAUAGAUUUGAGAGUAGUUGAGCUGACGGAGAUGUCAGAAUUGAGCGAGCAAAUGAUAAGAGAAACAGAAGCCAAAAAGGCAAUAUUUGAAGGGCUGCCAAUGGAGACUAGUUCCUCCUUAAACUACAAUGAUUUCGAGGACUGCAAAAGGAAAGGCUAUGGCACUGAGGCACACUUUCCAGUCGCCAAUCCUCACCAAGGCGGAGGCGGCACUGACCUUUCUCCCUCUCUUUCUCAUUCUCAUCAGGCAGAAGCCACCGCCUCCGUUGAUGCUGCCAACCGCCAACACCAAGGCAUUCCAUCUAAUUAGUUCUAUAUUUUUUGGUACAUGUAACGAGCUAACGACCGGUUGUAUAUUCAAAGCGCUUAAUAUAAAAUAGGAGGAAAUUAAAAAAAAAAAGUGAAAAUAAAAUGGCUAGAUAAAAAGUUUCUAUUCUAUUAAGAAAGAUUAUAAUCAAUGAGUUAUUAUUUAAUUUAUAGAUACUACUUAUGUGAACAAGUCAUGACUAUUUUGAUUAACAAUUUUAGUGAGAAUCAUUUCUAUUGCAUGCAUAUAUCCAUGCUAAUGUGGUGUGUUAUAUCGAUUAAGAGGCUGUAAAUAUAUUAUGUUAAUGCCAAUAUAGUACUAUAUAUAGUGUGUGUGUGUGUGUGUGUUUUGAAUAUUAUAUUUUUAUGGUGGGAUUCGGGCUGAAUUUAAAUCUAUAUAUAUAUAUAUAUUUAUAUAUUUAAAUCAAUGUGAUUUAUCUAUCGAGCAUCGACUAACGGACCAUUCAUCACAAACCAAUUAACACAGGCUUAUAUAUUUUGGGAUUGCACGCACACCAAUAUUUAUUAAAGCAGGCCCAAGGUCCGAAGGUAAUGGGCCUCAAAAAAUAGGGAGGCCCAAAACAAGCAGGCCAUUAAAAAAAAAAAAAUUGACGGAGUUGGAUUUGGAAAGGAGAAGGAAAAUCGAAACAGAGAGAAAAUGGCGAUAAUGAGAGGCGAGCCACUGGUGGCGAAGCUGGCUGCUUUGGCUAAGUACGUGGUUUUACCGGGAUCUAUGGCUGCUGCUUUAAUCUAUUCGCCUCCCCAAUAUGGAUCCUCCACCAAGUCCCAGAAAUCGCCUAAAUAGGUUCUUUUAUUUAUUUAUUUAUUUAUUUCACCUUUUAUAGAGCUAGGGUUUUGCAUAUUCUGAUUCUUAGCUUUCGGAUUUACUUGAAUUGCUUGAUUUGGAAAAUUGGGGUAUGUUCGAUUUAUUAUCUAUGCACUGGAGUAAAAAUCAUAACAAGUUGAAAAUCUUAGUUUCAGCUCCGAAAGGGUUUUGUAUUUGAUGGUCGUGUAUAUUAUAUUUCAAAUUCCGACCAGUUGAUGGUAACUAAUUCAUUUGGUUGCCGGUUUAGUCCAUGUCAGAGGGUUAUUGGUUUCUUAUCAUUUGGUUAUUCUCGGUUCCAGGUUUUAAUGGUUGUGUAAUCCAAUGGUUUACUAAAUAGAUUGGUUUAGUUAUGAAAUUGGUUUUCUUUAAAUUCCUUUUCCCCGGAGCUUUUACUUACAUUAAGUAGACACCUGAUUUCUCUCCUAAGAUUCACGGUUAUCAACUAGGUUUUUAACUCUGUAAGCAUUCCGAGUCUGUAAUAACAAUACUUGUUAGUAUCUAAUGUUGUGAUUUAGGGUCAACAUAAUGCUUUUUACAGGAAAAGGCUGUUGUUUGGUUGCUUGUGGGCACUCGGAAAUGAUGAUUUACACCUUUCUUACUUACCCUCCUAUGCAAGAAUUGUGAAUUCAAAUUAAUCCGACUAACUCCUAGUAUACUUGAUGCAGGGGCAUUUGGAACGCUUCGCUCUGUAAUUGCAGAUGGUGGGCAAUGUUAUAAUAUCAGCUGCCAAAAAUAAUUGCUGGAUAUGUUUUGCAGGCAUUUGUACUUCAGUGUUUGUUGCAUUCUGAUGAAGAACUUGUGUUGUGAAUCUUCUUUAUGAAUAGACUUUGUUGGAAAUAAACUGUUACUCAAUUGGUUCAAGAAGGUCCUGUUACUCAAUUGUGAAUCUUCUUUAUUAAUUAAAUUGAUCGCACAUCAGUGCUUCAAAUUGGAAACAUGAAUGGCAUUUUUACUUGCUUGUGGAAUGUCUGUUGUUGAUAGCAUGAGCGUGGCAUAUAUCAUAUGAUUGUGGGGCAGAUCAUACAUAAACUUGAGAGCCCUUGUACAUAAAGUUACACAGUCUUUUUUAGGGCAGAUAGAUGUUAGCAUACGUGAUCCUUUCAUUUGGCGUCUUGACUUUAUAGAGUUAGACGGCCGAGAUUAUGUGAAGCCAUUUCAAGAGCAUUGGUGUUAGCGAAUUGAAGGCUACGUCCUGAAGUAGGAGGGCCGGCCUUUGGUGGAUUGAAUGAAGAUCAGAAUUGAGGCAGGAGGACGAUAAUUUAGAGAGUGAUGAUUGAUUGUUAGCAUCGUGGGCUUUCUUCUCCUGUGUUUCCCUAGAAGGCCCACGAAGGGAAAAAAAAGACUUCUUCAUCAGGAGUAACAAUUGUUUGAAAUUUGAAACGAUCAAAUGCAAACUUACAGAAGUGUAGCGAGAAACGUGUAUUGAUGUCUCGGUUUCGCUGCGAGAUUCUCUCACACAAGUCAAGUUCAAGUAUAGGAUUUUACUAUGUUACAUUUAAUGUAACAUACAUAAUUUACAAGAACCACAUAAUUAUGUAGGUUCCACAAUUUGUGUGGUUCUUAUGGGUUGUGUAUGUUACAUUAAAUGUAACAUAGGGACUCCCACAAGUAUAUGGCCCGACAAUGAAGGGAAACAUCUUUUAAUUGUUAGCGAAUUGACACUAGAUUGGAUAUAACUAUGAACCAGCAAUACCGAAUCUAUGCAUAGCUAUGAGCAAUGGCAUGAUGAUUACAGAAUUUGAAACACGUUGGUGUCGAACAUGAUGAUGCUGAUGGUAUUUUCAUCCAUCAUCAUGAAUCAUGAUGAUUAAAUGAACUGAACGUGGGUUUCUUUUCGGAUGCCCAAAUCCAAAUCCAAAAUCCUUGUCUCCCCUAAACAACAGAGCCAAUGUAUCAGAAUUCAGAGUGCAAAGCCAUAGAGUGUGGCCAGACCCCUACAAACCCUGUAGGCUAUAGCCUCUGCACAUUGCAUGCAAAACAGGAAAAAGGGCCCCAAUCCCAUCAUCAAUCAUAAAUAAAAGUGACGUCAAAAUUCAUAAAACAAACAAACAAACAAACAAACAAACAAACAAACAAACACACACCUCAAAUCUAAUUCCCAUCGUUGCUGUCACAUCGAUCAAACGCAUUAGAAAACUUCGUUUUUCAUUUUUCGCGAGAAUAACGCAUUUGAAAAUUAAAAUUGCAUAAAAUGGCAAAUAUUACAUAGAGGGAUACGAGUAUGGAUGGAUGGGCUCUACUUAUAUAAUACAACGAGGGACACCUAAGAUUCGAUCUACAUAUAUAGAUGGUAUACAGGCAAAUAUAUUAUAUAUGAUUAUUAUAGUAAUCUAAUGAAAAAGUAGAUAAGUGCAUAGAAGGAAGAUCUCUUAAGCACCCAAUGGCCAAGAUUUUUCGACGACUUGAAAGCCGGUUCUGUUGAAAGCAAUUGAAGUGGACAUGUCAUUGACAGCAGUAGCGGCAAAGGCAGAGGGUUGUGUGAGUCCAGGAAAGCUACAAUCGAACUCAGAAAACAAGGGAUUUGAAUAUGGGUUUGGUUGAAUUUUGCUGUCCAUCCAGUAGCAAUUGCUCCAGUUAUCAUUACUAUUGUCAUCAGCAGCAGUAGCAGGAGGCAGCUGGAUAUGGGAAAAGUUUGCUUCUGUCUUGCAGUGUUUGGGACUAGCGGCUAAUUCAUUGCAGCAGCUGAAAUCUUGGUGUGAGAGGAGUGCCUUGAAAAGCAUGGAUGGUGAUGUGUUGUUGCCAAUGUUUUCAGUGAUGUUGUUCAUCAAAAUGUGUUUGUUUGUUACUGCGGAGGUCUCAAACAAGGCAUUUACUGGGAAUAGGUGAUGAUGAUGGUUGUCUUGUUGCUGAUUCACGAAAUGGUUCGGAAGAUUUUCCAAGAUUGGGUUGUGGUUUUGAGACUGACAUUCCAACAGUAAUGUUGUCGUUGCUGGCCCUGGGGCAUCAAGCAAAGCAGGCAAGCAAGCACCAGCUGUUGCAGCUGCCUCAAACAAAUAGUUUUGUCCUUGGAGAAGCAAUCCAUUUUUCUUCUCCCCACUCACUACUGCUUUGUUAAAUAUCCUGCAAAUCACCCAUUCCUCCUGCAGUCCCCACGCAUUUCACACGCGUAAGUUGUAACGCUACAACAAGUAAUUAAAUAUACAAAUACCAUACAUGAUAAGUCAACCCAGAAAGUGACAAAAGAUAGCUAGCCAAAAGCUACUAAGCUAGCUGGCUAGCUUGAUUGGCACGGCACACGUCUGACGUGUUGGGAAGAGUUGAGAGUUUAGGACUUAUGUAAGAGGGUCCUAAUGAAUAGUAAGUAAGUACCUUACACGUGUGGCGGUAUGAGAAGUCACCGUCGAGGCGGUAUUCAUGCAUGACCCAUUUGGUCUUUUCGCCACGAGGAGCUCUGCCUUUGUAAAAAACAAGGGUUUUUUUCAUGCCAAGUAAGGCUCCACUUGAGCCACUGCACACUUCUCUAUCUUUGCCAGUAGCUUUCCAGUAACCAGCUCCUGUUGCUCUGUUUGUUCUUAAUCCGGUAGGAUACUUUCUGUCUCUUAAGCUGAAGAAGUACCACUCUUUCUCCCCCAUUUUUGCUACAUCUACACAAAUUAAAACGUGCAAAUGUUAUUAACACAUUAAUUCAUUAUUAAUUAACUAGCUUUGUCAGGAUUAACAGGUUAUAGAAAGGGGUAUGUGUGUGUUUCACCCGGACAUAUAUAACGGACGACUUGUGAGUGAGAGAGAAACAUUAAGUAUUUACCAGGAAGCUCCCAAGGUUCACAUCUGUUGAGGUCAACUUCAGCGAUUUCAACACCACAGAAGGUGCCAUUAAAGACCUUUGAGGCUAAAUAAAAUGUGAUGAGCUCUUCAUCAGUUGGGUGAAAUCUAAACCCUGGUGGCAACCCUUGCUCAUUCACUUCAUCUCCAUUCAAUUCACUCAAAACGUCUUCCAUAGCCAACAUGAUGGUUUUGAUGAUUGAUUGAUGAUAUGUAUUCUAAAAGAAAAAGUAGGUUUUUGGGGGGGGGGGGGGGUUGAGAGAGAGAGGGAGAGAUUUGUUAUAUAUUUAGGAUGUAACAAAACUUAGAAGAAGAGGGUUUGUAAUAUAUAUAGGGAGAAGCGCUGAAACCAAAGGAGAAGAACAGCUAGCAGUAGCUAUUUUAAUGAAUUAUGAACGGGAGGCUUUGAGAGAGAGAGAGAUUUUGGGUUCAAAAUAUGCUAUGUGGAGAGCGGUGAGGGACCUAGAAUAAGCCCACCUGACAGCUGAAAGGCUUCUUCCCAAAACAGGCAAAAGAAAAUUAUAAAAACGAGAGAGAGAGAGAGAGAGAGAGAGAGCUAAUUAUAAAUGCAAACAAGUUGGUUGUAGAGAUUUAUGCGUGCGUGUGUGAGCAUGUUUUUAGAGACUAGAGACUGGAGAGAUGAGUCAGGUUUUUUUCAGAUGGAUAACACGAGAGGGCUAUUGUAGCCCUUUGCCAGCAGCUCUGAUUCUCUCAACAGUGAGAUCAUCAUCCCACCUAAUUCUUCUUUUUUCUGUGUAUCAAAUUUUUUAAUGGUGAAUGCAGGAUUUAAUUGUACAACAAGAUUUCCACAUCCCCACAACUCAUCUCCCUUUUUUGUUUUUCUUUCUUGCAAAAUACCCCCCGUUUUAUAUAUCACAAUUAUUUAAUCGAGCUGGAUGUAUUUUCGGUGUUAUAACUCUGAUUUAUUGUUAAUUUGCACAUCAUCCAUUGAUUAAUUGAGGUACCUGCUUUUUUUUUUCUUUUUUUUCUCUCUCUCUCUCUCUCUCUCUCUCUCUCUCUCUAUGUGAUCAAUAGUGAGAUCGAAAUGGUUUGUUGGAUUGUCUUUUGUACUGAUGCAUGUGUAAAUCGGUAGCUAUUGGCAGACAUGAAUAUUCUUGCUUGUUUAAACACAAAUUACCAUAUAUCUUCGCUAGCGUCAUAAUUCUCUUUCAUCUGAGUUUUUAUCUAAACAAAUGCAUGCAUAUUAUUGAAUUUUUUAAAAACAAGAUUAGAUAAAAAUAUGGAUAAAAAUUUAAAGUUGUGCUGAUAUUUUGCUGAUCACUUAUUUAAGUAAAAGAAACAAAAAAAAAAUUAAAAUUUAAAAUAAUUUUGACCAUUAAUUAAAUACGUAAUAUUAAUUCAAUAUUUAAUAAAAACUCAUCUCAACCCUAAAUUUUAAUAAUGUUAUGAGUAUAUUCUAAUUUAUUAAGGUUUUUUUUUUUACCCCUCACCUUCUAAAUUUACAAUUUCAGGAACUGUUUCGUAGUAUAUAUCAUGUCUUUGGCAAAAGUCAUCUGUCAACCACUCAAGCCUUAGCUUUUACUACGGACUUUAUUCAGUGAAGGCAUUAAUUACAUAACAGAGGCAAAUUUGCAAAAAGGAGCCAUUCUAGUUUCGAAAUCUCGGAGUCAGCUUUCUUGCUCGUGUCUGCCUUCGUUUUCCGGGAAAAUAAAUAAAUAAAUAAAUAAUUUAUUUGACGGAUUAUGUUGGUGAUUUCGAAAAUAAUAAUAACAAUAAUAAGAAAAAUAUUAACUGAACUAAAUCUUAACAAAAAAUGUGCCAAAAACACAUUUAAAAUACCGUCGUUUUAGGUGUGUUUAUAAAGAAAAUUCCUCAUCGAAUUAGUCAGAUGACAUACAAGAGCAUAAUCGUAACAACUAACAAAUUAAGUUCUUUUGUUAAAUUGGUCGGUAUUCCAUCAUUAAACCUAGUACACUAACUCACACACGAGCUAUAUAACUAAUUGAGUACGUAUGUAUGUGUAUGUGUGUGUGUGUGUGUAUAUAUAUAUAUAUAUACAACUAUAGCUAGUGAGGAAAUAAAAUUAAUCCUUUUUCAUAUACAUAGGCUUUUUUGGUAUGAAAUGAAACAAUUUAGAUAAGCUCAUUGCUACGACCUAGAAUCUGAUUAAUUUAGCAUAGGUUUCAUGAAUAACCAACAAUUGAUCUGAUAGAUUGAUAAGUAGCGUAUACUUGGUCCAUCAAUUGAUAUUGGUGAUUUCUUGGUCAUGAUCUGUUAUAGCUAAAGUUUUAUAAAAGAGCAUUUUCAUGGAGUAGAAACCUCCAAGGGAAUGUACGGUUUUCAUAAGGCUGGUCUUAGUAUUGGAUUGAGUGGAUUUGAUGGACAAAAAAUUUACCAAGCGAUAUUUUGAAUUCAAAGUUUUAAAUAAAAGGAAGCUCACAAUUAAUAAAUACUUAUAAACUCUCAUGUGAUAGUUAUAAUCUUCAUUUUACCAAAAACUAACUAUGACUUUGAAGCUACAAAAUCCAUUACACUAGAUGGAGCUUCAAUGGAUAUAUAAUUUGCAAAUGCAUGCAAAUUUUUGACUUGGACAAAACUCAAAUGAUAAAAGCUUAUUAUUAACUUAGGACGACGAGCGUGUUUCGAAAUUUUCUUGAGCAGAUACAGACAAAGAUAGAGAAUUGGGUCCCCGUCGUUAAAUAAUUUGGGGUUGCAAUAAAUGGGGCAGCAGCAGCUUUCAAAUGUCGGCGUUGCACGUGUUGGUAUUGAUCAGCUAGUUAAUAAAAGGGUCUCCCUCAUCACUGCACUGCUGCCAAUAUUUACUAUGAAAAUAAUUUUAACUAAGCGUCUUGGAUCUUUAGAAACUCUUUCAAGUAAAAGAUAACACGACAGCCCUAAGUCUAUGAUCUAUCUAAUGCACGUACUGCGUAUGUAUGUAUGUAUGUAUGUAUGUAUUAUUACUAUUAUUAUUUACUCGCUCUCAGCUAUUAGGCUAUUGCCAUUGGGGUUGCAUAAGCCUACUACUGGUUGCUUGGAUUGUUAAUUAGCCCUAGCCCUUCCCCUGACCCAGCCCCUUAUAGCCCUGCAGUUUCUUUCUUUAUAUUUCCUUUUAAUUUAUAUGUUUUUCUAAAGAGAUUCUCUAAUUCUGAUCACACGUGAUGUGGAGUCCCUGAUCUUGUUCUUUUUUAAAAGAAAAUCUCUGAUAACAUUAAAUUCAUCCAACUGUAAUAAAACUGUUAUUGGGGUUGAUUGAAUCAAUGGCCGCUUGAAAGCCAGUAGCUUUCAUUCUGAUUUUCUGACAAAAAUGAACAACUCAUAAUCAUACGCAAUAGAUUACCUUCUCUCGUUAUCCCAAAAACAAACUCACCAAUCAUCGCCCUCCAUUCUUAAUUUCUAAUUGCAUGCACGUCAUCAGCCAAUUAGUAAAAUAAUUUUUUUCCUUUUUUCUUUUUUAUUUUGCAUAUAUAUAUGCAUGCAGGCUCCCGCAAGCAAAUUUAUAUAUAUAUAUAUAUAUUUGAAUUUCAAAUGCAAAGGUAUCUACUUUACAAAAUACCUACCGAGUAAAUCCAAUGCCAUUUUGCAGCAAUAUUACGUCUCCUUUUUGUUUGAAAGAAAGGUGUUAUAUAUACAUAUACGGGCUUAACAAAUUCCAUUCACUACUACAUAUAUAUUCUCAAUAUAAUUAUGCAAUACCUAAUAAAUGGUAAAUUGCAGCUGUGAAUUUCAGUUAAUCCAAGAACAGAACGUGGUAAUAUAAUUAAGGCAUCCUAAUGUAAAUAAUAUCGUCUACGAAUUUAUUACUUACUAUCAUAUUAUAAGUGACAAGUUUAAAGGGUUUAUUGUAAUUGAACAGGAAAUGGGAAACUUAUAUAUGUAUUCUUCCCCCAAAAAAAAAGGCAAAUAGGGUAAUGUGAAUGAACAGAUGAACGGUGAAAAAGUAGAAGAAAGUGAGAAAAUUAGGUGCAUGGGAGUGGGAGGGAUCACAUCAGACUGAGACUCAGAACAAUAAUAAAUAGAGAAGUCAGGGAAAGGACCUGCCACCACCGCCCCCCACUGCCCUAUGAGACUGAGACUGAGACUGAGAGACAUCGCCAACAAGCAAACUCGUCAGUUACCCGUUUUAUUAUUAUUAUUAUUUUUAUUCUGUUUCAUCAAUUCACAUUUUAUUUCUUUCCAUUCAUUUAUUAAAAUAGACGAAUUCAAGAAGAUUAUUCAGCGCAUUAUUAUUAUUAUUAUUAUUAUUAUUAUUAUUAUUAUUAUUAUUAAAUGAAAUCCAUUAUUAUUCGAUGAAAUUUCAAUCGCAGACCUAUGCUUUUACUGUUUCUUCUUCUGUUGUUGACUAAAGCCCCCACUUUUGUUCUGAAUCCGUAAAUUGACAUUUAAUAUUUGGAAUUUGUCACAGCUCAACAUACUUACUACUCAUAUGAUAGUCCAGAGGGCCCCCAGGGUUGGACCUAUUUGAUGAAUAUAGAACAAUAAAUUCUUUUAGUGACAAUUACUACCUAUAAUUUAAGAAUAUUUAUUUUAUAUCAUCAGGAAUGAGUAUCAGAAUAAUAAGUACUAACCACGUACUCUAGAUCCGCACAAUAAUAAUAUAGUUCGAACUAAAAAUAUGUACAUGGCGAGACUGAAAUCUAUUAUUACAUUUUACAACGGGAGAAAAUAUCACUGAUAAGUAACAUCCAUGUACUAUAUAUGCAUUAAUAUCAAACUCAAGUGGCUAAUUGUGAGAAAUGAUUAUUUAAAUUUCUGUAUUUGUCUUAGGUUAAAGUUGAUGAUAUUAAUACAUAUCAUUCGAACAAACACAUGCAAAAGUUUAAAAAUUAAUUGACCUCGAGGAGGCACAGAAUUAAAUUAAUUCUGAUAUGCAAGGACAGAAAAACUUUGUAGUACGUAAUUGUAUUGUGUGUGUGUGUAUGCUAAAGAUAAAAUUUUGAGAGAAAUUUUAAAAGAGACCAAUCACUAAUGACCAAUUUAUGAUUUACGAAGAAAUUUUAAAAUAUAUUAAAAGUAUCAGGUCAAUCAUGUAAUAAAUAAAUAAUGUUGUAGUAUAUGUAUAUUCAUUUUAAAAAAUUAUUGUGUAAGUAAUAAUUAUAUUAAAUUUAAUUAUACAUAUCAUACUAACGUAAAUUAAAUCAAUUAAUUAUAAUAAAUUAAAAAUAUUAUAUGAUUUCUCAUUACGUGUGGGCGCGCGCGCGUAACAUUUAAUAAUACGUGAUGGUGAUGGUGAUGGCGAUGGCGAUGAGAUGAGAUGAUAUCCUAAUGCCGUUUCGCUACUUAAUAAUUUAUUAGCCACGCCGAUCACUCAGCUGCGAAUUAAAUAACAAUUAAUACAGAUAUAUAACUGAUAACACACACUCCGUUCGCCGGAUGCUGCUGGGUAGCGGCCUCCUUUUUCAUGUCAUUAUUGGUGGCAACUUUAUGCCAUUGUGUGCUCUUGAAUUUGCAGCCAACUUGGAUCCAGGUGCGACUGGGACUCAUCUCUUUAAAUGAUCAAAAUCACUAUUUAUCUCUCAGUCAGAAUUCAUAUUACAUCAGACCUACUACUACUUUAUCCUCAUUACCUUAUAUAUGUACACACACUCUAACGAUAACAUUUUUAUUUUAAUAAAGGGAAGAUAUUGAUCAUAAAUAAAAAAUAUAAAGUUUAAUAUAAAUAAAAAAAUAAAAUCCCUAAUAUAUUGAAAUAUAUAUUUUUUAAUAUAUUUAGUAGUGUAUUCACUUUAACAAAAUAAAAAUGUCCUCAUUAGAUAAUGAACAUAUAUAUAUAUAUGUAAUUCUCAAAUGAGAACAUGGUAAUUUUUAAUGAGUCUCAAUGAAUAACCUAAACAAUUUUAGAUGCGGGCAGGCUCUGGCACUUGUUUUUUUUUUUUUAUCGUAUAAGAUUCUUUUGAUUUUUUUUCCUAAAUUACAAUUUUAUUUCUUUUUAAAUUGUCAAAUGGGAAGACUAAUUUUCUCUCUCAUACUAGAAUUGUGGUUUUACAUGAUAAGUAAUGGGGUGCCAAUAGCACCACUCUUUUUUCAAAUUUAGAAUCUUAUUCUAGCUAGCUUAUAGCACAUGCAAUUUGCGAGGCUCAAUUUGCGAAGAAAUCAAGAAAGCAGCUACCAGUUUCCACAAUAAAUUGUUAGGGAAUUCUAAUCCGACCUAAAAUCUUUCAAGUAAAAAAUAUCAAGCCAAUAAUAAAUAAAAAAUAUAUGGAGAAUAAAACUAAUCUCACAACACAAGAACUUAUGUGGAAAACUCAUAUACUAGAAAAAAAACCACGGUUACCAAGUACAAUGAGAGAAAAAUCUAUUAUGUGAAAAAUUAUUAUAAUUACCCUAAUAGUUUUUUCACACCCAAACCUCAAUAACACCUAAUCUCUUAAUAUACCUACCGUUUCCCCCACACUUGAAGCUCUCUACUUGUAGAGAACUGAUUGAUGUAUUAUACAAAUAAGUGAACUCAGCCUUUUAUACAUAGUGAUUAUUUCUUGUAAGAGACGUGUUUUUUUUUUCUUAUAUUAGUUGUACUCCUCAUUGAAUAAGUCAAGAUCAAAAGGGAAAAUUACUUAUUCCUUAAAUAGGAAUUCUACUAAAGAAGAAAAUAUCCUAGGAAAUAAGGAAAUCCUUAUUGAAAACAAUCUACCAUGUAUCUUCACAACCAUAUCGUCUCCACCUUCUUUACUUUACCAAAACUACACUCACAUAAGGCUUAUGAGAAUCUCUCCACCAUGGGUAAAUUCUUAUCCUCUACCCUACAUAAAUGUCAAACCAUACCUUAUGUACAAAUCCUUUGGACCCCUAAUAGCAACACAUCCUCUUCCAUGGCACGUAAAAAAAGGUAAACAAGUCUCUCGUGGAGAAAAAAAACACACCACCAGCCAACAUAAUCAAUAUCUCUAUCUUCUGAUUUGGAGCUAUUUGCUGAACUUAUUCUAUUCCAACAAUCUCCUUAAAGGUGCCUUGAUUGUCUACACACUUCAGGAGCAUCCAUUAGUGGGAAUAUGGUUUACAUUGCCCUUGUUUUCCUUGCAUAACAAGAUAAAAUCAAUAUAUCAUGGACUUGAAUUUGCCACAAGCCAAAAUUAAUUCUUCCAUCAAACUUUUCUAUUUCUACCUUUAUAGGUUUUGAAAAAUCUCAUUGCUAAUAUAUUUGCUCUGCUGCGACCUUAGCUUUGAUACCACUUGUUAGGAAGUUUUAAUCUCACGCAAGAUCUUGCAAGCAAAAAAUAUAAUCUAAAUAAUAAUAAGAAAAUAGAUAAAGAAUAAAAUUAAUCACACAACACAAGAAUUUACAUGGAAAACUCUUAUACUAGGGAAAGACGACAGCCGCCAAGGACGACAAGACAUAAAUCCACUAUACAGAAAAUUAUUACAAUUACUGUAGUAUUUUGCUCACACUUAAAACCCCAAUAACACUCGAUAUCUUAAUAGACAUGAUGUUUCUCUCACAUUAGAAAAUGUCUACCUGCAGAGAGCUGAUUGCUAUGUUAUACUGAUAAGUGAACUGGAUCUCUUUAUAUAUAGUGAUUAUUUAUUGUAAAAGAAGUAUUUUUUUCUUAUACUAGUUGUACUCCUCAUUGAAUAAGUCAACUCCAAAGGGAAAAUUACUUCUUCCUUAAAUAUGAAUCCCACUAAAGAAAAAAAAUAUCCUAAGAAAUCCUUAUUAAAAAAUAAAACAUAUUUCCUAACGUAAAUCAUAGUCAUACUAAAGCGAUUUCAUUUUUAACCGAAUGUUAAUCAGAAUUAUAUCAAAGCCAUAAUAAUAAUUGGGGAUGGGGGAUCCCCAUGCCAUACAAUUACAAUUUAUAUUCUGAAUUUCAUAUAGUCAUAUUAUGUUAAAAUUAUAAAACCUCAUAUUUCAUGUUCCAUUAUGAUUAUAAAUACAAGUGCCUAAUUUGUGAGUUUAAGAUACACUUUAAAUUGGAACAAGCAUACAUAAAGUUUGUAUUGUGACAUAGGAAUGUUUUCAAAUUUAGUCCAAGAGACGAACACAAUCCAAGAUCAUGACUCCACUUGUUCGAUUAACUGUAUUUUUUAGAGGUAACUAAAUUAUGUAUUUUAUAUUGAUAGAAAGAUAAACGUUUCUAACUUUUUAAGAAUUUUACGGAAUUAAAUUCAAAUUUCUCUUCAUAAAGAUAUUCAAGAUUUUGUCAACAAAGUCAUACUUAAUUGUCAAGAUUUCUGCACAAGUUUACAGGAAUCAACUUUAACCUCAUGGUGUUCGAUUUAAUGAACUUCAUGAUCCCCAAAAAUCCUCAUAACUAAUAUUACCUUUUUGUCCGCUCUUUUUGGAGAAAAAGUUUGUGCACAAAUCAUAAUUUACAAUACUGGAGGGACUAAGAUCCUCUCCUUGUCUCUCCUUAUACUUAUAAUCUAGUGAAAAAAGUUGGCUUGAUUAUUAAAAAAAAAGUGAAAGUACAAAUACAAAACUCAAUUUUGACCACUCAUUAAACAAAGGGAGGUAAUGAGAGAAAAAAAGACAAUGUAAGGAUCUUUAUCUUGUGGAAUUAUAAUUUGAUAUGACAAUGCUAUAGAUUAAUUAUCAACAAUAUAAUUUGUUGAGAUAUUUAGUCCAUCAUAUUCCUGCUAACACGAUCUAACUUUAAUAAUCCUUUUUAUUAGGUUUAAGAUGUGCAGUUUCAUCUCAAAAACUAAUCCAUUUAGUAAUUAAACUGAUAGAUCUUAUUUGUAAGCACUAUUUCUUUUAUUCGUCAACUCAACCAGUUAAUACGUUUAUGCCAAAAAAUCGAAUGAGUAGGUAAGUUCCCACCAACUAAAACAAAUAAUAUUUUAUGUCAAUUAUCCACCAUAUUAUCAAGGCACAUGAACAUAUGCUUCGAUUGAAAGCCAUGUAAAGAACCAAUCUUUAAGACUCGGUUUUGAAAGACAAUUAUAUCCAACAACUUUACUUGAAAGCAAUAUUUCAAUUACAUAAAACUAUAUAACCCCAUUUUAUCUUCGCCUUCGGCUUCAUCCCUCAAAAAAAAAAAAAAUGGCUCUUUGUUCACAGUUUAAGACAAUUUUAAUCGCAUUUUGUAUUUCUUUGUUUAUUCGUUCAUCUUUUGCAAGAGAUUUCUCCAUCGUGGGCUACUCUCCUGAGGACUUGACUUCAAAUGACAAGCUCAUCGAUCUCUUUGAGUCAUGGAUGUCCAAAUUCGAAAAGGUUUAUGAGAGCCUUGAGGAGAAGUUGGAGAGAUUUGAGAUUUUUAAGGAUAAUUUGAAGCACAUUGAUGAGACCAAUAAGAAGAUAAAAAAUUAUUGGCUUGGUCUGAAUGAAUUUGCUGAUUUGAGGCACGAAGAGUUCAAAGAGAUGUUUUUAGGAUUGAAGCCUGAUUUGGCUAGAAGAAAAGAUCGAUUCCAUGAAGAGUUUAGUUAUAAAGAUGUUGUUGAUUUGCCUAAAUCUGUGGAUUGGAGAAAGAAAGGUGCAGUUACUCAUGUCAAGAACCAAGGUUCAUGUGGUAAGCAUUUAAAUAUAGCUAGCUUGAUUACACAAGUAAUUUAGUAGUAUGUUAAAUUUAAUUAGCGUAUAUUUGUAACUUUUCUAGUUAAAGUUGAAAGCAUAAGCGUACAUGAAAAAUGAGUUAAAGCAAGUGCUUGUUUGGAAAAGAGAAUCAGCAUAGAUUAAUUAAUUUAUUUAACAUCAUAUUCAUAUUUUGGAACCACCCAUCUAUGUUACACUUAAUAGAUAGUGAUUCCCUUUCACUUUCACAAUAAUAAUGGAUUGAAUGCAGUAGCACGUUGAUUUCAAGCAUAUAUACCCUCAAUGAGGGGUGUGUGUUUGUAUAUAGCAAGAGAUUAUCAAUAAUAUAUAUAGGGUUGAUUUUUUUUUAUUUUGUUCGGUAUGUGCAGGUAGCUGCUGGGCAUUUUCAACAGUGGCUGCAGUUGAGGGAAUAAACCAAAUUGUUACAGGAAAUUUGGCUUCAUUGUCUGAGCAAGAACUAAUCGACUGUGACAACACAUAUAACAGUGGUUGCAAUGGGGGCCUAAUGGAUUAUGCAUUUCAGUACAUUGUCUCAACUGGUGGGCUUCACAAAGAAGAAGACUAUCCUUACAUUAUGGAGGAAGGCACUUGUGAGAUGACUAAGGUAAUUAAUCUCCAAAUUUAACACUUGACCCAACAUCAACAAUUUCAUUAGUUAAUUACCAAAGUUUAAAAAAGAAAUAACGACUUUUUAAAAAAAAAAUUAGUUACAAAAGAUUAUCCAAUCCAUACAUGCAUCACGGAACGAUUUUUUAAUUUUCUUUUACAGGGAGAAUCAGAGGUUGUAACCAUCAAUGGGUACCAUGAUGUUCCCCAAAAUAGCGAAGACAGCCUCUUGAAGGCACUUGCAAAUCAGCCUCUCAGUGUUGCCAUUGAAGCUUCUGGCCGAGAUUUCCAAUUUUAUAGUGGGGUGAGUCCCCGCAUUGUUAUAAUCGUUUUUUGGAGGUGGGCUGAGCCCCGCAUAUAUAAGGCGUUGCUCAUUGGUCAAGCAUUUAUUGAUUUGUACUGAUUAUAUAUAUAUAUAUAUAUAUAUAUAUAUAGACACACACACAGAGUUAUUGAUCGUAGUCCGAUGUUUAAUUGUAGGGUGUUUAUGAUGGGCACUGUGGAACUCAGUUGGACCAUGGAGUGGCAGCCGUUGGAUAUGGAUCUACCAGAGGCUUGGAUUACAUAAUUGUGAAGAAUUCAUGGGGACCAAAAUGGGGGGAAAAAGGCUACAUAAGAAUGAAGAGGAACACUGGAAAACCUGAAGGCCUCUGUGGAAUCAACAAAAUGGCUUCUUAUCCCAUUAAAAAGAAGUGAUGAGCCUCAUGCCUCCAUUUCACUUUCAUCAAAACACUAUAUAACAUUUGCUAGUGUGUCAAUAUUAUUAAUUAAUUUCUAAUAUUGUCAUACAGGCUAUAUAUAUAUAUAUAUAUAAACCAUUAACAAUGUAAUGUUUAUUUUGAUAUAUAUAUAUAUUUAUGUUACAACAUGCCUUGUCACUUCUAGUAUACACAAGGUUUUCAAGCUUAAUUAUGUUCUACAAAUUAAAAUGCCUUAAUCACAGAAUUCGUAAAUCGCAAACCACAUUUUGAUACAAUUUACAUUAACACAGACGGAGAGUGAUAUUCUCUAUGGAGCAUCAGCAUUAACAGCAACUUCAUUAUUGUUGCGAGGUGAAUUUGUUCGCAAGCUUGAUUUCGUGAGACAUCUAAGAAAACACAGCGCAUCGGAAUCAUCUUCUUUCUCAUUCUCCUCCAGUGAUCUCCCCAUUGUUUCACGGGUGAAAAAAUAAGUAAUGGCGAAUCCCAUAAAACAAACACCACCCAAGAUCAACAAUGCUAUGGUCACUCCAGUCGCAUUAACUGCCUUAUCUUUUUUGUUAUCUUCUUGUGAAGCCCACAAGAAGGCUACUGUCCCAAUUAUGGCACCAACUUUUCCAAAAGCCCCGAAAUCCCAUGACAUGUUGAUCUAAAUCUUGCAGGAAAUAGCUCAGCGGGCACAAUGAAAGUUGUUGUAUUGGGACCAAAGUUUGCAAAGAAAAAUGUUAGGGCAUAGAGGAACAUGAAUCCGAAAUUGGUGUGCUUGCUCCAUUUAUAGCUAUAAGGUACCCCAAGGGCUAAGUAAAUUACCCCCAUGAAGAAAAACCCUAGGGCUUGGAUUGCGACUCUGCCUAUACGAUCAAUGAAAAAGACGGUGACAAAGUAACCUGGAAUAGUGGAACAAAUGGCGAAAAUGGCUUGGUGUCUUGCAACUUUGAAGGCUUCUUCAAAUGCAUUCAUGGUCUGAUCAUGACCGUUGCCAUCAAUGUUGCCAUCAAUGUUGCCAUCAAUAUACUGAUGGUAGAUUUUAGAUUGGAAGAGGUUGCUACUGUAGAAGACUAUGUCGACGAGCAGCCACGAGGUGGCGCAGGCGAACAGGUCGCGGCCGUGUCGGCGUAGGAAUCGCUUGGAGAUUAAGGGGUACUGGGGUGGACUUGGUGGCAAUGGAUACUCCUCUGCAAUUUGGCUUAUCGAUACGUCUAGUACUUUCUCCAUGUCUUUUGCGGCUUGCAUUACAUUUUGCUCCACCAAAGCCGUGUAUCUUAAAGAAAUUAAAAAUAAUUCAAUAAUAAGCUAUAUAUACAUAUAAUACAGUAAAAAUCACUCCCCAAUAUAUAUAUAUAUAUAUAUAUAUGCGCGCGCGCACGUACACGUACAAAUUAAAUGGGUCAAAACACAGGUAGGUAGGGGUACAGAGAUAGCGUACCUUGCAGAUUCAGGCAUCGUCAUACGCCAAUAAUAGGUGAAAGCAGCCGGAAUAGAACCCAGCAUGAGAAUCAACCUCCAGGCAAUAUCAGCUUGAUGCUGCGUCUUGUUGACAUCGUCGUCCCGAGUUGUGGUUGCCUCAAAGAUUUUGCAAACCGCCAUGGUGACCGUAGAGCUGGCCAAGAUACCAAAGCCCUGCAUAGAAAAAACCGCCGCAAUGAAGGCGCCACGCGUCAUCUUGUUAGCGAACUCGGACAUGAUGGUAGCAGAUAAGGGAUAGUCCCCGCCGAUGCCAACUCCAAGCAAGAACCUGAAGAAGCCUAGACUCCCGAGGACGCAUUGUUUAGUGGUGCAAAUGGAGAAGCCACAUGCAAGGGAGCUAAGCACCAUCAACAUCAAUGCUAAUCCGUACACGCGCCGACGUCCGAUGCGGUCACCUAGUCUACCGAAGACCAGCUGCCCUAUCACUGUGCCCAGUAAAGCCAGGGGUAACAUCGUCGAUACGACCGCCUUUGGGAUUUGGAAUCCCUUCUCUCCAUCUCGAUUGGCGCCAUCGCUGUAGUAGAUUCUUCCGAGGAGCUUCAUGAUGGGCGGGAUACAGAAGAGGUCAUAGGCAUCGGUAAAGAGCCCCAUCCCGGCUAUUAUUAUGGCUUUGAAGUGAUAGUACUGGGUCUUUGCUGAGUCUAGCGCUGAGAGCACUUUCAACGCCAUUCUUAUUUAUUUAUUUCUUGAUCUCUUUAUUCUGCUUGCUGUUGAUCAUCAGCGAGCUGGAUAUUUAUAUAGCUCAUGAACAAUUAAUUCAAGAUCUCUCUCUUGCUCUUGCUUUUGAUCUUUUUAUUUAGAAAUUAAUUAUUAUUAUUAUAAUAAACUUAAUAUUAGCAAGAAAGCCCCCAGUACCAUGGGGUUUCGUUGAUGUGAUCGAAGGUUGACUUGUGAAGUUAGGCCCUGUUUGUCUGAUUAGAUAUAUAAUCUAGAUCACGAGCUCAUGUACGUACCAAACGGAGCCUUAUCCAGCCGGGGCUGUGAUUCCAAGAAGAUGCGGAUAAUUUGAUUAAUUUCAUCGGCCAUUUUAGCUUUAAAAUAUUGACUUGGGUUUUGUUCAAAGUCUUUUCUCUGCUUCCAUUUGCUGCUGAGUGUUUGAAGAUAUUGGAAUUUAAGACUACGAUCAAUGUUUGGUGGUUGUGACUUGUGGUGUUGUUUAUGAAUAAUAAAAUAUCUUACGACGGCUUUUGUUUCUGGUUCCGAGUUAAUUUCGUCCUCUUAUCUUUUAUAUUAUUACGAUUGUGUUGAAAAAAAAAUAAUAUUAAUAUUAAUAAUAACAACAACAACGUUCCUUCCUUUGAAUUGUUUACUAUUAAUAUUUUUUGGGCCAGCAUUAGUUUUCAUUUUUGCUUUUUUUUUUUUUCCAACUGUUUUUGUUUGGAAAAUUUGGUCUUGUCGAUGCCGAGGAGGAAGAAAAUGAUACAUUAGCUAGAAUAGAAAAGUCUAAUUGUCUUGUGGAAAUUAAUACUCGCAAGUAUUAAUUACAAUCAAACAUUUAUGGCGUAGGGUAUGUGGAGUGUGGACCAUCCUUCGAUUGGACUCAAUGUGUUGCUUGAGAGAAAAAAGAAAAAAAAAAACGAAUUGGAAAAUUUUCGACGGUCAAUAAACCUCAUCGCUGGAUACGAAGCAACCCCGAAGGAAAUAAAUUCCAGUCUUUUGAAUUCUCACGUAUUUUUUUCCCACGGAAUCUGAAACUUGUGUCUUUGACUCUCUCUGUGUGAGACUUUAUAGUUUAUUUCUAUAAAAAAAAAAAAAAAAGUAAAUUCGGUCAUGAGGUAGUAGUUUUUGCUUUGGCUUAAUGCCCCGCCACCAAAGUUUUCUCCAAGUCACAGAUGCACCAAAAUGAUGUACGUGACACAAGCUCACAUGACAUUGGACUUGUAUCAAAACAGUUUUUAUUAAUAAAAAGAAGAAUAAUGCCAGAAAUUCUAACAAUUAAAUCUUAACUUAAAUUCUAAUUAAAAUGAUAUUCAUUUUUUUUUUUGAGAAGAAAAUAAUAUUCAUUUAAUAGAUGAUAGAAUAUAAUUUUAUUCAUAUUGAUUAUAUAAAAUUUAUUAUCUAAUAAAUGAAUAUCACAUAAUAAUUAAAUUUAAUUGUUGAAAUCUAAAUAAUUAUUGAUUUUUUUAAAAAAGAAAAGACACACAUCAUUCAUGAUUCAAGCAUUAUAUUAAAGAACACACACACACACACACACACACACACACACACACACACACACACACACAUAUAUAUAUAUAUAUAUAUAUUAUUAGUAAAUUUUCCAAAUAUUAUCUCAGUACUUCCAUCUCAGUUCCCAGUUAUUGUAACGUCACCAAUAUUCCCUUCCCACCAUCAAAUGAAUAAAUACCACCUCCCUCACCUAAUCAAGAUAAGAAAUUCAAUGGUAAAAGGAAAUUUUGCUAUUUUAAAAAUUAUUUUAGCUUGACCAAAGAACAGCAAAAUCUAUUUACAUUAAACCCAAGAUGAACUUCCAAUAUUUUACAGUUUAAACUGCUCUCUGUAGCACUAUUCCAUAACUCCACAGAACAUAAGCUUUUCUCAAAUUUCAAGGUACAGAAUGUUGAUGCGGCUAUCAACUGAGGUACUUGCCAGCCUUUCUGUGUUUCAUAACCAUCCCCUCCAGAAUUCCAUCCUGGCGGAAUUGGGGGUGGAAUAAUCUGGGAUCAACGGGUCCUGGUAGACUAAAUGAAACAGUGAAUUCUCCCUGUGGACAAAGUUGCUGCUGCAACAUCUUGUAUACUUUUGAUGAGUUUUUUGCAACAUCUCCUUCAGUCAUAACUCCUUGUAUUUGGACAUUUCCAUUGCGACGGAUAAUGCAUUUCAGGUUACCUGUAAAGACAAGCAUUAUCUACCAGGUCAUCUCCUACUUAUUACUUUUUUAUUUUUUUUAUCGGAUAGAUUAUUCACUACAUGAAGCACUGCAAAAUGCUCUCCUUUAACUUUAAAACGAAAGACCGAAAGGACAUUGCGUACACCUCGUCCACAUGCAUACUGCAUCAUCUCACAUGCCAAUGAUAUUAUUAAAUAAAUUUUGAUCCUUACUUGUAUCCUUUCGGGCGCCAGGCAGUGAAACUCGGAAAAGAUAGGCCUUAUCACUCACACCGAUGUCAUAAAGACCAAGGGGUGGCGCGCCACAACCUUCCUUUGCUGAUCCUUCUACAACAACAAGUGGCUUCAUUCGUGGAUGGUCAGCAUACUUCAACACGUCCAUUAUUCCAAUUUUUGCUUCCCAGCCUACAUAAUUACCAUGAGCAAGCAAACAGUAUGAGUUUGCGUACAAAAGAGUGUAUAAUGCACUGUCUACUGAUCAUCGAAACGUGCUUCUAGCAAGCAACAGUUCUCAUAUCUUAAAUAGCUUUCCUAAGUCAUUAAAGAAAAUUGAAAAAAAUAACAGAGAGAGGGCAAAUAUCGUUUUCCUAAUUAGCCACUGGAUCCUUCUUAAAGCUGGUUCAUUGACAUGCUAUUUAAAUUGUGGAGAUGCUCAUAGAACAUAGAAACAUUAUCACUUACAAUCUCACAUUAUCCGCAAAGGAUAAUUCUGAAAAAGGAAAGAAGAAAAAGGUACAACACACAAUUGAAUUGAACUCAAUAUGGUCACAAAUACAGCGCAACCUCCACCGUGCCAAGCUCUUUUAAUUUUUUGCUAUAUUAGUAAAAAUAACACUUUGCUAACAUCAAGUUUCCAACCACAUGACAACAUGGAAAGUCUGCAAGCAUGCAUGAAAAGCGAUCUCACCUUCAGCUUCCAGGUCAAGAAAAUGAUUUAAUUUGCUGAUAUUUACUAUAUUCAGGAUCAUUACGAUUGGGGGGGUUGCGGAAAAAGAAAAACAGUGAGAUUCUGCCCUAGAGAAGAUGAGAAUUACAAUAAAGAUAAAUAAAUGCAAUGUGUUGCUUAACCUAUUCUCCAAUGGAACUUAAAGGGACAUAACCAUAUUCAAGAGAAGUUGGCAGGUACGACACGAUAAAUAAUGACACCGCUAGAAUAUAUCUUCUCUUUCCGAAAACAACCCCAUGCCAAAUCACCACAAAAUACAUGUAAACUGACAAAACUUAUUGUAAAUAGUAGAAUACUCACUGGAGUUUUAAUCAUAGUACAAUCAAAAAACUACCUCAUCGAACUACUCAUGGAGACUGAUAAUAGGAGAAACAUUAUGUUAUACAGAAAACAUAAUCAACUUCAUGUAAAUGGAAAAAACGGUAAGGAGAACAAUUCAAAUCCCAAAAUAGCACAGGAAAAGGUUGGUCUACAUGAAUCAAUUUUGCCGCCACGUACCAUGCUACCCAAAAGGUCAAACAAAGAUAACAUGUCCCCAAAUGUAAAAACCGGAACGAGAUAAACCCAAAUACUGAAAAGAAUACGGGAAGAGGUGACUCUAAAAUUAACAGAGAUAAACAUAUUCCCUUAUGGCAAAAACCAGAAGGAGAUCAAUUGAAAUCAAGAAAAAGCACUGGAAAAGUUUGGCUUUCAUGAUUUAAUUUUCCCGUGACUUAUGCUGCCCAAAAGGCCAAUCAAGCACUAAAAUAACAGAGAUAACCUAUUCCCUACCAGGAAAAACCAGAGGAGAUCACCUCAAAUCCCUAGAAAGCGCAGAAAAGGUUGGCCAUUUUGCCUCAAAGUACCAUGCUAAACAAAUGGUCGCCCCACCCCAAAAAAAAAAAAAAAAACACAGUUAUCCACCCCACCACUAAAUUACUACACAGAAACAAAGUGAUACAAAUCGAAACAACCCUAAAAUAUUAUUAUCUACUUAAUCCACAGCUCACAAAAGACUGUUCAGUUGCUAAAAAAGUAAUCAGUGUUCAGUGUGACUAUGUUUCAAAAAUGCAACCAGCAUUAAAAAAAAAAGAAGAAAAAAUACAAUGAGUUCAAGAAUACCAAACAAGAUGAAACAAUGAUAAUAUCAAUGCCAAAGAUCCUUAAAAGAAUGAACUUUCGACGGAAAUAUUAACAAAAAAAUCAUCAAUGCAUUAAAUAUAAGUCAAAUAAUGAACCUUCACAUCAGAAAUGCAAAAAUCUAAGAGAAAAUUCGGAGAAAUGACAAAUAAUUCCAAAAUGCAGGAAAAUUAAGCAAGAUAUGAUCAUAACUAAUCGUUAUAAUGUACAUAAUAAAAAAAAGAAAUAAUUUGCGAAUUGAAAAUGGAAAUUCGAUCACAAAGUUAACACCUGAAACGAAAAGCAUUAGAUAAGAAGGUAUGAAUUAAUCAAAAGUAAAAAGGAUGAAAAUGAACUAAGAAAGAAAAGUUACGCUUAGGGUUUCGAGAGCAAAACGACGGCGUUAACGUCUGAGCUACGAGGCCGUUUCUUGCUUUGUAGCGGCCAGAGGAAUUUGCUCACACUUUGCACACUCUCGUCUGCUCUUGAGUCGCUAUUUAUUUAUUUCCAGUACGCGGCCGCUAUUGAGACGUGCCUUCAUCGUGACACGUGUAUCAUCUAACAUGUAACAAAAAUGCCCUUCAUUUAUUUUUACAUGUAGUUAUAUACACACUCAUACAUACAUUGGAGCAUUCACGUAUUUUUAUACAUACACACACUCAUACAUUGGAGCAGCCAUCAAGAUUCGAAGCCACCGAGGGCUAAAUUUAGUGAAUUUUUUUGUAAAUAGAGAACAUAUUUAUUGGAAGAAAGAAAAAUAAUAAUAACUGUAAAAACAACUUAAAAUUAAAAUACAGUUGAAACAUCGAUAUAUUAAUAUUUCCUUUUAGUAAUUUUUAUAAUUUAAUAAAUUUAUAAGACAAUAAAUUUCGUAAGAGAUUCUUGUUUUACAAAUUUGGUGAAGAACAGAAUCUAAAUAAGACUUAAAAUAGAUUAUGUGAAGUAAGUAAUAUGUGAAUAUACGCUAUUUUACAUAUGAUUACACUUGUCACAAUUCUUUUCUUUUCGAAACAUUGAUUCUAACCGUUGUUGUGUGUUUUUCUUGAAAAAAAAAACCUUUAAACAGUAUAUCAUAUCAAUUAUAAGGGCAAAACUAUGUUGCAACUGUGGUAUGGUACCACAGUUGUAACCAACCAUUGAAUAUACAGUUGUAUAGUUGCAUUAAUUAGAUUCAAUAGCUGAAAGCAACUGUGGUACCGUACCACUGUUGCAACAUAAUUAAACUCCAGUUAUAAACUUAUAAAUUUCCGUUUUCGAUUAUAGUAAAUUUUCAGUCAAUAUAUGAACUUAUUACGUUCAACUUUUGUGUAUCACAAAAAUUGAAACUAUAAUAAUAGUUUUCUUGUUGUUUUUUGUUUAAAAUAAAUAAAUUUAGACCGAUAUUUAUUUAUAAUCUAAAUAUUUGCAACUCAAAACAGAAUUUUAAAUCGUUAAUUUUGAGCUAGACAGAUUUAUGCAGCAAAUAAAAAGAUAAAAGGAAACAAAUUUUUUCCACUUCUUCAGAACAGACCCUUGUUAAUUAGAUUAUAUCACCCUAAGAAAAUACAAAUGGCAUAAAUAUACACAUGAGCCAAUCCAAAAAGGAGAUUUGUUGUGGAUGAACUGCAACUUACAGAUGACGAAUUCCCGAACUGCUCAUAAAGCAAAAAAAAAAAAAAAUGAUACGUAUUACUUUUGCUUAAUGACAACUGCUUCAAAAAUGCCAUCACAUCUAAAAUGCGGUGAAAACAGCCGGGGAUCAACCGGCCCGGGAAGACUGAAAUCAAGUGUAAACUGGCCAGGUGGGCAUAUUUGAUGAAGUCUCAUACAGAAUACCCGGGAACGUUUCCUAAUAGUUUUUCCACCAGAUGUUGACCCUUGAAUAUGAACCUUUCCAUCCGCUUCAAUCUCACAACUGAAGUGACCUGCUAUGAAGUAUGAAGAAUUGUUAUCAGUUGUCAGAAUCCAAAGAAAGACCAAACUGCAUUGUAAUUGUUCAUAAAAGAGUGCACUAAGAGAGACAUUGACUGUGCCUCAUUGCAAAUUGCAUUCUGAUGCAUUCUGUAAGGGCAGCCCCAGGAUGGGGUCCUAUUAAGUUGCAUCACUAACCCAAAAUCCUUUUUUUUAAUGUAAUUCAGUUGUUGCAUGUUAAACAAUUAGAAGUCAUGACAAACUACUUUUGAGUCAAUGUUAGUUGCAUGUAUUGUAACUUAAUAGCUGCUUCCAGCUUGACAUAUAUUUAGAAUAUAUCGCUAUGAAGGUGUCAAUCAGACUAAUAGCAGCUCGAAUGGUGAAACUAUGCAGCCGGUGCAUGGAACAGUCAACUAAAAUAUACACUUUUGAUUGAUGGGAUUCUAAUUAUUGUCAUGAAACAAAAAUGUUCUCCCAUCCUAACCCUGUUCUCAGUUCACCUUCAUGGUCUGCAUAAUAGCUUGCAUGAAGGAGGCGUGUUAAUGGCAUUUUCAUGACACAGGGAAACCCCAAAGGCUAGCAUACUAGUAAAUAGUAACAUACACUAUAGGUAUAUACAUAAAAAAGAACCGGGGAAAGAAGAAAAAAACUUACUAUAAUCUCUCCUGACUCCAGGUAGAGCAGCUUGGAAGAAAUAGGCUAGUUUGCUAAUGCCUAUGUCCACGACGCCAAUUGGUGGUCCUACCAUUCCCUUUGUCGCAGUUCCAGUCAGAGUAACAGAUGCAUCUGACAUACAUUCUUUCCCAUUUGGAACAGUUAAAAGGGGCAUCAUGGCAGGUCCAUCCCUAUUGCAGUUUUUCAGGAAGGCUCCUUGCAGAAUAUGAUGAUUUGACACUGAAACAGGAUGAGAGAGUGCUGGCUCAGGAAGAGGGUUAUUAGGGUGUCUUUCCAUACAUGGUUCUCGGGAUUGUGAUGAAGAAUUAUGGUUUCCAUCAGAAAUAUUUCCAGUAGCAUUGGCCUUACUAUUUUUCAUGUAAUUCUGCUUCCCAUCUUCUUUGCGUUUCUUGUAUUCAUGUUCAUAACACAGGGAUUUGAUUUUAUCAAUCUUCAAAUCAUCCAUACCAGAUAAGGAUCUGAACCUCACUAGGUCCUCCUUUUUGAUGAAUGAUGUAUCUGGAUCAUCAAUAAGAACAAUCCCCUUCACAAUCUCGUAACGUCCAGAAUACCUUUUAUGUCCAUGAAUAUUCAAUGGGAAAAAACUUGUGAACUGCUGACAAUCCUCUGGAAGCUCAGAGCUUGGCAAAGGCAUGAUGCCUUUUAGAUACAUAUGAAAUACAGAAGGUUCCACAACCAGGGCAGGAUUAGCAUUCCUCAGUACAUAGUAGUAUAAGCUCUCUAACUGAGAAAGGCUGACAAAUGAAAAGCUCAGACUAUUUGAAGUGUAUGGCGGCAAAGCUUGGGCUAAUCUUUGAGAUGCAGAACGUCUUGGAUUAUCGAAGAACACAUCAGGACCCAAAUAAGUGCUCAUGAUGAAGUUCAGCAAGAAAUGUUGAUCGUUAAAUGUCUUUUCAACAGACACUGUAGAAGGACUAUUAUUUCCCUGCAAGGCCAUACCCCGGCUUCACCUUUUUCACAACUGCAGAACUAUCUGCACUUGCCUACAUAAGUGAAUUAACCUAGCGUCAUGUGCUCAUUUUCUUAUAAGAAAUAUCAAAAGAUACUAAUUUUCUUUCAUAAAACAUGCAUACAUGAUGAAUACAUGCAAUGAGCCCAGGAAUAAAAACUAUGGUACAAUUACUAGCUACUAGAUUUGUGAGAUAGGUUUCAUAACAGCACAAGCAUAAAUGAAGGCAAUCCAUUAUCUUAUUUCGCUUGACCCCUAAACAUGAACUUUCGAUCAAGCAGUGACGCCUCCCUCCCACUUUAUUUAUACCAAUCCCUUAGGCUAAGUACAUGAUUAUACUACAUGUCUUAUCAAUGCUGCCAAGCAAUAGUGUAAAAUGCUGUACUAACUCAAAAAGGACCGAUCAUCUUUCAUGUGAAACCAAAAUUCUCAUUCUUCAUCAACUACUUGUGUAUUAACAUCAAAUUCAAACUGAAAAGGCCUUCAAUUUACAUGCAUUUAAUAAAUUUAGAGUUUCCACCUUCUUAAUUGUUUAAAAUGGCUCUAAAUUAAAGCAUGUACAUGUAAAUGUAAUGACUUCCUCUCCAAUGCUUACUCAAAAGUCAAAAGGUUUAAUGGGUUUCUGUACUCCCUUUGUCUUACUAAUUCAAGAAACCAUACACCAUAUUAUAUAAUUACCCACCACUACCACAAGCACAACAAAAUUAAGAAAAGAGACACUAACGGACAACACAAGAGUUGUAAAACGUUACCCUUUUUUGAGUGGCUGAAACCAGACCAAAAGCUUUCACUUCGGCUCCAUUUUUUGUGAAAGGGAAUCAGUGACGGACACAGAUAGUGACUGGGACCUGAAUGCAAAAUUCAGGAGAAUCUGGGCCCAUCGGACCAGAAUUAUUAUCCUCACUUUUUGGGCCAUGGGCCCAUCAAUAUGCGCAUGUUUGCAUGAAUGUAUAUUCAUAUAACUUGUCGAAGAGGGUAAGUCUUUGUCUAUACUCUUAGACAACUAUUUCAUUAUUUAUGGACAAGUGUGAAGAUAUUGGCACCCCUCUAAAAUGCUCAUUAAACCCCACUUUUGUAUUAAUAAAUCUAUGUUUAUUCAUAAUUACAUAAAUGGACAAAUUAAUAGAGUUAAAGUGAACUCAGCUAUUAUCUUUUUACACCACACUUAUCGUAAUAUUUUCAGAAGUUUUCCUUUAUUUGAAACCUUAUUUUACAUAGACUACUAAUAAAUAUAUUAUAGAUUUGAAGAUAAUUUUUUUUUGGUGGAUUUGUAUCCUCAAUUUUCUAAUUCAUCCUCUUUCAUUAUCAUGUUUUUCUUCCUCUCACUACUAGUCCAGUUGGUUUGUUGAGUAUUCAUCAAUUUUUUUUUUUACAAAGAUUUUUAAGAUACUUGCGCAAAUCUCUUCAUCUUUGUUACUAUCUCCAACCUUGAGAAAAAUAAAUAACAAUGAAAAAAGAAUUUUUGAGUUAAAAUUUAUAAAAACACGAUAAUAACAAAAAAAUAAUAAUUGCAAACGUACAUGUGCUAUACUUUGUUGUUUUAAAUUAUUUGAAAUUCAUCCAAAGUAAACAGAUUAAAAAUCAAAAGAGAAAAAGAGGUUUAAAUGUUUGUUCGAACAAUUUUUUUUAAAAGAAUAUGUUGGGAUUUUAUUAGAUCUAUAUGUCCUUAAAUAUAAUUUGCUUAGCAAUUAACUUAUAAGUACAAAAAAAAAUGGGGUUUUAUAAGGACAGUGAGGGGGUGCCAAUAGCUCUACCCUAUGGAUAAAAAUUUCUCAUUUGUGCUUUUAAAGAUGUUAUUUGAAAUUGUUAAGGUGAAAGCCCGAAUUGAGAAAAAAUAUUGGUUUUAUCGCUUAUAAUCACGUAGUUAUAUAUUGAUCUUUUAGUCUUUUAUCUAAUUACUGCUAUAAUAUUAUAUAUCCAAACUUAAAUGUUGCUAUAUAUAUUUUUUAAUACAUUACAAGAUAAAAUACAUUGUAUUGAAUUUUUUUUAAUUUAUUCAUAACUUUAAUAUAAUUAAGAAUCUUUGAUCAUACAUACAUACAUACAUACGUAUAUAUGUAUGUACGUAUGUAUGUAUGUAUGUACGUAUGUAUGUAUGUAUGUAUGUAUUUAUGUAUUACUUUAAUGAUGCAUGUGUGUGUAUGAUAUGUGAUAGGAUAUUUUAUUUUGUUAAUUGUUAGUGUGGCUUUUGGGUUUAGCAUGGAACCAAGAAAGUAAAGCAAAGGGUGUGUGGCUUCAGGCUUGUGUUGCCGAAACCGGAAAAAGAAUUCAAAAAAGUGGUAAGAUACGACCACAAUGAUCAGAAAGAAGAUCGAUGUUGAAUCAAUGUGAUGAUGCUCGAUCAAUGUGCCUUCUUAGUCUGAAAAUUCGAGAGAUCCAGAUUCCGAUGCAAUUCCCUUCAUUAUUAUUCUCCACGUUGAUCCCAAGCAAGCAUCCUCCACCCAAUCAGAAUCGUCCUUUUUUUUUUUUUUUCCCUCUCAUUAGCCAUUAUGUAGUUAGUGGAUGUGCUGUGAAAAAUGUGCAGACUCAAAUCUACAUUUGGUGGUAAUCGGUACAUACUACAUAAGGACGUACGCGUCCCACUCCCACCAGAGUCUAGAAAAUUUAUGUUGACCUUCUUCUUCUUCUUACUUUGUUUCCCACCUUUUCUGAGAAACCAAACAGACUUGCUGUUUAGUUUAUUCUCCUCUUUUUUUUUUCCUUUUCAAUGUUUUCUUCUUUACGACUCAUCAUAUCAUGUGUGAAUUAGUGCAGUUUUAAUAAUUACACUUUGGAAUUGAUCAGACGGCUGAGAUCAAAUAUGCAAGUUACGCAUCAUUUACACUCCGGUUUUUAUAUUCCUCAACAUCAAAAAGACGAGUCAAUAAUCCUAAGUCAUAACUCAUAAGCAACUGUGAACUACAACUGUAUCUGGAAAUUGAUCCAACCAAAGCAAAGGCAAAGAUGUAUUGUUUGUAUUCCCAAGGGAAAAGCAAAGUUGGACCCGUCAAACUCCCAAUCAUUUCAAAUUGCUUCAAACUCAUACGCCGCCUCUGCGCUGGUGGGACACCCUAAUAAGGGUGGUGCUCCUCCAUCAUGCCAUAGAAUGGUGAGGACCAACCGUAGAUUUUAUCAUGACAUCAAUUAAAUUUAAUAUUAAAAAAUCAGUAGUUCUCACUAUUCUAUCGCAUAGCAAAAGUAUCAUUAGACAAUCUAUUAAAUUGGUAGGAUAGUCCGGCACAAUUUUUUGGUCUUCUUUAAGUUUUGAAUCUUGAGCUCACACGAAACCCAUAGUCAAAUAAAUAUCUAAUUACGAUAAUUAAUAUAACAAUAUCAAAUUAUGAUUGGACUGUUAAUAUUGUUUAACCAAAUCCAUUAAGGGACAAACAAGGCCAAUGGCAUGUUUUUAUCUAGUUAGUUGAGAUUAUAAAUGUGUCCCUAUUUAAUUAAUUAAAUAAUUACAUACAAGUUCGAAAUGUAUUUCAAAAUUGUCUACAAAUCUCAUUCAAUUAUAAUUUAUUAGUAUAGUUGUAUGAUUUAAAUACCCAAACCUAAUUGAAUCCAUUCAAAAUAAUAAAUCUAAUUUGAAAUUUUAUAUGAUUUAGUCCAAAUCUACAACCUGUAUUAAUAUUUGACCAAAAUUAAAUCUAUUAUUUAAAAAAUAAAAAUAUUUAAAUGUACAUACUUACUCUUCAAUCUUUAGGAUUUGGCUGCGUUAUCUUAAGACUUUAAUUUUUCAAGAGGUGUAAAGAUAAAUACUAAUAAGAUUGAGAAUGUAAUGAAAUAAAGCUGUAAUUUUUUUUUCGUUUAGUCGUUAAUAGAUUUUGCCCCAUUAAUAUGAUUAUCUAAUCAGGCCACUCUGUGUGUAAACGUGUUAUGUAACUUACAUAAAACCAUAAAUAACUUGUUUGUAUGAUUAAAUUGAUAUCAACUAUAUAAUUGAAAAGAUCAUAAAAAAACUACUUAUAAGUUAUGUAAGCUACCUAUAUUGUAACUUAGCUGAUGGUUUCUGUUAUACAUUAUAACAUAAUAAGCCUAGUAUCCGUGUAAACGGUUUUCUUGUUAUUUGGGUUUCUUUUUUUUUUCUUUUUUUUUUUUAAUAACAAUACAUUACCCAAAAAAAAAAAAAAAAAAAAAAAAAAAAAGCGAAGACAAAGAAAGCAGAUUAUUUUGCCUAGUGUUAGAAGCCAGCAGACCGACCCAAGACUGACUUUAGUUCUGUCACUGUUGGUUUUAAAAUGCCCACAGCCCUUUAAUCUUGGCAGUGUAUGAAUGUAUAAAUAAUCCCGACAUUCCUCGACCAUCAAUCAUUCCAUUUGUUUUCUUCUUUCGUAUCAUUACCCUCUGUCUCCUUCACUUUAUUGCAAUCCAAAGUACCAUAUCAAUCUUCUGCAGAAUUUAGGGAUAGCUCUUCAUGGAGUUGGAGGUAAUAUUUUAUUUUCAUUGACUUUACACUUUAGUUAUCACAUUAAAAAUAAUGCCCGUUUAGGAUUGAGUUCACGUUGAAAUGAAAUCAUUACAACGUGGAUAGGUGUAUAAUGUAAUGUAUAAUCUCUAACUGGUUUAUAAUAUCAGAGUAUAUGUAUCACAAUGUGUAUAGAGCUUUCAAAAUUAAAAUUAAUUUGUAUAAUAAGCUGAAGAGGCAGGAUGAUCCAUAUAUAUAUAGUUAUAUAUAAUUACGAGCUAAUUAACGAAGGACUGAGGUUUAUCGUUAUGUGUGUAUUUCUUAAUUAUUCGUUUUUAAACGACGCAGACGGUAGAAUUGAAAGUGGAGAUGGUUGGAAUACAUGAGAAAAGACUAAGAAAAUGCCUGUCCAAACUCAGAGGUAAUCAGGAUAUCAUAACGUUAAUCGCUCGCUCACGUCACCCUUAUUGAUACUCAAAAUUAUUGAUACAUGCCAGCGACCCUGAAACGAAUAUUAUUUUUUACAGGAAUAGAGAAAGUGGAAGUGGAUGCCAACAGCCAGAAGGUGGUGGUGACAGGCUACGCACACAGGAACAAAAUAUUGAAAGCCAUUAGGAGAGGUGGAUUGAAAGCUGAUUUUUGGUCUGCCCAAAAUGAACUUCUCAGUGCUUAUGCAAGCGCAAGCUAUGGAAACUUGAGAUUUAACAACUUCAACUUCUCUUAGCCAGCCUACAUCUUCAACUUCUCUUUUUUUUUUUUUGGGUCCCCAUUUUAAUUAUUUAUUUAUUUAUAUGAAGGAUGUUAUACAAAAAGAGUCUGGGAUCGGAGCUGCUUCUACAAUUGUGUUUUGUUUUCGUGCAUGCAUUUUUGUUCAGUUCUCUUUUUAUUAUUUUAUUUAUUUAUAUUCUCUGGCUUUUACCCUUUUCUUUUAUAAAAGGAGUUGUUACAUAAUGUGUAAUCAUUGAUACAUAGAGUGAAAUUGAAGGAUUCUAAAUUUUGCAGCCUGUGCCUGCGUUAAACAUUUACCGAUCUCUCUCAAAUCGAACCAACGCUUGGGAAAAGCCUUGUUAGUCGUUUACUUGCCUGCAGCAUGCUCCCGCUCAAAUUUAUUGGGCUAACAACAACAAUCUAGAAUGGGCCAAUCCAAACUUUUUGGACCUAACAUUAAAGUAAUUUGAAAUUUCACGCCUAAAAAGCUCGAAUUAAUAAUUCAGCGAGUCAGCCAGUUAAAUAAAAGCAAAUGUAAUAAUGCACGCGUCGCAUAUUAGAAACGAUGAGGUGGCGUCUUCUCAUGCCAUCUUGUGUGCCCGCACCGCCAGCACACACCGCAGAUCAAUCUAAUGCUACAUGUGCGCGCGCGCGCGGGGGUUAAUAAUAUCCUGAUCCCUGUACGUUUAUUAAUUUACAACUAUGGACAUAUAUUUUCCCAUUUACUAAUAAUUAUAUUAAAUGAACAAAACAAACCGAUACGAUGGCAUCAUCGUCUCAAAUCUGAGCAGCAAAGCAAAAGCCAAAAAUGCACUUGAGCGAAAACGAAGGCAUUGAAGGAAAGACGUUCCUGGUGACUGGGGGGCUGGGCCACGUGGGCUCGGCUCUUUGCCUGGAGCUUGUCCGUAGAGGCGCUUAUCAAGUUCGAGCCUUUGACUUACGAACCAACUCUCCUUGGUCUCACCUUCUCAUCAAUCACGGCGUCCAUUGCAUCCAAGGUUUAAGGUUUCUUCUUCUUCUUCUUCUUCUUCUUUUUAAUUCCAAUUCAAUUCCACUAUUGGGUCGCUUUUGUUAUCAUAUAUUCAGCUUGCUUUUUAAUUAUGAAUUAUAUAUUGAAAUAUGUGAUCAAAUUCGAUAAAUCAGCUGAUCAAACAGUAGCAAGUUAUGUAAUGGACUGCAUGGACAUUUUAGGUGUAAUGACUGAGCAACUGAGUAUCUUUUAACGACGUUGAAUUAGAUUUUCCACUCAGCAAUAAUUCUUAAUGACAGGGGAAGUUGUUAGCAAAAUAGAUGUUGAAAAAGCUGCCCGUGGUGUAGAUUGUGUGUUUCAUGUUGCUUCCUAUGGCAUGUCGGGGAAGGAAAUGCUCCAGUUCGGUCGUGUUGACGAGGUCAAUAUUAAUGGAACAUGUCACGUCAUCGAAGCUUGCCUCGAGUUUGGGAUUCAAAGGCUUGUCUAUGUCAGCACAUACAAUGUUGUGUUUGGGGGAAAGGAAAUUGUGAAUGGCAAUGAAAGCUUACCCUAUUUCCCCAUUGAUGAACAUGUGGAUUCAUAUGGCCGCAGUAAAUCAGUUGCUGAACAAUUGGUUCUAAAGAGUAACGGUCGUCCCUUUAAGUGAGGAGUUAUUAUUUAUUGCCAUUUUUUUUUUUUUUGUUAUAAGUGUGCUUCCCCUGCUGCAAUUUUAUUGUUGUCAUGAUACUUGUUUGUUUGGCUAAAACGGCUGGGAAAGAAAUUGUAGAAAAGAAUCUAUAUGAUAAAUGGAUAGGGAGAACAAUAAACAACUGACUUAUAAUCCCCAAAAGUUUGGAACACUGAUACAAUUCAGCAGAUGGGGCAUCAAUUUUCGUUUACUUUCUAUGACUAAAGCUGAGAUGUUUCAUGUGUAGGAAAAAUAAUAGAAAAUGCCUUUAUACAUGUGCGGUUCGUCCUGCUGCUAUCUAUGGGCCAGGUGAAGAGAGGCACCUUCCGAGGAUAGUAUCACUUGCAAAGUUAGGAUUGGUGCCGUUUAAAAUUGGUGAACCAAGUGUGAAAACCGACUGGAUUUAUGUUGAUAACCUUGUGCUUGCUCUUAUAUUGGCAAGCAUGGGACUUCUGGAUGACAUUCCUGGGCAAAAAGGGCGUCCAAUAGCUUCUGGCCAACCAUACUUUGUAUCUGAUGGUAAUUUAUUUCUUCUUCGUUUAGAUACUUCCUUUUGAAUUCCUGAUCAAGAACUAUUGGUGGAUGAAAUGAUUUAACUUUUGACUUGGUUUGAAAUGCUAUGUUAUGAAUAAUUCCCUUCUUUCUCAGGGUUUCCAAUCAAUACGUUCGAAUUUAUUGGACCUUUACUUAAAACUCUGGACUAUGACUUGCCGAAGUCUUGGUUAGCUGUUCCCCAUGCACUCUUUUUGGGCAAGGUCUUCUCAUUUUUCUAUUCAGUCUUAUAUCCAUGGUUGAAUCGAUGGUGGCUUCCUCAACCGUUAAUCCUUCCGGCUGAAGUCUACAAGGUUUGUUUCAAUUCCAAUCUAUCUGAUGAACACAUUGGCAGACCUAGAUGGGUUGUUUUUAGGCAUGUGUAUUUUCUUUGCUCUUUAGCAGUACACAAUGUCAUAAGCUGAAUUAUAUGCUAACAGGUUGGCGUUACCCAUUACUUCUCUUUACUUAAAGCCAAGGAAGAGCUCGGCUAUGUCCCGAUUGUGAGUCCUAGGGAGGGCAUGGCUGCUACUAUCUCAUACUGGCAAGAUAGGAAAAGGAAAAGUUUAGAUGGGCCUACUAUAUACGCAUGGUUAUUCUGUCUGAUAGGAUUACCGGCAUUGUUUGCUACUGCAUACUUGCCGGACAUUGGCCCUGUUCCAAUCUUAAGAACUAUUGGGCUUUUCAUCUUCAAGUCAAUGUGGAUGAUGAGAUUGGCGUUUGCUAUUGCAGUAUCGGCACAUGUCAGUGAGGGUGUAUUUGCAUGGUGCCUAGCAAAAAAAGUGGAUCCUGCAAAUGCAAAAGGAUGGUUUUGGCAAACUCUCGCUCUUGGGGUAUUUUCAUUACGGUUGCUGCUCAAGAGAGCUAGAAAGUAAGUCCGUCCACUUUAUUUGUGUUGUUGUGAUCUACACACGACUGGAAAAAUACUGGUUAUUUGUGGGUGGAAAGUGAAAAGCAUCUUGUUGAGGAAUUUGGAUAGUGUUUUUACCUCUCUCUUAGUCAUUUUUGAAUCCAUUAGAUGCUAAUGGAAAAUAGGAGAAGUGGAGGUUUGGAACCAACUGAAAAUCACGGGUCAGAUGGAACAUCCUGUUGAGGGGCAACAAGCGGUAAGCUUGAUGGUGUGUUGUAUGAGCAAUGGAGUUUGGAACCAACUGAAAAAUCACAGGUUAACUUGGCUUUUGGUGAACCAUGAUAGCAUUUUUAUUUGAGUGUAAUUAUUUGCACUCUAAAAAUUAUUCUAAAUACUUUAUUAUUCUGUUAUUUUGUAGGCUCAUGUGCUAAAUUAAAAAAUUAAGUUUUAGUUUUUACACACCUUAAAAUGUCACAAAAGAUUUUACUUAACCUGGUUAAGCUAAUUUAUUCAAAACGCCAAUUAAAUUAUUUUUCCAACCCAGAAAGAAUUAAUGACCUUUUAGUCUAUAAAAUGAUAGAAUCAAAUCAUGCUAUAAUAAAUUCUUCAACAUAAGUUUUAGUUAUUAGAUUUUCUUUAUUAAAGAAUAUGUUCAAUAAUAAUUUUUACACCUUGAUUUUUUAACGUAAUAACUAUAAAAAAAAAAAUUGCUAUCCGCCUCCCCCUCCAAAAAACAAAAAAUAUUAAAGAAGAAGGAGAAGAGUACAAAAGAUAAUUUUAAUUUUUUAUGAAAAAUUAAAAAGUAAAAAUAUAUUCAAAAUAUUUUAAAAGUAUUUAUUUGUUCCUUAUUUAACUAAAUAUUAUUUAAGAGUUGGAAAUAAAUUUUUUUGCGUUUAUGUUUAGAAUAAUUAUAUCAUACUAGUUUAUAGGAAAAAGUUGAUAUAAUGUGUAUUUUUGUGAUAAAAAAAUUAUAUUAAAGAGUAGGAUUAUUUAAACAGACUAAAUUUAUUUUUACAACACCUUAAAAAUUAUAAUAAUUAAAUUGCCCAUUAAUUCCCUUCUCUUUCUCACAGUUGUCCUCUCUCUACAUCACUUAUUGUAAAUUAAAAACUCACAAUUUCACUCUCUUUAGCCAUGGAUUCUUUUUCUUCAUGUCCACUACAUUUCACUUAUGGCAUUUGAAUUCGGACAUUUUUUUAGAAAGAUUUAUAACUUUAUAAUUAUUUAUAGGAAAAAAUAAAAAUAAAAAAUAAAAAAUUUAUUACUUUCACAGUUACUUAAAAUUCUAAAUGAUCAUUUUCAAAUGGUGGGUUUAUUCAUGUAAAUUGAACAAAGAGUAAUUAUUAUUAUUAUUAUUAUGAUUCACAAAUGGAAUUUAAAUUUCCUCUCUGUUCUCAUGAGGGGGUUUGAGUUCCAAAACUGCUUCACACAUAUAUAUAUAUAUAUACACACACAUACAUAUACAUAUACAUACAUAUACAUAUAUACACACAACGGCCACCAUAAACCAUGCGAUCAUGUCUAUCUUUGAACACACGCCCUUCGAUAACGAAAAAUUAACGGCAGAUAAAAUAAUCAGGAGAUGAAAGGUUCUGAUGAGAAAUACAAAUGGGCAUCUUGUUGUCCCCUCCUGGUUAAUUAAAUUAAAUACAGAGAAAAACAAGGAUGAAAUCCAGUACAGGUAUUACGCAACAACUACUAGUACAACGAAACAAUUAUAUAUAUAUAUAUAUGGAUCACUCUUCUAAAAGCCUGGGCUCUAAUCAUGGUGGUGAAACAAGAAAAGAAAGCAUAAUGCAAGUUAUUCUUCUACUUCAACUUACACAAAGCUAACAUUAGAAAUGGAUCUCCUCAAGGUCCUAUGGUAAAAAGUAGCUAAUAAUACAAUAUUAGAGCCCUCGCCUACUACACAAAUUGGCGGUGACGCUGAAGUCAUGAGUGGUUUAUUUCCAUGGUAUGCUGGUCGCCAUUCCCUGUGGCAGGUGAUUGUUGUUGCAGGCUCCUGUACUGUGAUUAAGCGGGCUCCCAGGUCCACCCGAGGAUUCGCUAAGAGUCCCACGAGAAGGUGGACUGCACUGUCCUGCAGGCUGACCACCUGGAGCAAGCUUUGGAGGGAAAGGUAGAGAUUCCAUGCGGUGAGAUGAUUUUGAUUCCUUCCGACCAUCAGCAAGGAAGCUUCCAACGACCACCUGCGAAGUUCACGUACAUAAAGCUUAGAAUCAUUACAACCCAUUGAUGGCAAUACUGCACUUUAUUGGGGAGGAGCUGCUAAUUAUGUUAAACCAAUAUUAGGCUGUGUUAGAUCAUCAUGGCUGGUAAACAUGACACAUCCAAAUUGUCAGCAUCUCAUAUCGACAACUUCAGAAUUUUCAGAAAGGAAGGAAGAGUAUCUGAGAAAAUUGCUAUAAUAAGGAAUGCUCAAUAUCAUAAUUGAAUGAAACAAGUAGCUUGAAUUUUGGCCCAAUUUAUCAUUUUUUUUUCUUUUUUUUUUUUUAACAAUGUGUCACAAAAAUUGCAAGAUACAAAAUUCAUUUAGAGAAUUGGCACAAUUAUCAAUGUGUUCACAGAGAUUUACAAGAAAUGAAGAUAGUGGUAAACAUUAAACAACCAGACAGACCUGGACAGGAGUAGCAGCAGUUAGAAGACCAGCCACACUGCCGCCCAAUACACGACCAUCUGGGCCAGAUAAUGAGACACUUAGUCCCCCAGUUCUGCUCCGCUGACCGCUACUUUCAGAUAGUAAAAAUGAACCAGAAAGUGAAAGAAUCUCAAAUCUCCCCUACACAAAAUAACUACACAAAUCAGAGGAAAACGGAGGGAAAGAAAGAUUGGUAAAACAUGGAUCAUUGUGCAGCAACAUAUGCAUAAAUGGGGCAAUCAUAACUUUAGUACAAUGUCAUGGAUUUUGAAAAAUUCUCUCUCUUGGACUCAAUCCAUUCUGAAUUCUGGUUACUUAGCAUCCAUUGGCCAAGUAGUCUGCUUCAACAAGAAGUAUUUGAUGGCCUUUUGCUCUUCUCACAUGAUUCAAGGAAUAAACAUUUCAAACAAAGCCGGUUCUAGAAAAGUUGAAACUCACAUACAACAAGCAUCUUGAACAGCAUUUUUCUUAUUAGAAACUUAAACAUAGGGGAGGAGGAUAGGGGGAUUGCAAAAGGAGGGAAAAGAACACCAGGAAAAACAAUAAUUAUAAGCAACUUUAUAAACCUCAUAAGUUACAGUUCCACCAGAUGUUGCAGCUUGGCGGAGAGUGACAUUAGAUAUGGCACCAUUAGCUGAGAGGAUGCAAACAGCCCUGGGACCAUUCUGAGAAAAUGACAUUAUUUUUGAUGAUACAUCCUGAAAACCCAGAUAUAUCCAAUAUUAAUAUAUCGAAAUCCUAACCAGAGCAGUAAAAUUGCCUACAAAUCUGCCUGAACAAGCAAGGAUAGGAAUUAAAGAUAAAGUUACAAUAAAGCAAGGAUCAUAAUAUCAUAAAUAUUCAGAAGCUCUAGUGUGCACACCUGCACAGGAAUCAUUCAAUUGAGAUGCAAGCUGAGUGGCAUUUUCGCAAGCCACUAUAUCUCAUUCGAGGAGUGUCAACAAACAAAAGAAUCAUGUACCAUUAACUCCCAUUCUUUACCUCAUUAUGAAUACUGAUUGUGACAUUGCAAAUGUACCAACCUUGAUACGGUCAGUCUACUGCCAGUCUUAUGCAAAACAAUAUGAAUCAAUUUUGGUCCCACAGUUACUAGUUUUUAAUUCUCCACCUAGAAAUAAAAUCAAUGAAACUGUUACAUUUUGUGAUUUGCGUUAUCAGCAACCGAAAACUGAAGUCACCAAGUCAUAUGCACCAAAGUGCUGUGGUAAAAUAAGAAUUUUCCGCAAGCACAAAAAUUGGGUGCAGACGUAUAAAGGAUUUCAGGCCUCACAUUUAGAAGUCAUUUUCUUUUAUAACAGCAAUAAGAUGCAGCAUAGAAAAUGCUUUUAUAACGUCUGUUAUUUGAUAUAAAGAUAAUAAAACCAUGAUUCUCAAAAUGUAAAAGCUUGAUAAAUUCCCCACUAGAAACUACUUCCUUAGUACUUAGUCAUUAGCUCUGAUUAAGUUGAAUAGAAAAUUAAGUCAUUGGCAGUUAAGAUAGCUUUCUUAAUUCCUUUAAAGUCACUACAAAAGAAUUUAUUUUACAGAUUCCAUUACCAGGCAGUUAAACAACUUCCAGCGAAUAAAACAAUUUUAAUCACUUACCUUCCUGAGAUAAAAAUUGAAAAAAGAAAAUUUCCACUUAAAUCAUAGUUUACAUAGUAUAAUAGUUAGAAAGAGAAAUUAAACUAGGAAACAGCAUCAAGCAUUUCUGUGCUAAUAAUUGAUUUAGAAAUCAUAAUUAGUUAUGCUCUAAACACAUCUAGUUUAUAUUCACAUCAACAUUAACCACAUCUAGUUUAUAUUUGUUCAAUGAAGCAAUCACUCUUAACUUAGGAAAUGAUAACAUUUUCUGACAUUUGAGUUUUAUUGAGCUGACAAAUGCACAUAAUAUAGCAAAAUAAACUAAAUUAAACUUACAAGUUAGGAUUGCAAGGUCAAAAGCACAAUCAGGUUUCAACUGUUUCUUUCCCAUUGCCUGUUAUAUUGGUGUGGUUAAGGAUGAAGUAAUUGGCUUAAUUUCCUAGCACUACCUUUAGACCACACACUUACCUUGAUAACAUGUACACAAAACAUGGCUGUGCAAGAAAAUAAUAAAUCAGUCACAUCAUUGUGUACUAAAUUAUUGAGAAUACUAUAAUUAGUCAAAACAAAUUUAAGAAUAAAUGACACCCAACAACCAGAAUGAAUGUUCAAGAUCUACCAAAAUAAGCAGUUGGUGCAGCAAUUAUCCUUGAGGCCAACUCUAAUGGCACAACUAGAAAGAAGCGUCUCAACAUCAAAUACUAUAUCAGUGCUAAAACCAUGGUUUCAAAAAGCAUCUGGAGUGAAUGUAAUUUCUAAUCAAAAAGAAAACUUUUAUAAAGACACCCAAGAUGUUUAAUGAAGUAAAAAAAAAAAAAAAAAAAAAAUCUGCAGAAUCUGAGAAGUUCAUUUAUGAGAAGAAAAUGAAAAUUAACCUCUCCAGCUUUUACAGUGAUAACAUGUGGAGUAAAUCCAACACCUGCUGAACCUGCAAAAAGAAACCUUCAUAAGAAAAUCAAAAUACCAUAAAACUAACAUGUCAAAUAAAUGCUAAUUGAAAAGCAUUUUAUUUUCAUGACUGGUGUGAAAGACAUGCAUAAGAAUAUUAGCAAGUACGUGAGACUUGAGAGACUCGGGGGAAAUACUAUAAAGCCAACAGCAGACGAGGGCAUAAACGUAAUUCACUUUAGAGAAAAAAAAAAAAAGAAUCUGAGGUCAGAACCAAACAGAUCCCAAUUUCCAGCAAAACAUUUGGCUAUUGAUUGAUAAUUCCUCCUCAUUCUAGUUCUACAAGAUCCUUUUAAGACACAACACAACACAACACAACAACACUUUUACCAUUACAGCAAACAACCAACGUUUGGUUUCAUGCAACAAAAUUAAACCAAAGUGGGAGAGAGAGAGCAAGAGGCAAAGCAAAACAUGUAGUUUUAAACUCAAAACGAAAACGCAGCACGUGACAAAAAGCACAAAUAAUUUUCUAAUUACCCAGAGCUUCAAGUUGGUGUUUCUUUCCAGAACCAGAACCAGGAGGCCUGCCUCUAGAUUUCUUUAUAGAAUCCGGAGACAACGGACCGCCACCGGGAGAAGAUAACCCACUACCAGUACCACCGGUGGCGGUGGUAACAGAAGAAGGAGAAGGAACAAGAGCCAAUGACAUGGUGCCAUCGGGCCCAUACUUUCUAGGCCUCCCUCUCUUUCUCUUCAUCGGCUCACUUCCACUUCCCAUGUUCAUCACAUUAAGUCCCUGUGCCUGUGGAAUGGCCCCGUCUCCGCCGGCGCCGGAUGGCUGGUAAGUUGGCGACGUAGCAGUUAUUGGCUUGUACACAGCUGUGCCGUCCGCACUAAACGCUAAACGCAUGCUCUGUAUCGACGCUGGAGGCUGUGACGUCAUCACAUUCACUGCUGUCUCGGAUCCUGACAUCUUCUUCGAGACUUCAGCUACUUUGAUUGAACUCCUCUCACUGUACCAAAAUUCCAUGCAUUACCAAACUUUAAAAAUUUUUAAAUAUUUAAAAAUUUGUAAAUCUAAUUAACAAAAUUAAAAACAAGAAACUAACUUUACUUCACAGUAGUGACUGGGGGGGAGUGAAAAUUAGAUCUUUCAAUUAAAGAAGAGAAUUUUGAAUGAAGUGAGCUAAUCCAGUUAGCUUAAACUUAAAAGGAAAAAAAACCAAACCCUAAUUACUGCAACUUCAACUAUAGAUUUUGACAAAAAUUGAGCAAAGAUCAAGAUAAAAACAAAUUUAAUUAUUAAAAAAAAGGAAUUUUGGGAAUUUACUGUUUAAAAAAACGGAAAUUACAUUAAAAAAAGGGAAAAUUAAGGGAAAAAAUAGAGUAAACUUACCAAAGAAAUAGGUGAAAUCAAGGGAGGAAAAAAAGGAGUGAAGAGACGAAAUUUUAGGGUUUUGGAAAUGAAAAUAGCAGGGGAGUAAAGGGAAAUGGUGAAUAAUUUGUUUACAUUUUAAUUUAGAUAUUUAUUUGAUUUGAUUUUUUUUCUUUUUUUUUUAACGGGGCUUUAUUAAAAAAAGCAGGUAAAAGCAGGCCUAUUUUGCUUUCGUACAAAAAAGAUAUUGAUUAUUUAUUUUUGCAUUUACUUCAACGCCUUCAUUACUCCACUCGCUUGCUUUUUCAAAAUUUUUCAUUUUGUAACUCGAGUACAAAUUCAAUACACUCGCUUGUUAAACACUCCACGUUUCUUAUCCGAUUUAAUUAUGCGUUAUCGCAGUCCGUGUAAAGUGAACAACGGCGAGUACAGCUUUCCUGCGAUUGCGGAUAAAAUUUGAAAAUUUUGUAUUUGGCGCUUGUUUGUUUUCUCUUCUUUUUGCUUUUUUAAUUAAUAAUAAUAAUUACUUGGGUAUUGUACAGUUGGAUACUUGGACAUUGGUCUUAGCCUCUUAGGUCUUUUAAUUUACAUAAUUAUUUUAUUCAUUUCCUUUAAUUAAAUAUUAUUAAACAUUUGGUUUAACUGAAAAUUAUGGUUUUAUUACAGUUGGCAGAGAAGAGUGGGUGCGUAAUUAUAAACAAUAAUUGAAAAUUAGAAUUACAACCACAGUAUUAACUCAUACUUAUCUUGAAAGCUUUAAUAUGCCAAUCAAGCAAUAUAUAUUGUGUUAUUCACUUAAAUCCUAUUUUUUCUCGGUUUUAUCCUCUUCAGACAACCAAAAUGAGUGCAGGUCUUCUGUUAGUGACCAUAUAAAGCCAAAUGAAUUUCACUAAUUUUUAUUUUAAUGAUUAAUAAUUAAAAUCUUAGUUGUGCUAUUCAAUAUUAUUUCUUGAAAUAUAAAUUAAUUAUUUUUCUGGUUGAUUGCUAAACAAAAAUGGAAAAAAAAAAAUUCAGGGCUUAUUAUGUUGUUCUCUUGGUAGUUGGUGAUCUUUCUCUCUUGAAUAAUAAAAUAUUUAAAUGAUUAAACUUAAAAAGGUAAAAACAAAGGAAGAAAAGUUUAAUACAGAUAGGUGAGUGCUAAUUUAGAGUUUAUACUACAUUUAUUAAUUAGUAAUUGGAAUGAAUUAAAAUCAGAAUAAAUUGUAAAAUAAAUGAGAAAUGAGAUUCAGAAUAGAAUAUGUUGUAAUAUAAAUGAAGAAUGAGAAUUAAAAUAAAAUAUCUAUUUGAACUAUAAGAAUAAGAAACAUAAUAAUUAGUAUUUUAUUAUUAUGUAUUUAUUUUAUCUUGAAAUAGAAACGAAUUAUCACAAGUUAUUAAAAAGUCAGUUAAUUAUUAUUACUAUUUAAUAAACUUAUUGUUAACAAUAUAAAGCAAUAAUAAUCGCAACAACUAAUAAUGAUCAUCAUCAUCCUUGGUGAUCGGCGGCAGGCCGGAAACAACAAUAAUGAUUGGUAGCCGGCAACAUUUGUAGCAGCGAUCGAUUUGCUUGAUCUAAUUUUUUUAAUUUUUUUUUCAACCAUCAUUAGAAAUAACUACAGGAAUCGUUUCAAAAUUGGUGUAGAUUCCACCAAUUUAAUUCCAAUUCUCCUCCUUAUUUUGAAAGUAAAUAAAUUAAUUAAUCAUAUUCCACCAUUUCCAUUCUCAUGCUCAAUUAAUAAACACAUACAAGAGUUUAGAUCACAAUUUUUUGUCAGGCCAGAAACUAAGAAAAAGACGAGAGUCCCACGUGACACAAGUGAAGGACUCUUCUGGUGGAUUGUAAAAAAAUGCAAGUAUUACAAAAUGUAGUAAUUAAUUAUUAACAAAAUUUGCAAUUUUUACUAUUACAUUUUGUAAUAAUUUUAUUGUAAACAAAUUGCAAUAGUUUUCUUCUUCUUUUUUUUAAGGAAUUAAAACUGCUGAUACGAAUUUAUAUUUUUUAUGAAUUUACUCAUCAAAUAGGUGAUUUGAAUUUAAAAUCUUUUUUAUUAUAAUAAUUUUAAAUUCAAAUUAUAAAAUGCACAUGGGAAUAGAUAUUUAUAUUUCAUCCUGAGAAAUUCUUAUGCCAUUUAAAAAAGAAAAAGAAAACAAUGACCGCAGAAAAAACCGUUGAGUAACAGCAGCAACUGAAGAAAACGGAAAAAAAAACGGAUAUAUGUCCGAAAGCAGAAGCCAAUCUCAAAACAUGGCUUCUAUUUCUCCACUCCACACUUGGUCUCAGCGGCCUCACCACGCCUCCUUCACAGCUUUUUCUAACAACAAAGGUCUAAUAAGCUUUAAAGCUCUUAUCUACCCCAUUUUAUCUGUUACUAUUUGUUUUUUUUAUUGUCAUUUUGACUUUUUUUCUUCUUUUUUGUUCAAUUUGUUUCAGGAACCAAUCAAUAUAACAAGCAAUUUGUGUUCUGCUGCAAGAAACAGGAACAAGAAGACGAAGCAAGAACCCUGUAAUUUGCAGUUGAGUUAUUUGAUUCGUGGGUUUAUUUUAGAAUUUUGGAUAAUAAUUUGUUGGUUUUAUUUUAAACAGUAACAGAUUUCGCAUUGAAGAACAAGAUGAUGACUCUAGGACUAAAAGAAGAGAAGUGAUGUUUCAACUGGCCUUCACUGCGUGUUCUUUCCCAGCAAUUGUUUCUUAUGCGCUUGCAGCGAAUGGUAACUUUGCUGUCUUGGUAGUAGUGCCAAUGAUUCAAUAUGAGAUCUCUUUUUUUUUUUUUUCUGUAAUCAUUUUCAUUAAGUUUCUUAUGUCGCAGAAGACCUCCGUGUUUAUACUGAUGAACUGAACAAGUUUGAGAUUUCGAUACCCCAAGGUACAUAAAUGAUAAAUCCCCAUCAAAAUUUGAUUACUUGGUGUAUAACUACGUAUGUAAUCAUGGAAUUGAUGCGGUACAGAUUAAAGAAUGGAAGUGCCUAAUCGGAGACUCUUGGGUUCACAUGAGCCUGUUGCUCAAAAUAUGACCUUAAAAUUUGUUUAUGUGUGCAUGAGUUAUGCCGAGAGUUCAUGGAAGUAUUUUGAUGGGUUUAAACUUUAUAGGAGUUGAAAUAUCAAAUUUAUUCCAAAUUUAUUGAGUGAUGAGAACAAGUGCUGCUUGUUGAAACAGAUUGGCAACUGGGCGCGGGGGAACCAAAUGGAUUCAAAUCCAUUACUGCUUUCUACCCACAAGAAGCAUCUAGUUCAAGCGGUAUUCGAAAACUCUUCUGGUGGAUUUAUGAUUUAUUUUAACAUAUUCAAGUCUGUAAAUCUUAAAUUGGUUUCUUUCUUUAGUCAGCGUGGUGAUCACGGGGCUUGGUCCGGAUUUUACGAGAAUGGAAUCUUUUGGCAAAGUUGAAGCUUUUGCUGACACUCUGGUAUGUAGCUUUUCCAAUGUUAUUUCAGCUUGUGCUUGGUUGCUCAUUUGUUUUGCUUGCACGCUGCUCUGUUCUUAUCAUAAGUCUUCUCAACAGGUUAGUGGAUUAGAUAGAAGCUGGCGAAGACCCCCGGGUGUAGCAGCAAAACUCAUAGAUUGUAAAGCAUCCAAAGGCAUUUGCAUCUUCUUUUCUAUUCAAUAAUCAAUUCUGACAUUACAAAACCAUUUUGAAGAUUUUAAUUAAUUAUUUCCCAUGGCAAUUGAAUUAUGUCAUUCUGAUUAGAAGUUCUUGAAAGAGUGCCGGUGAAAUCAUGCAAGAUGUUACGUGUAAUUAUUUUGAAUGCAGGGUUUUAUUACAUAGAGUAUACACUGCAAAAUCCAGGUGAGAGCCGUAAACAUUUGUUUUCAGCCAUUGGGAUGGCAUCAAAUGGUUGGUACAACAGAUUAUACACAGUGACUGGCCAGGUACAUUCGAAUAUCUUAGAGCUUCUAUUCUUUAGCUGUUGCAAUCCCUUCAUGAGUUAAUUCCAAGGCUCGGGCUCUGUAUUAAACUCUUGACAAUUGACAUUUUGAUGCAGUUUGUGGAAGAAGAAUCAGAGAAAUAUGGCUCUAAUAUUGAGAAGGUAACUUUUACUAGUAGAAUUAUAUUAUUGAGCACAUCGUAUCGUACCAUGAAAUAGCUUUAGAUUCGUUUAUGGAUGACCGAUUUUACUUGAUUUUGCAGGCAGUCGCAUCCUUUAGGUUCAUUUGAAGAAAGAACUACUACAAUGCCGCCGUGCUUUGUUUUGCUAGUUUUGUAUUCGGAGCACGUUACAUGUUUGUUACUUAUUGUCAUUUUCCUCGGUCACGGAAGCCAAAAAAAAAAAAACUCAAAUGAUUAUAGGUAAACCCGUGUCUGAAAUUCAAGCACAAUUUUGGGUAUGUUGAGCCAUAGCCUAAGUGGAAAGUGUAGGCUCCCCCAUCUACAUCUACUACUAGGUACUAACAACAUUCCUUGGGCCAUGGAAAGAAACAAAUUUCACAUUUCAUACAGCAUAGAAGAUACACAAGGUCAUGAAACAUCUGUUUUAACAUUCUCCUCAGUCCGGUCUCCAUUUUUCCGAGCAUUAGAUUUAUGAAACAGAACAGAAAGCUGAUCAACAAAAAGUAAAUUCUUGACUUGCUCCAACUGUUUCCACUCUUCCUCCAUUUGCAAAUCUAAACUCUCAAAUCGAAUGAUCUUAUCCUGGAUCUCUUUCAUCUGCAAAACUCUUUCACAUUUAGCUAAUAAUUUAUAAUUGAAUAUGACAGAAAAAAUGACCAAGAAUUUUACGCACCUGCACUUCCACAAUCCCAGAUAUAGCUUUCUCAACAUCCAACUCUUCCUUCUCAAUCAAGGAACUUGCAUCUACAGAAGCUCUUGCCAAUGCAUUCUGGGUGGCAUCACCAUUGGAUGCAACCUCAGCUUCUGCAUGUUGAAACCAAGUCAAUAACAUACUAAGCUGGAUGGUCUCAACAACAGAAGUUUCCAACUUUUAUCAACAGAAUAACAGUUAGGGUAACAGCUCGUCUUACGACGCUACAACAUGGAUUUAUUUCUUGACUAAUAGAAAAGAACUUGGCUAGGAAGGAUUGCUAUUCAUACCUUGCUGUCUUGUAUUUCUGAUAAGACUCCCUUUACUUGCUCUAUCAUCCACAUCUGACAGAGUUGUCACAGCUGCUCGAGCAGCAACUUCAGCAAUCUGGACACCAGCUAAAGCCGACAGGAAAGCUGCCUGAGAGAAAACGCAAGUAAUUAUCUUAUAUAACUUCGGAGAAACAGCAAUAAAUAUAAACAUGAAAUUGCUCCAACAUUGAGAAGUUAGUUAAUGCAAGUUACUAAUAUCUAAAGCAAACAGAAAAUAAAAGCGUCUGGUUUCUGCAAGGUAAUCCUCAUACAGUUUCUACAAAAUCAACAAACUUAUUUCCAAGUAUCAGAAUGGAGUCCAUCUGAUAUUCCAGAAAUUGGUUUCCAUUUUUUCCCUUGAUUUAUCUCUAUAUGUACUUUGUAAAAGGGCAUACCUGAGCCAUUAUUGGGUUACUUGCAUCGGCAAGAGGGGUGAGACGCAUUCUCUUACUCGGGGAUGUAGCGCCAACAUUUUCCGAUUCACUUACAGCAUCACUAGGGUUGUUGAUAGAAAAAAACUUGUUAUCCACAUCCUCCGAAUCUGAUUCUUUACAAAUAAAUUCCUGCCCAAAAGGGAGCUUGAUAAAAUGAGUGAUGCAGUCCUUCUCACUUUUACCACUGACAUGCUGUGCAACCUUCCUCCAGUCAUCACCAAAAUGCAUAAUGGCCUCCAGAAGUUGCAAAGUUUCUUUCUCUGUCCAAUCCGAUCUAGCCUCCUCACUGAUCUCGACCCGCCUGAAAUCAGACGAGCUAACACCCACCCGAUGGUUACCACGGACAUAGCAUCUCGCACAAAGGGUCAAGUCAUACUUAUCACAAGCAAAACAAGCAAUGGUACAAAGGGUCUUGCAACCAUUGCAGAGCCUCUUAGAGGUCUCCUUAAGAGCCGAGGAGGAUUCAGCAGAAGCGGCAGAGGACUUGGUCUCUUUAUCUUCCCACUUCAAGGUCUUAACAGAAGCAAAGUAAUUAAUAAGUCCCCAAGUCUCCAAGAAAUCAAACACCCUUCGAAUAGAUCCCACAUCGCCGACAAGAGUCCUCCUCACGUCGGUAAACGUAAUCUUCCUCGACGGGUUCUCUCUAUAAUGCUUGACUAUUGAAUCCCUAUAGUACCUGUAAACCCUAGGGUUUUUCGAUGGCGAACGCGAAUCGAAAAAUUCCGGAAGAAAUUUGACCUCACAUUCACUGAUGCUGUCAAAUGAAAACCACCCUAAACCCACCAAAAAAAAAAAAAAACAAAUAAAGAAUUCUAAACAAUUAGACGAAAGAAAAAUAAAAAUUGUCAAUUUCGGAGAGGGGCCGCCUACUCACUGGAAUAGCUGGGGACGUUAACGACGUCGGGUUCGGAGGAAGAGGGUAGCUCGGGCUUGACGGGUGCAGGCGCAAGAGGAGUGGUGGGGUUAACGGCGGACGUUCCCUGAGGUUCUUUAACGGGCGAUUUAGCCGCCAUGAGAUAAUAAAUUCGCUAGCAUUCCCAACUCUCUCUCUCUCUCUCUCUCUCUCUCUCUCUCUCUCUCUAUAUAUAUAUAUAUAUAUAUAUAUGCUUCUUAGCAGUCUGCUCUAAUUUCAAAUUCAAUAUAUGCCGUAGCCUGUUUGAGAUUGCUAAUUUGACUUUCGUAGGUUCAAAGUAAUUUCAAAAAAUAAAAAGUUAAUUUUUUUAUUAAAUAAAUAGAAACAUAUUGAGAUAAUUUUUAAAUAUAAAAGAUAACCAGAUAAGUUAAGAGUUUGGUAAAAUUUUUAAAUUAUUUUUUAAAAUUUGUGAAUUCAUUUUAUGAUUUUCAAAUUAAAAGAUAAAAAAAUAAUAUAUUAAAUAAUAAAAUAUAUUGUAUUAGAAAAUGUGUUUUAUUUAUUAUUAUUAUUAUUAUUAUUAUUCAGUGUAGUAUAUUUUUUAGCACUAGUUAUAAAUUUGAGAACCCCAAAUUUUCACUUUGUCAUAAUCACAAAACUAACCCUAAUUGAGUAUUUUUUAAAAUUUGUUCUCUAUAAGUCUAGCAUUUCUUCAAUGGCAAAUCAAAUCAAACUUACUUUCUUCUCCCUUACCUUUCUCUUUAUUCUCCUAAAAUCUUUGCUGCGCACCGAAGGCUUUGGAAUUUUGAUGUGUUUAAGUUCUAAUGUAUACAUCUCACAUGUUUAGCGGACGAGGCAGACCCAAUACUUCCUCUUAGAAAACAAAGGCAGGCUUCUCCAAUUAUGUAACAUGCUCAUUUGAUUUUUGAUUUUAGGGUUCGAAAUGAUGAAGAAUUUAUACAUGUAAUUGUAUGAUAAAUUUUUUAACAUAACUAAUCAAAUUAUGCCAUGUGGAAAUAGGAAAAAAAACUACAAAAUUAAUCGAUUCUUCGGUUCAAAUGAAUUCUCAGCUUCUUACGUUAUAACUAACAUUUGGGCUUUUAAGCUUACACCUAAUCACAAUGAUAUUGAUGUAUUCGACUAAACCCGCUUGCCGGUGCUAAACUGGCAACCAGGCGCCUACCAAUUAAUCAAUCCACAGAUGAAAUUUGAUUUAGCAGACAUUGCCAGAAGUGCGAAUGCGAAUACACACACACAUAUUUCUUUGAAAUUAAAUGAACCUGAAGCUUUCCCCAUGUUUUGAGGACGGGCUCUCAGACCAUAGAUGUAACAAAUGUUGAACGAGUGUCCAAUAAAAAAACCCCUAGAGAAACUAAUAUGCACAAAAGUUUCAAUGACAUGUAAAUACAAUGCAGGUCACCAGAGAACACCUUGGUUCUAUACACCCAAAUGCUGGGACUACGCCUAUAAAAGAAUCAUAAAUUGAUUCUAACAUGUCUGUUUUGUGUUGUCUUUUUGAGCUUCUUUUUACACUGUCUUAUUCCUACAUGGCUGCUAAAAUCCCCCGUUCUAGCAUCCAUCAAUGCAUGGUUGCAUGCCGAUACUCAUCCUGAGCAUCAGCAGCAUACGAACUAUGAAGUUUUUAGAUACACUAAGGUAAAUGAAGAGCACCCGCAUCUUCCAUUUUCCUUCUCCACCCAUAUGGCACGAGAGCGACUCAGACAAUAGACAUCUCUGGUGAAAAUGACUUUGGAUGACCUGCAUAAUGAAAAAUGAGUAAGAUUUAGGUUUGACGAAGAUUCUUAAAACAGUAUAACAGCAAAAUACACACAGAUAACGAAGAAAAAAGAAGGAAAAAAAAAUAGAAUUAUCUUUCCCAAUCCUCUAAUCCCAAUUGAAGAUACCAAUAUAAAAUUAUAUCAUAUUUACGAAUAACCAGAGAGCUAACGGUAAUCUACAGGAGUGGAGAAGAUAAAUUUACCUCUAGAAUGCAAGAAAAUUAAUUUGCAAGGCUAGAUCCGAAGCCCGCCACUCAAGUAGCAGUCCCACUACUCUUAGUCCUGCUGCAAUCUAAGGAUACCUGAAAACAAACAGUCCAACCAUAUUUUAGUACUUGGUAGCAAGAUGGGAGUGACAGCAUAACUCGAGAGUUUAAAUACCACAGACCUUGAUCAACCUCUCACCCAGAUGUUUGGUCAGAACCGCCACCUUGCAUGAACUGAGAUGGAGCAGGAACUAAAAAUUGAUGUUGGGCUUGUACAGGAGCAGGUAUACCUGAUGAAGCCAAUGAAAUAUAUUGAUCAGGUCUAUUUUACGUAAUAUUUUUCUUUAUGACACACAAUAUAAUAGAUUUUUAAGUUAGGAUUUCUCAAUAAUCAGGAGUCUCCUCGUUGACAUUUAAUUUUUCCUUUUCUCCAUCAAGAACCUAAGAAUACUGCUCUGUGCUCUCCUGGGGUAGGUUCUCUUUCUAACAGCCUUUUCAGGUCAUCUACCUCUUACCAUUUUAACUUCGCUUGGUUAUGAGUUUCAAAAUUCUAAUUUACAUUCUUAAGGGCUGAGAUAUGUGCUUAAGACAAAGUAAUUCAACCUUGAUGCACCACUCGCACAAAAGAUUUUAGCAAACUUGGCUAUUUUCUGUUUAGCUACUGAUUGGAUAUGAAACCUAGAUAAAACAAUAAAGCUUGACUUUAAAAUUUCAAGAUUCUCCAACAAAACUCCAUCAACCUAAUUGAAUCCUGGAGUAGCAUGCACCAGCAAAAUAUUAAACUCAAAGGGGACUAUAUGUUCAUAUUCAUAUAAAUGAUGGUCCAACAAUCUUCAAUAAGUGCACGUUCAGUAGAUAAAUAAAUCUUCAUAAAGCAUUGUUCAGCAUAAAGUGUUUCGUCACAAAGCAGGUGAUCCUUUAGUCACACGGAUUAUGAACUUGUGUGAUACGUAUAAAGGGGCUCUAACAUCAUUGGUGUAUGCCAGUGUUUGGGGCAGGAUGUAAAAAGAAAAAUCAUACUUUCAAUAUAUGGUUUCUAAGACAAUAAAAUUUACCAGUAGGAUAUGGUGCUUGAACUGUCGGCAGAGGUGAUGUUGUGAUUGCAUUUAAAUUUGGUCCACCGAACUGCAUAAUCUGAUGACCAGGCAUUCCAUAUCCCUGCACUGGUGUAUAAGCAUGGCUUCCAGGGAUUGUUUGACCCAAUUGCCCAUAAGGAUAGACAGCCGUGUUGACUGUCCCAGGUACUCCAUAUAUCGGAACGUACUGCUGGUAUGGAUUGUAAAUACCCUACCAUUAGGACAAGAACAUGCAACAAAUAGAAGUAAUCAGCACAGCAAAAACAUUAAACCCUCAAAAUAAGUAAAUUUUGAUUGCUCCAACCAAGAUGGAGUACCAUAUACCUGGGGGUAAACAUAUUCGGGUCCAUAUGUAGCAUACCUGCAUAGGUACGACAACCAUUCAAUAAAACGGAAUAUCAAUAUUAACAAAACUUUGGGGGUACAUUGAGAAUGUAGGUGUGAGAGAUGACACUGCAUGGAAUAAAUGGUGAAUGUUAUAUACAUUAUCCAUAGCAUAGAUGGGAUCCAAGUGUACCAUCUGCACUAAAGGCAACAUUCUCCUAUUCUAUGAAGGAGCCAUCCCUAGUACAUCCAAAAUAAACUAAUAAAAGAUAGACCUGAAAACUGAAACCAAGAUUUAUCAGUUUCUUUUAUGGUUCUUAUAGAAAAAAGAACAUGAUUCUUGCCUGUACAAUAAACAUUGAACUUGGGCACAUAUCAUCUGCAACUACCACCUGCAAUUACCAAUCACACUAUGUCACAUCUCUGUAGUUUGGACCACAUCAUCAACCUUGAAAUCUAGGGAAAUGUUUAAUUAUUCCUAGAGCAACUUAAACCCUAAACUCACAUUCAAUUUCGUGAUUGGUAAAUGCAUAAACUGGCAACAAAGGAAAACAGAAUGAUGGAAGAAGGAAAUGUAGUUGCAAAGGAGAUGUACCCAAUUAAACUGAACGGCUGCUAAUCUUUCCAUCAGAAAUAGGAAAGAAUUGAUGAUCACAUAUUGACAACAUAAGGCUAUUAACACACAUUCACCCUAAAGCUGUCACUUACUAACAGAUAUAAAGGCCAAUAUAGGGAAAUAUGCAUAUCUUUCUCUACAUGGAGUGCAAGGCCAUGACCUGGCCGACUAAAGAGUUACUCAGUCAGUCAGUCAGUCACAUGCAAGGCGAGAAGCUCUAACACUAAAAUCUGCUAGUCCAUUAGCUUUGACAAAAGCACAAAGGGAGGAGCAGAAGCCAAACUGAAUCUGCUGUGGACUUUAGUAAUUAACAAAUUUUAAUUUAAAAUCAAACUUACAACUUACCCAUAAGAAGGAUACACCAUUCCCUGUUGGUAGUUGUAAGGAAGUGGUUGCUGGUAGCCAAAACUUCCAAUGUAAGGUCCCCGUGUAGCUUGAGUACUGCCACUGAAUAGAGUAGCUGGUCUCAGACGUCCUACAGGUAUCAGAAAAGUAAUCAUGAUGCAAUAGAUAAUAGAACUGCCAAAUGAAACAUCAGUUGCACAUAUAGGCCAACUAAACACAAUAGAUAUGAUACCAUAGAGCACUUGCGGCCGAGGUCGCCCAAGUGAAGCCAAAUUACAAUUUGCUCGCCUACCAUCAAUGAAUGGAGUUGGAUCAGCACAGGCUCUCCUAGCAGCCUCUGGUUCUCGAAAAGUCACCUACACCCUCCAUACAAAUACAAACAGAAAACCAAGUCAUUGUACAACCAUGAAUUUCACCUCACACAUCAGCUAACAAGUGUCAACAACAGCAAUCACUUGAGAAUAACACUAACCAAGCAAUAAUAAGUAUAUUCUAUCACUAUUAAACUGACAUUUGGCACUUUUUGAUCAUCCCAAAUAGCAUGCACAAAUAACAUAAUAUACCAUUGCACUGAAUUCAAGAGAUCAGGCUGUUCCACGAAAAUCCAAACUUGAAUAUACUGAACAAAAUUAACCAGGAUAUCAAUAACUACUCACAAAGCCAUAGCCUUUGGAUCGCCCAGUAUUCUUAUCAGUGAUAACGACAGCCUCAAGAAUCUCACCGAAUUGCUCGAAAUAUCGUCUCAUGGUCUCACUUUGAGUCUCCCAAGCAAGUCCUCCAACAAAGACUUUAGUGUAAGUGGUAUCUCCAAAAGGAGAAUUCAAAUACUGAAACCCUGAACUCGAACUCGAUCCCGAGCCAGGACCCGGAAUCGACUGAUAAGCCAUCAAAUAUACGAAAAAGAUAGAUAAUUACUAUAAACAAACAAACAGAACAAGACUGAAUGAAGAAUCCUAUCGAUAGACACAGAGAAAGAGAGAGAGAGAGAGAGAGAAAAAGAAAAAGGCAAAGAAAGAAGGAGAAGAAAAAAGAUGAUCAAUUGGAUAGAAUCAAGUGAUACUAAAGUAAACCCAAUCGAUAAAAACCCACAUGGCAAAGGAGAAACCCUAUAUAAACCCUUGAAAUGGAAGAUAAAAUAUACUAGGAAUCCACAGAAUUGAAAGGGAAUCGAAGAAGAACAUGGUGAGCUAACGCUUUGAUGAAAAGAUGACAAGAAAAAGAUCAGAUAAAUAGGAGAAAAAGGAAAAGGAAGAGGAAAAACCCUAGAUGGGCCAGCAAGAGUGGGUGGUGGGUAUAAGUUUGUAUGGGAAAAGUUGGUCACAGAAGAGCAGUUUGUAAAAAAGAAUCUAAGAAGGUAAAAUCGUGAUACUAAUAGUGGCUUUGGCAAAUAAUUAUUUUUAUACACCAGUAAUAGGACUGUUGAGGAAGAGAAAGGAUGGAUUUGUUUUUAAUCUUUUUCAUUGAUUCCGUAGCAGUUGUUGAUGGUGGCGAGCUAAGAGCGUAAGAUGAAGAAGAAGGGUAGACUGGGUAGUCAUGAUUUGCACUGAAGAAACGCAUAACAAAGUUGAAAAAGUAUAAUAACAUUUCAAUACCAAUAUUUUGCAAAAACUUCAAAUGGAAACAUAGUUUACACUUUUCCAACAAAAAGCCCCUGCUGCUGGUGCUGUAGUGGCGUUGUGAGUUUUUAUUUAUUUAUUUAUUUUAAAUUUCAAUUUACUGUAGAGCUUUGGAAAAUGAUAAAUUAGAAUAGUAUAUUGUGUACGUACCAUUAAUUCACCUUACAACAACAACAGCAAGUCAGGAACCGCACGAAAAAUAGAAACGUCAUCACACAGGGCACGACCUCCCGUCCCGCUUCCGUUCUCCACUUCUCCCUGAUAACAUAAUGGACCUAUUUGAAAAGAAUGAACAGAUCAACUUGAUCUUUGAUUUUGUCAAGAAUUAGAGACUCUGAGAUUAUAUAAAACGAAGGACACUCUUUUUUGUCUUCGAGAGUUCUCAAACAAAGCAAAGCCAGAUUGGGAUUGUGUGGACGCGGGGCCCGCUCUCUAACUCUCUAACUCUAUCUAAUCUCUAAACCCUAAUUUUCAUUUUUUUUUCUUUUCUUUUAUUUAUUUAUUUAUUUAUUUAUUUAUUUAUUUAUAUUUUUUCACACGUCCGAUAAAAGAAACUGUCCCACGCACCACACACACACACACAAGGCAGAAGGCAGAAGGCAGAAGUAGAAGAACAGAGCACACGGAGCUAACGCGGUCUCUGUCCAGUCGGCAACAAAUAAUUUGCUUAGUAUCUACAAAUCUACUUUGUCAUUUACUUCUGUACGAUCUUAUUUCAUCUUUCUGUUUAUAGUAGCGCAACAAGUUUGUUAUUCCAGUUCGGCUUGUCCUUGUCUUAAAACUACCGCUGCCGCUACUAUCAUUCAAAAAUAAUAAUAAACUAACUACUCCCACACCAUAAAAGCAAAAUUCUCACAAAUUUAUUUUCAUUUCACUAAUUGUCUCAAUACAAACACUGUCAGUGGAGGGAUUAGAAGUAGGCAGAAUUACACACAAGUGACAGUCGAUCCAAAUUGGACCUUUCGAUUUUCUUAUUUGUUACUUAUUCCUUUUAUUCUGAUUUUUUUCAAAACCAAUUGGCUCAGUCAAUAUUUGGGUUCAAUAUAAAAUCACACCGAAAUUUAAAAAUACUUUAAAAUUUGAUCAAAAGCAGACUGACAAUUGAUAACUAAGGGAUAAUUUGGUAAUUUUGUAGCUUUUUAGAAUAAUUGAUGUAUGUUGUGGCUCUAUAGAUAAUUAGCUACGAAGAUAAUUAGUUAAACGUUUAAUAAAAUUUUUUUUUUAUAAAUGUUGUGAGCUUUAAAAGUAGAUAUAUGCGUUUAGUAAAUUUUAUUGUUAAAUUGCUGUAAAAAUGUAAAUGAUUGAGUUGACCAUAAUACUAAAUACAAUUGAUUUACAAUUUUAUAAAAUAUUUUUAAAUGAAAUAAAAAUUCUAUAGUAUUUAUUUUAUUUUAUUUUUUGCUAUCUUGAUACAAUUGAAGAUGAUGAUCAUGAUCAUGAUAAUUUCUUUAAAGUUAAUGAUCUUAUUUCCUAAUUAAUAAGGAUAAUUUUAUAUUUUUAGAAUAAAUAUUAGGAAUUGUAUUCAUUACAAAAGUAAUUCUCAAAAUCAAAUUUUGGAAAACUACUCAUUUUUUGCUUUUCAAAAUGUAUUGUAGAAUGGGUGAUUUUGCUAAAAGUGAUUUGUAAAAUAAAUUUACCAAACACCAAAAUUAAUUUAUAGCCUUUUAAAAUCACAUUUAAGUCUCCCAAAAGUAAUUUCAAAUGUGCCCUAAGUCUAACCAGUUUGGUUUGUAUUGGUUAAAUUAUUGUCUAAAAUUUGUUUCAUUCAAUUCAAAAUAUCAAACAUUAUUUUGUUUGAUACUAGUUAAACAUCAUUACACAAUUUAAAUGGAUAAGUUUACAUUUUGUGAAGUAUGGACUUUAAACUGAGUGGAGCUAUUUGAUCCCACUAAAAUACACUUUACACCUAUUUCUUCACUACAGCAUUAGGGAUUUUAAAGUUUUAAAUUUUACUCUAUGCACCUACUUAAAUGCCAAAAUUACCCUUAUAAACUAAAAUCAAAUAAAUUUCUAAACAAUUUUUCUUUCAUCUUCUCUUGCUCUUUCUCUAGUGUUUGGACGGUUACAUCUCUCUUCCUCAAUCAAAUCACAACUGAACAUGGUAGUUGAAAGAAGAACUAUGACAGUUUAUCAAUGCGAAGAGAAUAAAAUGAAAAAAAAAAAAUCAAAAUGCUGUAAAUAUAUAUGGAGAAAUUGUUUUAGCAAUCAUCAUCUGGUUAGAAUUCUAGUUUUUUGUGGCUAGAAUCUUUUAAUGACCAUUGAUAUUGAAUAAAAUUAGCAUUCAAGGUAGGAACAUAGGUAAUAAUUGUUAAUCCCUAAUGUAGAAGAGUAAAAUUAUUAGUUUUUAAUUCAUGAUAUCGUGUCUUUUGUAGUAAAUUAUUUAAUGGAUUUUAUGGUAAUAAAAAUAAUAAUAAAUGAGUGUAAAAAAUAUUUUAGUGGGUUCAAAUAGUUUCAUUUUUAAAAAAAUUAUGAUUGAUUCAUUUUAUUAUUCUUAUUUAAGCUUGCUCUGCAUACUAUUUUACGGAAUGGGCAUUUAGUAUUUUGUCCGUAUAUAUAUAUUUAUACACUAAUAUACACAAACACGUAAAGGGUGUAAAGGGAAAUGGCAACGGUGAUGGAGAGCUGUCCACGCAACUAGGGGUGUCAAAAAAA